UGGGCCUUUGUGUUGGUACCGACGCGUACGAGUACAACUCGUUUACUUGUCCUACAAGGACUCUUAUGUAUUGCCCUCAGAUAUACCCCAUGUAGUCGCACCUAAGACGAUAUGUCGUCUCGUGCUUGUAAUACUCAUCCUCGUAGUGACUGCGCCUUCGUGCGUCCGUGACUUUCUCCCGCAAGGAUUUUCACGUAAAAAUCCGUGUCUCUCAUGUCUCGUUUAUUCUUGAUAUUAUCUAACAUGUCAAACGUCACCAUGCAAACGCUCCUAAGUUCACGUACCAGCAUGCCAUAAUCCACAAAAUAUAAAUGCCCGGAAUUUAGUGCCCGGACAAGAAUCUGUGAGUCGGACUCGAAAAUACAUUACCCAUGAUUUUUUUAUAAGCAAUAAAGCUAACCGGAUACAUGGCACGUCCAAAAGAAAAUAAAAUACAUCUCAAAUACUCUUGUCCGGUCAGUUAUCACGCGGUGGCGAUGGGCGCGGCGUCUGCCUUCAUGGCCUUGAACCGUGGCUCCUUGGCUUCGAACUUGUGGCGCACGUACAGGUUCAUGUAGUCCUCGAACACGAACCUCGGGUACACGGCGGUGCCCUCCUCGCCCUCGUUCCUCUCACCAGCGUCGGCAGCGCCCACGAGCGCCGGGGCCGGGAAUAUGAUGGCGUCGGCGCCGGGGUUGUAGAAUGACGCGAUGGACAUGCGGUUGCCGUCGGUGCGGGUGAGCACGCGGUGCAUCACGCUCUUGUACCGCCCGUUGGUGAUCACCUCCAGCUGGUCGCCGAUGUUGACAACUAUGGCGUGGCGCAUGGGCGGCACGUCGACCCAUGCUCCAUCCUUCAGGAGCUGGAGCCCGCUCACCUGGUCGUCCUGGAACAGCAGGAUGACGCCGCCGGCGUCGGUGUGCGCGCGGAGGCCGUCUACCAGGUCCGGCCGCGGGCACGGCGGGUAGCUGCUGACCUUGGUGCCGAACGUGGGGCCCCUGGACCCGGCAAAGGCCCGCUUUAGGUAGCCCUGCUCCAGGCCCAGGUUCUCGCACAGCAGGUCCAGCACCUUCUCUGCCAGCUUCUCGAUCUCCGCCGCGAAUUCCUUCAUCACUUGCCUGCAACGACGACACGAUUGCCUCAAAAAGAAAAGAAAAAAAAAUGCGACGACGACACGAAAAAGGCAGCUUUUGUUAUGAGACAAACACAAGCACUUGCUAAAAGAAGUGAUUCCAGUCGUGUUGGCUACUACAGUUCUUAAUUAGGAUUCUGAUGUGCCCAAGCAAUCUUAUCUGCUGGAAUUUUUUAAGCUGCAUGCCGCGUCAGGAAUGACUUUGUGUACAAGGCGAAAUGUUCGGUCAAUAAUAGACUGCUUCGUCAGUAAAAAGCAAAGCAAGCAAGCAGCAAAAAGCACACUGGAGUUGAAUCUGCGACUAGAUAAUUUCUGUCGAAGCUGGUGAUAUAUAUCCCUUGGUCUCUUAUGUUAUUAUACUUAGUGAUCUAAGUCGCCGUAGUUAAUUAAUUAAGUAAUCACGCGCGCGUGCGUACCUGUAGUGGUGGUCGAGGUCGGGCAGGUCGGCGAGGUUAGAGGCGGGGAGGUGGCGGACGAAGAUGGUGCUCUCCCAGUCCACGCCCUUCACGUCGGCGCCCUUCUCGCCGGCCUCCAUCGUCCGCGCCGCGAACUCCUUGAACUGCUGCUCCCGGCACGCCGCGUAGUGCGCCUUGCUCACCCGCUCCACCUCGUCCAUCAGCUCGUGCGAGAUGCCAUGGUUCAGCAGCUGCACACAUAUACAGUCAGUUAAUCAUGUCCAGAAAAUACAUCAAGAAUCAUCAAGCACUACGUUCAUAAAUCACUCUGCUAUAAGAGAAUUCUAUGUAUGUGGGGGGCAGUGGCACCUCGAAGAAGCCCCAGUUCUCGCAGGCGUCGCCGAUGACCCCCAUGGCGGCGCCCCUCUCCUCGGUCUCCAGCUUCUCCAUGUUGAUCACCGGGAAGCUCAAGGAGGCGGCAGCAUUAGCAGGAAUUGCCAUCGCUCUCGAUCUGAUGUCUCUCUCCGUCUUUCUACUCCCUCUCCCUAUCUGUAUGCGUGCUUGUGCUGGUACGCUGAAGCAGAGAGUGUGUGUGCGCUCUGAGGCCGGCGUGGGCGCCCAAUUUAUAGGCGCGCGAGAGAAGGCUAUGACCUAGCCGGGGACGUACUACGAGAUUACGACACAGCUUAUAUGCUAUACGAGAUUAGUUAGCAGCGUGCGUGCCGCAACUUCGUGUAGCUUACCGGCGGAUCGACACACAUACUCUAACCAAGUUGUCUCCAAGCAUAUCGCUUCUUGCUAAUCAAUAUAUACCCUGAUGGAGACGCGGGUGUGGCAAGGUCUCAGUAAAGUGAUAUACUAGUACUCGCUUCGUCCCAAAAUAAAUGACUCAAUUUUACACUAACUUUAUUCCCUCCGUCCCAAAUGAGUGACUCAACUUUACACUAACUUUAUCUUCAAUUAGUGUAAAGUUGAGUCACUUAUUUUAAGACGAAAGGAGUAUAUAAAAGAAGAAAAAAGACUAAAAAGAAAAAAUCGCACCGAUCUCCAUGCAGGGUCAAACAAAUAUAGCAUCGACUUGGACUGUUAGAUAUAACUAAGUCUCAAUCGACUAAGACUUAGCUGAUUCUGUAGAUACCUAACCUAAGUGGACGAGUAGUGUUGGCGAACUCUGUGACGUACGGAUGGAGUUGACAAUGACAGACGUUAGGCCUACACCUGAUGGAGACGGAGCAGUAUGCUAUGAAGCUAACCUAAGUAGUGUUGAUGAACUCUAUGAAGUACGGAUGGAGUUGUCUCCCACUUUAGAGGCUGGUAAUGACAGAGAUUAGGCGUAGUACACCUGACCUGACCCAGGCCACAUGUAGUGGAGUUCUGCUGUCAACAAAUAUAUGGCACUCCUCCAACUUUACAUCGAUCACUUUUGACUGCUGCUGUCCGGGGACACCGGUCGAUUGUGUCUGAAACAUGGCACGUAACUCGAUCUAUCCAUGGAUGGAUAAGCAGCUAGAGCCUAGAGCUAGUAACUUCGAGCGCUUACCCGAUGUCCUACUCAGCAACAGUCAGCCGCAGUAGCUAAAUAGCAUGUAGAUCACUUAUUGUCCUGACUCCUGUGUGCCGGUCGACACAAAGCGGGAAUGGGAGCACAGCACUCCUGUACGCAUCAAAGCUGCAUGGUGCAUCGCAGCUGGACCACCAGACCCCGGCCAUGUCCCAUAUCCACCCAUGGAUGGACAGGUCGAGCUAACCUCUUCGUCAUCCCUGAUCUGAUCUCCGCUAUGAUCAGCGUGUCCAGUCCUCUCCCGUUUGAUUUGUGUGAAUUCUUUCCUUUCUCCUUUCUCCCUCAUGAUAGGGGCCGGGUUACCAAUGGCAUUGUCCUAAAACUUAUCUCGAGCAGUUCAAAGGAACAGCGGAUGGUGGGGAAAAGAAGGAUCGAGCUCUACGCAUCACCGGGAAACCCACCACGAGCACAUCACUAUCACACCACUGGUGGGAUUACCACUGGUGGGAUUGUGUUUGGUCUAUGUCCAAAUUCGCCAUGCGAAAAAUUACCUAGCUAGUAUCUCUCAUAGGAAAAAAGACUAGCUAAAACAUGGUUAUGGUUUCACUUGCGGCGAGUUGCUAACAUUGGCUAAAGUCGUGAGGCCUCGUUUGACAUGGAGGGAUUGAGGGGGUUUUCAGAGGAUAAUCCCCGGGAAACCCCAUAAAACCAUGACCCCCAUCUGAUACGUGGGGUUUGCACAACCCAACCCCCUCCGAUCCCUUCCAAUCCUCUCAUACCCACGCGUUUUACAACCCUCUUCGAUAGAGUUGCGAAAGCACAGCCUCGAGCACAGCGGCAGCGCACGCCUCUUCCAUGCUCCGCCUACCAAAAACAAGUUUUUCCACGAAGAGGAUUGGAUGUGAAGGGAAUUGAGGGGAUUGGGUGGAGGGGAGUGAUCCACCAAAUCCCCUCCAAUCUUCACCCCUCAAGAGACCUAAAAACCCCUCUUGUCAAACGAGGCCUGAAGUAGAGUUUCUUAACCGCACCAUUGUGCAUACGUACGUUAGGGAAGAGGAUUUGUAGCAUGCAUGAACUAGGACAAACAAUUCUGUGGCCACCCAAUUGCGUUGUGAUUCCUAAAUUUGGAUUGGUCCCAUGUGUUUAGAGCUAAAUUGGUGUAAAUAGGGUCAACGCAUGCAGCUUUUUGUCUCCCACCACAAAGAAGAUUUGGCGGAAUCUUACCUGGGGUUAAUUGCAAAUCUUUGGACGUUGUGAUGGUACCAUGGGUGACUUUUCUGUCGAAUUUCAUGUGUGAUCGAAAGUUGAUGGUUUUAGGUAGGCUCUGGUUGCAGUGUAUGGCGCAGCACAACUGGUGUUCAAGCCUGACUUCCUCGCAGACCUGGUGCGGGUUGAUGAGAGGUUGCCCAUUUUCGUCGGUGGAGACUUUAAUAUUAUUAGGUGGAGAGAAGAAAGGAAAUAUGAUAACUUCGAUGGUAGGUUGUUGUUUAUGUUUAACGCCAUCAUUGAGAAUCUGGACUUGAGAGAGAUUGAUCUCACAUGCAGGCAAUACACUUAGGUGAACAAUUUGAAGAACCCAACAUUUGAGAAAUUGGAUUGGGUUCUAAACAAUGUCGAAUGGAAGCAAAGUUUCCUAUUGUAACAGUGCGAGCAUUACAAAUGGGACCCCUUCUUGUUGAGUCCGGUGAUGCGACUCACAUCGGCAAAAACAUAUUUUCUCUUUUAAAAUACAUGUUUUGAAAGGGAGGGCUUCCUGGAUUUGGUAGCCAGGGAGCGGGCUAAAGAAAAUAGAGAGGAUUCAAACGUGGAAAGUGACAAUACAAGAUUAGACACUUGAGAAAAUUCUUGUCGGGCUGUAUGAAAAUGAGAGUGGAAUUUAUAAACUGGAAAAGGAGAGGCUUCUCCAUCCCAUUAGAGACCUAGAUUUAAAGGUCGAGGUGAGUAUUCUAGAUGUGGCGGACAGCGGGGCCAAAAGAGGCUGAGGAGAGGCUAGCGAAGCUUCUUAGAAAGGAGGAAAUAAAAUGGGCUCUUAGAGCUAAGGUUCGACAGGUGGUUCAAGGAGAUAAUAAUGCUUCGGUUUUGCAUCUGAUUGUGAAUGGAAAAGAAGGGAAGAAGGAAAUUAUCCAACUAGAACAGGAUGUGGUUAUAAUUGUAGGGCACGGGAACCUAAAAUUUUAUAUCUCAAACUUCUAUGUAAAAACUAUUUGGGGCACUCAUUGAGAAUUUUGUUUCCCUCAACGAGGGUGUGGUUGGGGGAUAUAUCUCAACUGGGUGCCAAUGAGAAUCAAGUGCUCAUCACUCUAUUUACAAAAAAGGAGGUGGCCGAUCGAAGCAUAGCACAAAUGAAAAAUAAUAAGGCACCUAGCUCGGAUGGAUUUGCAACAAAGUUCUAUAAGAAGUGUUGGGAUGAACGUUAUGUCGUGUAUCUGGUACCCAUGUUCAUCUCAAUGAACUGUAUGCCAUGUAUCCCCAUGAUUAAAGGGGGCAUAAUGCCCAUGUUCCAUGAUCUUUUAAUGGCUAGCUUCAAUUAUUCAAACUCAACUUCAAGACAAUUACUUUGUUACCAAAGAAGGAGGAGACGGUUCGCAUUCAGCAGUUCACACUGAUCAGUUUUCUCAAUGAUAGCUUUAAUACCUUUACCAAAGUCGGUACUAAUCACCUCACACAUAUUGCACAUAUUGCAGUUCAGCCGACUCUAACGACAUUCAUGCUUGGGCGACAUAUUAUAGAGGGUGUGGUCGCGUUGCAUGAAACUUUGGAUGAAAUUCCCUCGAAGAAACUUGAUGGAGUUGUCUUCAAAGUGUAUUUUGAGAAGGCUUAUGAUAAAUUUAAGUGGCCAUUCUUGCAACCAGCUUUGUGUAUGAAGGGGUUUGAUCCGGCCUGGAGGAAGCAACUCGAAUCCUUUAUACAAGGAGGCAACAUCGGGAUCAACGUUAAUGACGAUAUAGGUCAUUAUUUCCGGAUGCAAAAGGGACUGAGAUAGGGGGAACCGAUGUCUCCUAUCAUGUUUGAUGUCAUUACCGAUUUGUUGGUGGUCCUUAUUGGUACAAUCGAGGACCGCCAUUUAGGUUGGCUCGUCCCACAUGUUGUGGGAGGUAGGGCGUCCACACUACAAUAUGCGAAUGAUACAAUUAUUUUCAUGGAGCAUGAUAUGACAAAAGCUAGAAAUAUGAAGUUGGUUAUUUGUCUCUUCGAACAACUAUCCAUUUUGAAAAUAAAUUCCAAUAAGAGCGAACUCUUCUAUUUUGGGUGCGCCAAGGAUGAAAAAGAAAAUUAUAGGAAUUUGUUCGGUUGUGGGCCGGGAUCCUUACCUUUUAGUUACGUUAAAUUAACCAACAAAGAAUGUAAGUGUGAAGAUUGAUUUGAGAAGAAGCUAAGCUCUUGCAAGGCCAAGCUUAUAUUGGGGAACGUAGCAUGCAAUUUCAAAAAAAAAUCCUACGCUCAUGCUAGAUUUAUCUAGGAGAUGCAUAGCAAAGAUAGGGGGAGAGUGUGUCCACGUACCCUCCUAGACUGAAAGCGGAAGCAUUAGAUUAACGCGGUUGAUGUAUUCGAACGUCUUCACGAUCCAACCGAUCUAGUACCGAAUGUACGACACCUCUGAGUUCAGCACACGUUCAGCUCGAUGACGUCCCUCGAACUCUUGAUCCAGUAAAAGGUCAAGGGAGAGUUUCGUCAGCACGACGGUGUGGUGACGGUGAUGAUGAUGUGAUCCGCACAGGGCUUCGCCUAAUCACUACGACCCGGAGGAGUAAACUAUGGAGGGGGCACCGCACACGGCUAAGAGAACAAUUGAUGUGCCUUCGGGGUGCCCCCCGCCCCCAUAUAUAAAGGAUGGUAGGAGGAGGCAGCCGGCCAGGAGGGGCGCGCCAUGGGAGGGAGUCCUACUAGGACUCCACUCCUAGUAGGAUCCCCCCCUUCCUUUCUUACCAGAGGGAAAAAGGAAGGAGAGGGAGAGGGAGAUGGAAAGGGGGUGCCGCCCCUUCCCCUAGUCCAAUUCGGACUGCCAUGGGGGGGGCGUGCGGCCACCCGUUGCGACCCUCCUCUCUCUCCACUAAGGCCCGUGUAGGCCCAAUACUUCCCCGAGGGGUUCCAGAAACCUCUCAGUACUCUGGUAAAAUACCCGAACCACCUGAAACCAUUCCGAUGUCCAAAUACUAUCUUCCAAUAUAUGAAUCUUUACCUCUCUACCAUUUCGAUACUCCUCGUCAUGUCCGUGAUCUCAUCCGGAACUCCGAACAAACUUCUGCACCAAAACACAUAACUCAUAAUACAAAUUCAUCGAACAUUAAGCGUGCGGACCCUAUGGGUUCAAGAACUAUGUAGACAUGAUCAAGACACAUCUCCGAUCAAUAACCAAUAGCGGAACCUGUAUGCUCAUAUUGGUUCCUACAUAUUCUACGAAGACCUUUAUCGGUCAAACCGCAAUAACAACAUACGUUAUUCCCUUUCUCGUCAGUAUGUUACUUGCCCGAGAUUCGAUCGUCGGUAUCCUCAUACCUAGUUCAAUCUCGUUACUGGCAAGUCUCUUUACUCGUUCCGUAAUGCAUCAUCCCAUAACUAACUCAUUAGUCACAUUGCUUGCAAGGCUUAUAGUGAUGAGCAUUACCGAGAGGGCCCAGAGAUACCUCUCCGAUACAUAGAGUGACAAAUCAUAAUCUAGAUCUAUGCCAACCCAACAAACACCUUCGGAUACACCUAUAUAGCAUCUUUAUAAUCACCCAGUCACGUUGUGAUGUUUGAUAGAACACAAGGUGUUCCUCCGGUAUUCGGGAGUAGCAUAAUCUCAUAGUUAGAGGAACAUGUAUAAGUCAUGAAGAAAACAAUAGCAAUAAAACUUAAGGAUCAUUAUGCUAAGCUAAUGGAUGGGUCUUGUCCAUCACAUCAUUCCCUAAUGAUGUGAUCCCCUUCAUCAAAUGACAACACAUGCCUAUGGUCAGGAAACAUAACCAUCUUUGAUUAACGAGCUAGUCAAAUAGAGGCAUACUAGGGACACUCUGUUUUGUCUAUGUAUUCACACAUGUACUAAGUUUCUGGUUAAUACAAUUCUAGCAUGAAUAAUAAACAUUUAUCAUGAUAUAAGGAAAUAUAAAUAACAAUUUUAUUAUUGCCUCUAGGGCAUAUUUCCUUCAGUCUCCCACUUGCACUAGAGUCAGUAAUCUAGAUUACAAAGUAAUGAUUCUAACACCCAUGGAGUCUUGGUGCUGAGCAUGUUUUGCUCAUGGAAGAGGCUUGGUCAAUGGUCCUGCAACAUUCAGAUCCGUAUGUAUCUUGCAAAUCUCUAUGUCCCCUUCCAACACUUGCAAAUCUCCCUCCUUGACUUGAUCACGGAUGCAGUUGAAGCGUCUCUUGAUGUGUUUGGUUCUCUUGUGAAAUCUGGAUUAAUUCGCCAAGGCAAUUGCUCCAGUGUUGUCACAAAUGAUCUUCAUUGGACCCGAUGCGCUAGGUAUUACACCUAGAUCGGUAUGAACUCCUCCAUCCAGACUCCUUCAUUUGUUGCUUCUGAAGCAGCUAUGUACUCCACUUCACACGUAGAUCUCGCCACGAUGCUAUGCUUGGAACUACACCAACUGACAGCUCCACCAUUCAAUAUAAAUAUGCAUCUGGUUUGCGACUUAGAGUCAUCCGGAUCAGUGUCAAAGCUUGCAUCGAUGUAACCAUUUAUGACAAGCUCUUUGUCACCUCCAUAAACGAGAAACAUAUGCUUAGUCCUUUUCAGUUAUUUCAGGAUGUUCUUGACCGCUGUCUAGUGAUCCACUCCAGGAUUACUUUGGUACCUCCCUGCUAAACUUAUAGCAAGGCACACAUCAGAUCUGGUACACAGCAUUUCAUACAUCAUAGAACCUAUGUCUAAGGCAUAGGAAAUGACUUCCAUUUUCUCUCUAUCUUCUGCAAUGGUCGGGCGUUGAGUCCGACUCAACUUCACACCUUGUAACAGAGGCAAGAAACCUUUCUUUGACCGAUCCAUCUUGAACUUCUUCAAAACUUUAUCAAGGUGUGUGCUUUAUGGAAGCCUAAUUAAGUGUCUUGAUCUAUCUCUAUAAAUCUUGAUUCCCAAUAUAUAAGCAGAUUCACCGAGGUCUUUCAUUGAAAAAUUCUUAUUCAAGUAUCCUUUGAUGCUAUCUAGAAAUUCUGUAUUAUUUCCAAUCAACAAUAUGUCAUCCACAUAUAAUAUUAGAAAUGCUACAGAGCUCCCACUCGUUUUCUUGUAAAUACAGGCUUCUCCAAAAGUCAGUAUAAAACCAUAUGCUUUGAUAAAACUAUCAAAGCAUAUAUUCCAACUCUAAGAGGCUUGCACCAGUCCAUAAAUGGAUCACUCGAGCUUGUACACUUUGUUAGCACCUUUUGGAUCGACAUAACCUUCUGGUUGCAUCAUAUACAACUCUUCUUUAAGAAAUCCAUUAAGGAAUGCUUUUUUGACAUCCAUUUGCAAAAUUUCAUAAUCAUAAAACGCGGCAACUACUAACAUGAUUCAGACAGACUUAAGCAUCGCUACGGGUGAGAAGGUCUCAUCGUAGGCAACUCCUUGAACUUGUCGAAAACCUUUCGCAACAAGUCGAGCUAUGUCGACAGUAACAUUACCAUCAGCGUCAGUCUUCUUCUUGAAGAUCCAUUUAUUUUCUUUGGCUUGCCAAUCAUCGGGCAAGUCCAUCAAAGUCCAUACUUUGUUCUCAUACAUGGAUCCCAUCUCAGAUUUUAUGGCCUCAAGCCAUUUCGCGGAAUCUGGGCUCAUCAUCGCUUCCUCAUAGUUCGUAGGUUCAUCAUGGUCUACUAACAUGACUUCCAGAACAUGAUUACCGUACCACUCUGGUGCGAACCGUACUCUGGUUGACCUAUGAGGUUCGGUAGUAACUUGAUCUGAAGUUUCAUGAUCAUCAUCAUUAGCUUCUUCACUAAUUGGUCUAGGAGUCACUGGAACUGAUUUCUGUGGUGAACUACUUUCCAAUUCGGGACAAGGUACAAUUACCUCAUCAAGUUCUACUUUCCUCCCACUCACUUCUUUUGAGAGAAACUCCUUCUCUAGAAAGGAUCCAUUCUUAGCAACGAAUAUCUUGCCUUCAGAUCUGUGAUAGAAGGUGUACCCAAUAGUUUCUUUUGGGUAUCCUAUGAAGACGCAUUUCUACGAUUUGGGUUCGUGCUUAUCCGGUUGAAGCUUUUUCACAUAAUUAAGCAUUGCAGCCCCAAACUUUAAGAAACGACAGCUUAGGUUUCUUACAAAACCACAAUUCAUAUGGUGUUGUCUCAAUUGAUUUAGAUGGUGCCCUAUUUAAUGUGAAUGCAACCGUCUCUAAAGCAUAAUCCCAAAAUGAUCGCGGUAAAUCAGUAAGGGACAUCAUAGAUCGCACCAUAUCUAAUAAAGUAUGGUUACGACAUUCGGACACACCAUUACGUUGUGGUGUUCCAGGUGGCGUGAUUUGUGAAACUAUUCCACACUGUUUCAAAUGAAGACCAAACUCAUAACUCAAAUAUUUGCCUCAGCGAUCAGAUUAUAGAAACUUUAUUUUCUUGUUAUGAUGAUUUUCCACUUCACUCUGAAAUUCUUUGAACUUUUCAAAUGUUUCAGACUUAUGUUUUAAAUAGGUAGAUAUACCCAUAUCUGCUAAAAUCAUCUGUGGAGGUCAGCAAAUAAUGAUACCCACCGCGAGCCUCAACACUCAUCGGACCGCAUACAUCGGUAUGUAUUAUUUUCAAUAAGUUAGUGGCUCGCUCCAUUGUUCCGGAGAAUGAAGUCUUAGUCAUCUUUCCCAUGAGGCAUGGUUCGCAAGCAUCAACUGGUUCAUAAUCAAGUGAUUCCAAAAGUCCAUUUGCAUGGAGUUUCUUCAUGCCCAUUACACCAUUAUGACCUAAAUGGCAGUGCCACUAAUAAGUUGCACUAUCAUUACUAAUUUUGCAUCUUUUGGUUUCAAUAUUAUGAAUAUGUGUAUCACUAUGAUCGAGAUUCAACAAAAAUAGACCACUCAUCAAGGGUGCAUGACCAUAAAAGAUAUUACUCAUAUAAAUAGAACAACCAUUAUUCUCCGAUUUAAAUGAAUAACUGUCUCGCGUGAAACAAGAUCCAGAUAUAAUGUUCAUGCUCAAUGCUGGCACCAAAUAACAAUUAUUUAGGUCUAAAACUAAUUCCGAAGGUAGAUGUAGAGGUAGCGUGCCGACGGCAAUCACAUCGACCAUGGAACUAUUUCCGACGCGCGUUGUCACCCCAUCCAAAACCCUCCGGGGUAGCCCUAGAUCAGAAGUUCCACCGCCGCAAGGCCUCUGUAUCCAUGAAAUCCAAUCUAGACCCCGUUCCGGCACCCUGUCAGAGUGGGGAAUCAUCACCGGCGGCCAUCUUCAUCAUUCUGGUGGACACCACAAUGAGGAGGGAGUUGUCCACCCUCGGGGCUGAGGGUUUGUACCAGUAGCUAUGUGUUUAAUCUCUCUCUUUCUCUCUCUCUCUCUCUCUCUCUCGUGUUCUUGAGAUGUCACGAUCUUGAUGUAUCGCGAGCUUUGUUAAUAUAGUCAGAUCAUAUGGUGUUUCCCCCUCUCUAUCUUGUUGUGAUGAUGAAUACUUUUAUGGAUUGGAGAACACUUGAUAUAUGUCUUGCAAUUGAAUACUCAUGGUGACAAUGGGGUGUCGUAUUGAUUCACUUGAUAUAUGUUUUGGCACUCAACUCGCAGAUUCCAGCGGUGACAUUGGGGUAAUCUAUGCAUAGGGGUUGAUGCACGUUCUCAUCUUUUGUUUCUCCGGUAGAAAUCUUGGGGCACUCUUUGAAGUUCUUUGUGUUGGAUUGAGUAUUAUGAAUAUGAAUUGGCUUUGGUGUUACUACGAACUCUAGGAUAGAUCAAACGGAAAGAAUAGCUUUGUGUUAUUUUAGUACAAACUCUUGAAUAGAUCAAACGGAAAGAAUAGCUUUGAGGUGGUCUCGUACCCUACAAACACUUUACUCUUAUGUUCUCCGCUCGAUAGGAACUUUGGAGUGAUUCUUCAUCUCACUAUGAGGGAUAAUCAUAUGAUCCAACUAUGUUAGCAUUGUUGAGAGAUUGCACUAGUGAAAGUAUGCACCCCAGGCCUCAUUUUCAAGCAUCGCAAUACUGUUUUUGUGCCCAUUUACUAUUUGUUACCUUGCUGUUUUUAUUUAUUCAGAUUAUAAAAAUAUAUUUCUACCAUCUAUAUUACACUUUUAUCACCAUCUCUUCGCCGAACUAGUGCGCCUAUACAAUUUGCCAAUGUAUUGCGUGUGUUGGGGACACAAGAGAUUUCUUGUAUUUGGUUGCAGGCUCAUUUGAGAGAGGCCAUCUUCAUACUACACCUCUUACGGAUUGAUAAACCUUACAUCAUCCACUUGAGGGAAAAUUGCUACUGUCCUACAAAACUCUGCGCUUGCAGGCCCAACACGUGUCUACAAGAAUAAAGUUGCAUAGUAGACAUCAAGCUCUUUUCUGGCGCCGUUGCCGGGGAGGUGAGUGCAUGAAGGUAUAUCUUUAAACCUUGCAAUCGAAUCUUUUAGUUUCUUGUUUUAUCACUAGUUUGGUUUAUAAAAUAAAACUACAAAAAAUGGAAUUAAGGUUACAUCAUAUUACUGAUCAUCUUUAUAAUGUCUUUUGUGGAAAUGAAGGAAAGGAAAGUUGUGCUCAAUUGAUAGAAGAAGAAUUCAAUAGAAUGGCUGGCAUAAAUUAUGAGAAUGAUUGCAAUGUUGUUAGUAUGAAUUCUUUGAAUAUCCAUGAUGCUAAUGAUAUGCAAAGCUACAAGCUUGGGCAUGCUAUGUUUUAUGAAGAUGCUAUUUUUUGUCCCCCAACUUUUGAUGUGCAACUUUAUUAUGAUGAAAGCAUGCCUCCUAUCUAUGAUGAUUAUGGUGAUGAAAUGUAUGCUAUGAAGAAUAAUGAUAACCCUGAAACUUGUCAUAAUGAUUUUAAUUUUCAAUCCCAUGAUAGUUAUUUUGUUGAGUUUACUCCCACUAUUAUGAAUGAGAAGAAACUUGCUUAUGUGGAGAGUACUAAAAUUUCUAUACUUAUGCAUCAUGAAAAGAGUGCUUUAUGUGAUAGUUAUAUUGUUGAAUUCACUCAUGAUGCUACUGAAAAUUAUUAUGAGAGAGGAACAUAUGCAUUUACAUAUUGCAAUAAUAUCAAGUUUCCUCUCUAUGUGUUGAAAGUUUUGAAAUUGCACUUGUUUUGCCUUCCUAUGCUAGUUGAUUCUUGCUCCCAAAAGCUAUUUGCUCACAAAAUACCUAUGCAUAGGAAGUGGGUUAGACUUACAUGUGCUACUCAUAUGCUUCAUGAUGCUCUCUUUGUGUUUCAAUUCUUAUCUUUUAUGCGAGCAUCAUUGAACUCAUCAUGCCUAGCUAAAAGGAAUUAAAGAAAAGCGCUUGUUGGGAGACAACCCAAAACUUUUACCUACUGUUUUUGUACGUUCACAUGAUUAGGCUACUGUAGUAAUCAUGUUUUAUUGUCUUUGUUUCAAUAAAGUGCCAAGUAAAGCCUUUGGGAUCAUGUUGGGUGAUAGUUGAUUUGACCUUGCUGAAAAACAGAAACUCUUGCGCUUACGAAAAUAGCUCUCAUUUUUUACAGAAGAGUGCUUUUGAGUUGAUUAUUUUUUUAGAAGAUUAAUAUACAAAUUUUUCAUGUGGUCCAAUUUGUUUCAUAAUUUUUGGAGUAGCAGAAGUAUGGUUUGAGUACAGAUUACUUCAGACUGUUCUAUUUUUUUGACAGAUUCUGUUUUCAAUACAUAGUUUGCUUGUUUCCUUGUUUAUAUGACUUAUAUUGCUCAAUAUAAAUUGUGGAAAUGAUAUGUUACAGUAGGCAUUGUGUGUAAACAAUUAUGAAUCUUGUCUUUUACAGUACCAAAGUGAAAUGAUUUGCUUUUUAUCAUACUAACCCAUCUCACAAAGUUCCGUUAAGUUUUAUGUGAUUGAAGUUUUCAAGUUUUGGAUGAGAUGUCGAUAUGAGGAGAACAAUGAGUUAAAAGAUCCUAAGCUUGGGGAUUCCCAAGGCACCCCAAGGUAAUAUUCAAGUAAGAUCCAAGAAACUAAGCUUGGGGAUGCCCCGGAUGGCAUCCCCGCUUUCGUCUCCAACAUUAUCGGUAACCUCACUUGGAGCUAUGUUUUUAUUCGUCACAUGAUAUGUGUUUUGCUUGGAGCGUCAAUUUAUUUUGCUAGGAUUUGCUUGCUGUUAUUUAUAAUAAUGUUUUGCAUAUUUUAUUUCAAUAAAAGUGGCAAUGAUAGCCUUUGCCAUGCUUAUUUUGCAAGUAUACUUGUUGCUGUUUGCAAACAGAAAGUUACCGUUGUUGCAGAAAUUCCUUAGAAAGGUCAGAAUAUGAUAAAUUGUUGAAACGUUUUGCAAAAUAAGAACUGAUAAAUUUCCUACAGUGUGGUAUUUUUAUCAUUAUUUUUGGGGUUAGAGAAGUAUGAUGAAUCUUGCAUUCUUUACAGACUGUACUGUUUUGGCAUAUUGCUGUUAUGGUUGCAUUGUUUGCAUAUGUUUGCUUGUUUAAUGAUUCUAUUUGAGGAUAGUAGUAUUAAAUAUGCAGAGGUAUUUUGUAUGCAAUGUUGAAUAAUAAUUUUUGUGCUUGCUAUAGUAGAUAAUGAUAAGGUUUUGCACUGAUUAAUACUAACUUAUCUCACGAGUUCUUGUUGAGUUUUGUGUGGAUGAAGUUUUUGAGAUUUAGGGAAACCACGAUAUGAGAGGAAUUAAGGAGACACAAAAGCUCAAGCUUGGGGAUGCCCAAGGCAUCCCAAGCUAAUAUUCCAAGAAGUAUCAAGCAUCUAAGCUUGGGGAUGCCCCGGUAGGCAUCCCACCUUUCUUCUUCAACGAUUAUCAGUUAGUAUCAGUUGAACCUAAGUUUUUGCUUCUUCACAUGAUGUGUGCUAUUCUUGGAAUGUCAUUUUAUUUUGUUUUUUCUUUCUGCUUCAAUAAAAUACUUAGAUCUGAAAGUUUUUGAAUAAGAGAGAGUCCUUAAAUAGCUACCUACUUACUUAACUACUCGCAUGAUCUUCACUUAUAUCUUUUUGGAGUAGUUUGUCAUUUACUCUUGUGCUUCACUUAUAUACUAUGAGUAAAUUGUUGAAUAAAUGGAAUGUCAUGAAUUUGAAAUCAUAUCAUUCCUAGUGGUAGCUUCACAAUGGGUUUAGAAAGUGAAAUCUUUUGAGGCUUGACAAUCACAAUAUUGGUCAUACAAGCAAUUCACUAAUAAUUAGUAUAAGGAAGAGAACUUUCACGUGCAAAUAUACUAUCUUGGAAAUCUUUUGUGAUUGUGAUCCCUCAUCAAAAUAUUAUAUGACAAAAUUGUUGACGUUGGACAAGGAAGACAACGUAAUGAUUUGUGUUUGCUCAUAUUCACAUAGAAGUUAUAUUGUCAUAGAUCCUUCAACAUGUGGUGCUUGCCCCCUAUCUUUGCUAGCCAAAAAUUCUGCACCAAGUAGAGAUACUACUUGUGCAUCCAAAAACCCUUAAACCCAAAUCUUAUUUUCAAGUGUCCACCAUACCUACCUAAGGAUUGAGCAAGAUCCUUCAAGUAAGUUGUCAUUGGUGCAAUAAGGCAAUAAAGCUGAGCAUUGUAUGUACUUGUGAUGGCAAAGAAUAAAAGCGACAGACUGCAUAAUAAAGGUUGCUCUCAUAAGGGGCAAUAUAACAUGACGUUCUUUUGCACGAAGGGGUUGAGCAUACAAACAAAUAAGCGCAUGGCAACCUCUGCUUCCCUCUGCGAAGGGACUAUCUUUUACUUUUCAGUAUUUACUUUUAUGCAAAGAGUCAAAGUUUUUCUCUCUAUUCCUUUUAAUUUUUCUCUUUUGGCAAGCAUCAUGUGGUGAGGAAAGAUCUAGGCACAUAUGUCCAGUUGAAUAUGGGUGGCAUGAGUUAUUAUUGCUGACAUCACCCUUGAGGUGAAUACGUUGGGAGGCAAAACAAUAAGCCCCUAUCUUUCUAUGUGUCCAGUUGAAACAUUUUGCUCAUGAGUACGCAGUGAGUGUUAGCUAUCAUAGAAGACUAUAUGAUGGUUGAGUAUGUGGAGCUCUUACUUAAACUCUGUUGAGUAAGUUGAAUUGCAAUUGAUUGGUGACUGAGAACAUAGGUUGUUGAGUUUCAAGAGAAUUCAUUGUUUGAACCUUAACAUGUGAAUUGGUUGCUACUAUAACAUGAGAAGUUUUAUAAGAAAGAAUUGCUAUAUGAUGCUAGGAAAAGUGAUUGAAAUUAUCAUUGAUCAAACUUAUGCACUUUGCUAGCAUUCACACUUCAUAAAUUAUCUCUUUUAUUAUUUACCUACUCGAGGACGAGUAGGAAUUAAGCUUGGGGAUGCCGAUACGUCUCCAACGUAUCUAUAAUUUAUGAAGUAUUCAUGUUGUUAUAUUAUCAUUCUUGGGUGUUUUACAAUCAUUUUAUAGCAACUUUAUAUCAUUUUUUGGGACUAACCUGUUGACCCAGUGCCCAGUGCCAGUUGCUGUUUUUUGCUUGUUUUUUAAAUCGCAGGAAAUCAAUAUCAAACGAAGUCCAAACACCGCGAGACUCCUUGGAGAAUAUUUAUGGACCAGAACACCCAGGAUGGGCCAGAGCAGCACCUGGGGGGUGCCCCGAGGUGGGCACAACCCACCAGAACACCCAGGAUGGGCUAGGUGGGUUGUGCCCACCUCGGUGGCCUCCCGCACCCCUCCUUCGCCCUAUAAAAUCCCAAAUAUUCCAAAACCCUUCGGGGAAGCCCAAGAUCAGAAGUUCCGCCACUGCAAGGCCUCUGUAUCCACGAGAUCCAAUCUAGACCCCGUUCCGGCACCCUGCCGGAGGGGGGAAUCAUCUCCGGUGGCCAUCUUCAUCAUCCCGGCGGCCACCACGAUGAGGAGGGAGUAAUCCACCCUCGGGGCUAAGGGUUUGUACCAGUAGCUAUGUGUUUAAUCUCUCUCUCUCUCUCGUGUUCUUGAGAUGUUACGAUCUUGAUGUAUCGCGGCCUUUGUUAAUAUAGUCGGAUCAUAUGGUGUUUUCCCCUCUCUAUCUUGUUGUGAUGAAUUGAGUUUUUUCCCUUUGAGAUUUCGUUGUUAUCGGAUUGAAUACUUUUAUGGGUUUGAGAACACUUGAUAUAUGUCUUGCAAUUGAAUACUCGCGGUGACAAUGGGGUAUUGAUACGUCUCCAACGUAUCUAUAAUUUUAGUUUGUUCCAUGCUAUUAUAUUACCCCUUUUGGAUGUUUAUGGGCUUUAUUUUACACAUUUAUAUCAUUUUUUGGACUAACCUACUAACCGGAGGCCCAGCCCGUAUUGCUGUUUUAUUGCCUAUUUCAGUAUUUCGAAGAAAAGGAAUAUCAAACGGAGUCCCAAUGGAAUGAAUCCUUCGGGAGCGUGAUUUUUGGAACGAACGUGAUCCAGAGGACUUGGAGUGCAAGUCAAGAAGCAGCCGAGGCGGCCACGAGGGUGGGGGCGCGCCCACCCCAACAGGGCGUGCCCCCUGUCUCAUGGGCCCCUCGGGAGCCAACAAAAAACAAUUUCCACCAUUGUAACCUUCUGUAUCCGCGAGAUCCCAUCUUGGAGCCUUCGCCGGCGCUCCACCAGAGGGGGAAUCGACCAUGGAGGGCUUCUACAUCAACACUAUAGCCCCUCCAAUGAGUUAUGAGUAGUUUACCACAGACCUUCGGGUCCAUAGUUAUUAGCUAGAUGGCUUCUUCUCUCUUUUUGGAUCUCAAUACCAUGUUCUCCCCCUCUCUUGUGGAGAUCUAUUCGAUGUAACCCUUUUUUGCGGUGUGUUUGUCAAGAUCCGAUGAAUUGUGGGUUUAUGAUCAAGUUUAUCUAUGAGAAAUAUUUGAAUCUCCUCUGAAUUGUUUUAUGUAUGAUUGAGUUAUCUUUGCAAGUCUCUUCGAAUUAUCAGUUUAGUUUGGCCUACUAGAUUGAUCUUUCUUGCAAUGGGAGAAGUGUUUAGCUUUGGGUUCAAUUUUGCGGUGUCCUUACCCAGUGACAGCAGGGGUUGCAAGGCACGUAUUGUAUUAUUGCCAUCGAGGAUAAAAAGAUGGGGUUUAUAUCAUAUUGCAUGAGUGCAUACCUCUACAUCAUGUCAUCUUUCUUAAUGCAUUACUCUGUUCUUAUGAACUUAAUACUCUAGAUGCAUGCUGGAUAGCGAUCGAUGUGUGGAGUAAUAGUAGUAGAUGUAGGCAGGAGUCAGUCUACUUGUCGCGGACGUGAUGCCUAUAUACGUGAUCAUGCCUAGAGAAUCUCAUAAUUAUUCGCUUUUCUAUCAAUUGCUCGAGAGUAAUUUGUUCACCCACCGUAAUACUUAUGCUAUCUUGAGAGAAGCCACUAGUGAAACCUAUGCCCCCCGGGUCUAUCUUUUAUCAUAUAAGCUUUCAAUCAACUUUUAUUUGCAUCUUUACUUUUCCAAUCUAUAUUAUAAAAUACCAAAAAUAUAUUUAUCAUGUCAUACUAUCUCUAUCAGAUCUCACUUUUGCAAGUGGUCGUGAAGGGAUUGACAACCCCUUUAUUGCGUUGGUUGUGAGUUCUUUGUUUGUUUGUGUAGGUGUGUAGGACUUCUGAGGAGCCUCCUACUGGAUUGAUACCGUGGUUCUCAAAAACUGAGGGAAAUACUUACGCUACUAUUGCCGGAUCACCCUUUCUUCUUCAAGGAAAACCCAUGCAAGCUGAAGACGUAGCAAGAAGGAUGUUUUGCUCCGUUGCCGGGGAGGUCUUCGCUCAAGUCAAGACAUACCAAGUACCCAUCACAAACUCAUCUCCCUCGCAUUUACAUUAUUUGCCAUUUUCCUCUCCCCCACUUCACCCUUGCCAUUUUAUUUGCCCUCUCUUUCCCAAUCUUCUCCUCUCUUUUUCGCUUGCCUUUUUUUUUGUCUGCUCGUGUAUUAGAUCGUUUACCUCAUCAUAAUGGCUAGUUCCUUAUCCGCUCCUAUGUCUCCCGAGUUUGAAUUUCUUCACUUUAAGCAAAGGCAAGGAGAAAUUUUAAAAGAUGCUUGGUAUAGUAUGAUGGAAUCUUAUCGCAAUUGCACCCUAGAGGUGAACUUUAGAAUUCUUCUUCGCAAUUUUUAUGUUGGGCUAAAUAUGACGCAAUGACAACUCUUGGAUUGCAUUGCCAAGAGAAAUUUUAUUGAAAUUGAUCCUAGUAUUGCGCAUGAAAUUAUAGAGGGAAUAGUGGGAACACUACCUCAAAAGGGAGGACCACAUCCUACCCAAGAAGAAACACAAGUGUUUGGAAAGAUUUGCGAAGUAACAAAAAUAUUACAAAAGUCUCUUGAGCCUCUUAAAAGUGUUAGCGGAAAUCUUCACCGCAUGAAUAUGUUGAUUACUCUUUGCAAUAAGCGGUUGGAUUCUUUAGAUCUAAAAAUUUCCGAGUAUGAAGGGAAACGUAAAGAACCUCCCGGAUUCGAGCAUGACUCUGCUAAAAAACUGAAAAUCAAAGAUGGCACUACUUAGAUCUAUCUUCGCUUUUAUGCCUAGCUAGGGACGUUAAACGAUAGCGUUAGUUGGGAGGCAACCCAAUUUUAUUUGUGUUUUUUGUUUUUGUUUCUGUUUAGAAAUAAAUUUUGCAUCUACCUUCUGUUUAGAUGUGUUUUUAUGUUUUAAUUAGUGUUUGUGCCAAGUAGAACCUAUAGGAUAACCUAUGGUGAUAGUUAAUUUGAUUCUUCUGAAAAGCAUAAACUUUGCGCGCAUGAAAUUAGUUUUGUUAAAUCACAGAAACGUGAUUUUGCGUUGAUUCUUUUUGCUGAUGAUCAAUAGACAAAUUGCCCAGGAAUUCCUAUUUUUGUAGGAUUUUUAGAGUUCCAGAAGUUUGCGUUAGUUACAGAUUUGUACAGACUGUUCUGUUUUUGACAGAUUCUGUUUUUCGUGUGUUGUUUGCUUAUUUUGAUGCAUCUAUGGCUAGUAUUAAGUGGUAUGAACCAUAGAGAACUUAGAAUACAGUAGGUUUAACACCAAUAUAAAUAAAGAAUGAGUUCAUUACAGUACCUUAUGUGGUGCUUUUGUUUUCUUUCACUAACGGAGCUUAUGAGAUUUCCUGUUGAGUUUUGUGUUGUGAAGUUUUCAAGUUUUGGGUAAAGAUUUGAUGGACUAUGGAAUAAGGAGUGUCAAAAGCCUAAGCCUGGGGAUGCCCAUGGCACCCCAAGAUAUUCAAGAAUAGCCAAAAGCCUAAGCUUGGGGAUGCCCCGGGAAGUCAUCCCUCUUUCGUCUUCGUUCAUUGGUAACUUUACUUGGGGCUAUAUUUUUAUUCGCCACAUGAUAUGUGUUUUGCUUGGAGCAUCUUGUAUGAUAUUUGUAUCUGCUUUUUAGUUUACCACAAUCAUCUUUGCUGUACACACCUUUUGGGAGAAGCCUAAUUUAUUAGAAUAAUCUACGUGCUUCACUUAUAUCUUUUGAGCUAGAUAGUUUUUGCUCUAGUGCUUCACUUUUAUCUUUUAGAGCACGGCGGUGGCUUAAUUUUGUAGAAAUUGCUUGUCUCUCAUGCUUCAAUUAUAUUAUUUUGAGAGUCUUUUAGAACAGCAUGAUAUUUGCUAUGGUUAUAAAAUUGGUCCUAGAAUGGUAGGCAUCCAAGUUGGGUAUAAUAAAACUAUCAUAGGAAGUGAAUUGGAUUCUAUGAUCAAUUUGAUACUUGAUAAUUGUUUUGAGAUAUGGAGGUAGUGAUAUUAAAGUCAUUCUAGUUGGGUGAUUAUGAAUUUAAAAAAUGCUUGUGUUGAAGUUAGCAAGUCCUGUAGCAUGCACGUAUGGUUAAAGUUGUGUAACAAAUUUGAAACAUGAAGUGUACUUGGAUUGUGCAUCCUUAUGAGUGGCGGUCGGGGACGAGCGAUGGUCUUUUCCUACCAAUCUAUCCCUCUAGGAGCAUGCGCGUAGUGCUUGGUUUUUGAUUACUUCUAAAUUUUUGCAAUAAGUAUAUGAGUUCUUUUGACUAAUGUUGAGUCCAUGGAUUAUACGCACUUUUACCUUUCCAUCAUUGCUAGCCUCUUCGGUACCGUGCAUUGCCCUUUCUCACCUUGAGAGUUGCUGCAAACUUCACCGGUGCAUCCAAACCCCGUGAUAUGAUACGCUCUAUCACACAUAAACCUCCUUAUAUCUUCCUCAAAACAGCCACCAUACCUACCUAUUAUGGCAUUUCCAUAGCCAUUCCGAGAUACAUUGCCAUGCAACUUUCCACCAUUCUGUUUAUCAUCAUGACACACAUUAAAUUUGUCAUAUUGCCAUUGCAUGAUCAUGUAGUUGACAUCGUAUUUGUGGCAAAGCCACCAUGCAUAAUUUUUCAUACAUGUCACUCUUGAUUCAUUGCACCAUCCCGGUACACCGACGGAGGCAUUCAUAUAGAGUCAUAUCUUGUUAGUUUUGAGUUGUAAUUCAUAUGUUGUAAAUCAAUGAAAGUGUGAUGAUCAUCAUUAUAAGAGCAUUGUCCCAAGAAAAAAAGGCCAAAAAGAAAAAAAGAAAAGGCCAAAGAAAAAAAAGGAAAAGGAAAAAAGAUAAUAAAUAAAAAGGUGGAAUAUUAUUAUCUCUUUUUCCACAUUUGUGCUUCAAAGUAGCAGUUUGUCCUUUAUAUAGCGAGUCUCAUAUAUUGUGCUUCAAAGUAGCACCAUGUUUUUCAUAUAGCGAGUCUCAUAUGUUUUCACUUUCAUAUACUAGUGGGAACUUUUCAUUAUAGAACUUGGCUUGUAUAUUCCUAUGAUGGGCUUCCUUAAAAUGCCCUAGGUCUUCGUGACCAAGCGAGUUGGAUGCGCACCCACUAGUUUCUUUUGUUGAGCUUUUAUUCAUUUAUAGCUCUAAUGCAUCCGUUGCAUGGCAAUCCCUACUCCUCAUGUUGACAUCAAUUGAUGGUCAUCUCCAUAGCCCGUUGAUUAUCCUCGUCAAUGUGAGACUUUCUCCUUUUUUGUCUUCUCCAUGCAAUCUCCAUCAUCAUAUUCUAUUCCACCCAUAGUGCUAUAUCCAUGGCUCACGCUCAUGUACUGCGUGAAAGUUGAAAGAGUUUGAGAUUAUUUAAGUACGAAACAAUUGCUUGGCUUGUCAUCGAGGGUGUAGGAUUUGGGAACAUUUUUGUGUGACAAAAAUGAAGCAUAUCCUAACUCUAUGAUUUUGUAGGGAUGAACUUUCUUUAGCCAUGUUAUUUUGAGAAGACAUGAUUACUUUUAUUAGUAUGCUUGAAGUAUUACUAUUUCUUUUGUCAAUAUGAACUUUUAUUUUAAAUCAUUUGAAUCUGAACAUUCAUGCCACAAUAAAGAAAAUUACAUUGAGAAUUAUGCUAGGUAGCAUUCCACAUCAAAAUUUCUGUUUUUAUCAUUUACCUACUCGAGGAUGAGCAGGAAUUAAGCUUGGGGAUGCUUGAUACGUCUCCAACGUAUCUAUAUUUUUUGAUUGUUCCAUGCUAUUAUAUUACCCCUUUUGGAUGUUUAUGGGCUUUAGUUUACACAUUUAUAUCAUUUUUGGGACUAACCUACUAAUCGGAGGCCCAACCUGUAUUGCUGUUUUUUUGCGUAUUUCUGUAUUUCGAAGAAAAGGAAUAUCAAAUGGAGUCCAAACAGAAUGAAACCUUUGGGAGCGUGAUUUCUGGAACGAACGUCAUCCAGAGGACUUGGAGUGCAAGCCAAGAAGCAGCUGAGGCGGCCAUGAGGGUGGGGGCGCGCCCACCCCUACAGGGCGCACCCCUUGUCUCGUGGGCCCCUCGGGCGGCCACCGACCUACUUCUUCCUCCUAUAUAUACCCACGUACCCCAAAAACAUCCAGGGAGCCAAUGAAAAACAAUUUCCACCGCGUAACCUUCUUUAUCUGCGAGAUCCCAUCUUGGAGCCUUCAUCGGCGCUCCGCCGAAGGGGAAAUUGACCACGGAGGGCUUCUACAUCAACACCAUAGCCCCUCCGAUGAGUUGUCACUACUAGGGAAAACCUUAUACACAGAAAUUUAGCAACAGCGCGGGUCAAAAAAGGGCGCUAGUGCUACAUAGCAGUAGCGAUCGAAGGAAAACCGCGCUACAGAUACAAUCUUAGCAGUAGCGCGUGUAAUGGCAAAAGCGCUACUACUAAUAUUCCAAUUGGUAGAAUGGUAGGCUACGCAUAGCAGUAGCGGGCUUGGAGGAAACGCGCUACCGCUAGGGCAUAAGUAGCAGCGCGUUUCCUAGGAAGAGCGCUACUACUAACGGAAAUAAAAUAAGAUGAAAAACAAAUAGAAAAGUAAAUGAAAAUGAAAGAAAUAGAAAAAUGAGAAAGGAAAAAAUAAAAUGUAAAGCAAAAUAAAUAAAAAAGCAAAAAAACGGAGGAAGACAUAGCAGCAGCGUGUGUUUGUAAGAGGCGCUGUAGCUAACGUAGCUGCAGCGCGUGUCCUAGACCCCCGCUAUAGAAACAGAAAAGGAAAUUAAAAAUGGAAGAAAAUUACAUAGCUAUAGCAGCAGCGCGUUUUGUGAAAACCGCUAUAGCUAUCUUAGCUAUAGCGCGUUUCACCAAACGCGCUACCGCUAAGUUUGACUUAACCAAAAAACUGUUUCCCCCCGGCCACCACUUCUCCCCCAAAUCCCUCAACCCACCCCGCGCGCCGCCGUCUCCCUGAUUCGUCGUCGCCCCACUUCGCUGGCGUCUCCUGCCGACGUCGACGCCACGAGAGCCGUGUGCCGUCGACGCCACUGGAGCCGCCCCCAACGCCACGGAGCCGCGCGGCCUCGUCAACGCCACCGGAGCCGCCGUCGACGCCACCGGAUCCUUCCUCGCCACAACAGCCUCCCUCGCCGUCACCGGAGACGCCCCUGCCUCCCUCGCCGCCACUGCCUCCGUCGCCACCACCGGAGCCAUCCUCUGUAAGCCCCCACCCCUCCUCUCUCUCUCUCAUGCAUAGGUUAGCUAGUUUAAUUAGGUUAAUUAUCUAGGUUAGGGAAAAAAUUUAGUUAGGGCUUUGACAGAGAAGUAGUUAGGUUAACUAGUUUAAUUAGGUUAAUUAUCUAGGUUAGUGCAAAAAUUUAGUUAGGGCUUUGACUGAGAACUAGUCAGGUUAACUAGUUUAAUUAGGUUAAUUAUCUAGGUUAAUUAGUGCAAAAAUUUAUUUUGGGCUUUGACAAAGAACUAGCUGCGUUAACUAGUUUAAUUAGGGUUAAUUAUCUAGGUAAACUAGAUUAACUAACUAGGUUAAAUAGGUAGGUUAAUUAGGUUCGUUGGAUUAACAAGCUAGGUUAAGUAGGCUGGCUAGGUUAGAGGAAAAUUUUAUUUUAGAGCAUUAGGUCGGAAGGGUUAGAGAAAUGGAGUUUCUUUGCAAUUUAAUUGGGUUCUGUCCUAGGCAGAGAAGGGUUAGAGAUAAUAAUGUGUGUUUGUGUGAGAGAGAGGAAUAGCUAGAUCAACAUAAUUUGGGUUCUGUCCUAGGCAGAGAAGUGUUUAGUGAGGUCAUUUUGCAAAGGUUUUUGAUUUUUGAAAAGACCACUAUUUUUCAAGGAAAAGAAUUUAGGCAAAUUUUAUUUUUCAUUGAAGUGGUCAUGUUAUAUCUUUUCAUUGAAGUUGUUCGAUUGUGCCCAAGUGGCUUUGUUGUUUCUAGGGAAUGAUGUUGAGUGGACUAUGUUUUGCCGGAAUGUUGAUUCAUUUCUGUUCCGGCAAAUUUCAGGUUCUCGAUUUGUCCACUUUUUAGCAAAGGUCAUGCCGAAAUUUUUCUUUAAUUUCGGCAUGACUUGUGCUACAAACUAGGACAUAUCGAGUGCCCGGGAUUUGCCACACCAAGAAGGAGUCAACAUUCCUGCAAAACAAUAGUCCUUUUUUAUGUCAUUAUUCAUUUUAUUAGGUCUAGAAUUAAUUGAAUAGAUUUAAUCAUAGGAAAGAUGGCUAGCAACGAUGAAGGACAGGGUUCUGGUGAUUGCGAUGACGUCUACCGGGCGGCAGACGAAUAUUUUAGCCUUACCGAUGAUCAACCGAUGUUGUUGCUGGGCCCACUGGUGGCAUCGGGGACUGAGACCGACGCGCAGACCGGUGCUGAGACUCAGACCGGCGCUGAGAUUCAGACCGGCAUCGAGACCGGCGCUGAGACCGGUGCUGCCUCAGGGAGCGGAGCCGGUGUAGAACCGAAAGCAAAGAGGCAACGGGUUCCUAACAAACUCAGGACUACUAGACUGGUGGUCACGGAGGUGGACGAUGGCAAUUUUGAGCCAAAGGCGCCCGAGGAAGCGCGCGCGUGCUACGAUGAGAAACUACAGAAGAUAGAAAAUAUGAGGAGCUCCCUUCUAAAGAAGUUUCACUAGAUAUUCUUGUUCCCAGGCCGGAAUGAGAAGGAUUAUGAAGAUCCCGACGAGGACCCGGCAAUGAAGAAGAUAAACAAACACGCCAUGACCAAGUUUAGCGACGCGUUGGCCGCCUAGAAAAAUCGAGUGAAAGCAAAGAUCAACGAUGGGGAACCCUACUCCGAGAUUGUAAAGGAUAAUCCGACAAUCACGGAAGAGCAGUUUCAAAUAUUCAAGGAGGCUUGCGAGGCCGAAGCUGCCAAAAAAAGUCUAAGUACAUGAAGGGGCUUCAAAAGAGGAACAUUGGGAGCCGCCACCUCGGAAGCCGUGGUUACGGCGGAAUGAGGUCCAAAUGGGCCAAGGAGGAUGCGGAAGCCGCGAGUCUGGGCAUCCCAGACCCCUUGGCGGAUUUCAAUGUCCUGCAGGAGCGUGACGUCCUAAGGGCCCGGCACUGUUGGGACCCAGUGAAGAAGGUUUACCAGACAACACCUGUCAUUACAGAGUUCAUGAGACUGCUGGUAAUUUUAGUUUCUGAUCAAUUCGACUGCACACGUUAGUCAUAUUUGUAAACGAUCCUUGUGCCUUUUGCAGAGAGAGUAGCACCGGAUUGCGGCCGAAAGCGACUCGCCGUCUGUGGCAUUGGCGAGGCCCAAGUGGGACACUCCAUUCAACCGGGCGUUGAACAUAUUGAAACGACAACCGGUGGAUACUCGACCGUCAUAUGGACGCGUGCACGGUGUCAGAGACGGCGCCACGUGGAAGAAGUACUACCGUGAGACCACGGAGGAGAGAAAGGAAAGACGGAGGUUAACUGAAGAAAACAUCGACAAGAAGGUUGAGAUUGCGGUUGAGAAGAAAUCAUCUCAGACAGUCGCAACAGCGGUAGCUGCCACAAAACAGGCGAUGUAGAUAUGUCUACUUCCUUGGUGACGGGCGUUUUCACUUGGACAAGGCAAAAUCCAGAAAAAAAUGCAGAGGACUUUCCCCUUGCUGACUUCUUGGGAGCACCUGCUCCCGAACCGGCUCCCGCACCUGCUCCCGCACCGGCUCCCGUACCUGCUCCCGCAUAGGCUCCCGCACCGGACGUGCUUGGUGGUGCCUCCUCUUUGGCUGAGCUCGACGCCCUCACGGUAUCUGUCACACCGGCCCCAUUCAAUAUAAAUGUAUAAUCUCGUUUUCGUUGCCUUUCGGAUGUCUCACGUCGCAGACUUUUCUUUGCAGGCCAACGAAACCCCGUGCACCAUAUUGUACACCAUCGGUGAACAGAACGUGGACGUGGGGAAGUUGAUGAUAAUGGAGCCGAAGGAACCAUUGUUCCACAGCCAGCCGAUCCCCCCGAACGUCUUCAAGGUUUCCGUGGCCAGUGUCAAACCGGGCCACGAGAAUUUGCCUCCUCUAAUACUAGUGGGGAAUGACAAUGAGACCCCGCAGCGGCUUGGUGAUUGUUGCAAUGGGUGGGUCCUGUUGUGGCCAAAGAGUCUGCUUCGUCUGGAGGCGGCCGGGAGCACACCCACGAGCACGCAGCCUCAACAAGGUAUGAACAUCAACACCCCACCUACCCAAUUAGCAUCGGGUGUCGGGUUGGGUGUUAGCGGACGGGGUAAGGAGGAGGCUCCAUUAGUCGCUGAUGAUGUCGCCAUGGAUGAGGAUGAGGAUGACGAUGGCGCUGAACAGUAUGUUUAUACUGGCGCCUCCUCAGGGUUUGAGCAUCAUGAGUCGGUGCCUGAAUUACUGUCUCAACGUAUUAUUGACGACCUUCCGGUAGUAAAGAAGUCUAGGAAGAGAGCGAGGAAAGGCAAAAAGCUGAUUCUAUGAUCCAGCCGCCUCAGCAGCCUCGGCUUCAGGACCGUAUAGAUAUCCCCGAUGCGGAUAAAUGGCAUAUCCUCGGUCAACCAAUCCUACCUACAACUGCGCUAUGGGCCAGAUUCGGCGAUCUAAGGAGACUUCAUGACGAUGUGCUGCGGGUAGAGAAAGGCCUCAUCGCCUCGAAAGAUCCAGGAUACCCACUCUACGUGGUUAACGUUCCGCGGCAAAUGUCGUACGUCGACAGCUUCCCUGCGGAUAAGUUCUUACUCCGAUUCGAUUACAUAUUCGACAUGUUUCACGUGAAGAAGUUGGAUUUACGUUUGUCCGCCUUUAUGCCUUGCACAUGAACUACAUCAUUGGGGUUGAGCAGAUACGUCAUAUCUGUGUCGCUGACCUCUACUACAUGCACGAGGGCUUCUUGGGAGUAUGUGUAGAUCAGCGUGAAUACGCGGGGGAUUACAUCGUCAGUUUCAUGCUCGCCAAUAAGGACAAGGAGGCGAUUCUCGUGCCUUAUCAUCCCGUGUAAGUCAUCUGUGCUGCUAUCCUUCCUUCGAUUUCAAUAAUUCAUUUGCACGGUGGAGGCUAAUUAAUUUGAGGUGUACUUAUUUUGCGCAGCGGCGGGCGUGCCGUCCUCAUCAUCCUCUACCCCUGAUUCUCCCACGCUCUUUACUUGGACUCGUCGAAGAACAUUCACAAAAAGGAUUACACCCACAUCAAAGAUGUUCUCGACAGUGCUAUGUUUUACUACCAAGCAAGGGAGAGGUUAGAGACAAGAAGAGAAGGGGCAGCAGGGCCGCCUUCAGCCAUAAGACCGACUUCUGCUGCAUCCAGCAACCGAACGAUUCUCUUAAUGAUGGAUUCUAUGUCCUACACCACAUGCUGGAGUACAGACGUGAUCACCAGAACCUUCACAUGUCACCUAGAUCUGGCGAUGCCCAUAUUCUGCAAUGGACAAAGGACAUAGGAGAUAUCGAGGAUCAUCGACUUCGAGCUGAGUUCUAUAACAUCCAGCGUGAACUUGCCCAAAUCGUCAUGAAAGAGGUCGUCGGAAAAACAGGGAUGUUCUACAGAGAAGGACAAAUGUCGCGGGAAGUCGUCCGAACAUGGAUAGCCUCUCAGCGUCUCGACAUGAAGCCUUUCACUAAGCUUGGGGACUAUGUCCCUGACCUCGAUGGAUGGCACGGCAUGUUGGAGUGAUUGUCGAUAUAUGACAAUGUGUCUGUUUAGUCCAUACUUUCUGUAUGACAAAACUUUGAGUUAUGCGCAGUGAAACUUCAUUAUUGAUGUAAUUAAACCGUCCUCCUCCUCGACUAGCGAAGAUCACUCUAGUUAGGGCAUUUUGCGUACGAUGAACUUUGUUAUUUAUCCUUAUGAUAUGUUGUUUCUAUUUUUGUCAAGUCUAUCUCUUUUUGUUGCUCAACUAUAUAUGUUGCAUAUCAUUGACUCAUGUGACGAUGCAGGUGCAUAGAUCAUCGAUGGCGAAGAAGUGCUACGCCAGGAGUAUAUAUACGAUGAGUGGCCGGAGUGUCAGGCCCAGGUGUUACCGGUUUCCGGUUUCCGAGCGACAGGCAGUAGUUAGUUUAGGUUCACGCUAAUGCGAGAGAGGGAUACGAACUCAUGUACUCAAAGUGAUAGCUCUUCUCGCGUAUACCAUUGUUUAGAUGGAUGACGAUGUAUUUGCAAGUAAUCAAGGACUUGUAUCACUAUUUUCGAGAUGAUGACGAGAGACCACUUUGUGCUGGAUGAUGAUUAUGAUGAGACUAUUUGUAUGUAUAUGCUAUGAUUACAUUCGUGGUCUCGCAGGCAUUUGUAUGUGUAUCAUGAUGACAUUUCUAUGUGCUAAAGAUUCUUCUAUAAAGCCUGUUCAAAUACAAAACAAAUAUGCCCAAAAAAACAAAAAACUUGUUAAAUUAGCAGUUGCGAGUGUAUAAAAGUUAGCAGCAGCACCGCGGUAGCAGUACUGCGUCGUUGCAAAGGGCGCUAGAGCUACUAGCAGUAGCGAGCUUCCAAUGACCGCACUGCAGCUACACUUGUGUAGCAGUAGCGCGGGUGACCACGCGCUACUGCUAUGUGUUAGCUUUAGCGCCUUAUUAGUAGUGCCCCUCCCCGCGCUACUGAUACACCUAAAACCCGCGCUGCUGCUAGCCUUUUCCCUAGUAGUGUGUGAGUAGUUUACCACAGACCUUCGGGUCCAUAGUUAUUAGCUAGAUGGCUUCUUCUCUCUUUUUGGAUCUCAAUACCAUGUUCUCCCCCUCUUUUGUGGACAUCUAUUCGAUGUAACCCUUUUUUGCGGUGUGUUUGUCGAGAUCCGAUGAAUUGUGGGUUUAUGAUCAAGUUUAUCUAUGAGAAAUAUUUUAAUCUCCUCUUAAUUCUUUUAUGUAUGAUUGAGUUAUCUUUGCAAGUCUCUUCGAAUUAUCAGUUUGGUUUGGCCUACUAGAUUGAUCUUUCUUGCAAUGGGAGAAGUGUUUAGCUUUGGGUUCAAUCUUGUGGUGUCCUUACCCACUGACAGCAGGGGUUGCAAGGCACAUAUUGUAUUAUUGCCAUCGAGGAUAAAAAGAUGGGGUUUAUAUCAUAUUGCAUGAGUUUAUCCCUCUACAUCAUGUCAUCUUUCUUAAUGCGUUACUCUGUUCUUAUGAACUUAAUACUCUAGAUGCAUGCUGGAUAGCGGUCGAUGUGUGGAGUAAUAGUAGUAGAUGCAGGCAGGAGUCGGUCUACUUGUCGCGGACGUGAUGCCUAUAUACAUGAUCAUGCCUAGAUAAUCUCAUAAUUAUUCGCUUUUCUAUCAAUUGAUGGAUAGUAAUUUGUUCACCCACCGUAAUACUUAUGCUAUCUUGAGAGAAGCCACUAGUGAAACCUAUGGCCCCGGGUCUAUCUUUUAUCAUAUAAGCUUUCAAUCUACUUUUAUCAUCUUUACUUUCCCAAUCUUUAUUAUAAAAUACCAAAAAUAUAUUUAUCUUAUCAUACUAUCUCUAUCAGAUCUCACUUGUGCAAGUGGCCGUGAAGGGAUUGACAACCCCUUUAUUGCGUUGGUUGCAAGUUCUUUGUUUGUUUGUGUAGGUGCGUGAGACUUCUGAGGAGCCUCCUACUGGAUUGAUACCUUGGUUCUCAAAAACCGAGGGAAAUACUUACACUACUAUUGCUGCUGUUGGGGAACAUAGUAAUUUCAAAAAAAAAAAUCCUACGCACACGCAAGAUCAUGGUGAUGCAUAGCAACGACAGGGGAGAGUGUGUCCACGUACCCUCGUAGACCGAAAGCGGAAGCGUUAGAACAACGCGGUUGAUGUAGUCGUACGUCUUCACGGCCCGAUCGAUCAAGCACCGAAACUACGGCACCUUCAAGUUCUAGCACACGUUCAACUCGAUGACGUCCCUCGAACUCUGAUUCAAACGGCGUGGUGACGUUCUUGAUGUUCUACUGUCGCAGGGCUUCGCCUAAGCACCGCUACAAUAUUAUCGAGGAGGACUAUGGUGGAGGGGGGGCACCGCACACGGCUAAGAGAUCAAUGAUCAAUUGUUGUGUCUAGAGGUGCCCCCCUGCCCCCGUAUAUAAAGGAGCAAGGGGGAGGGUGCGGCCGGCCAGGGAGGAGGCGCGCCAAGGGGAGUGCUACUCCCACCGCGAGUAGGACUCCCUCCUUUCCUUGUCCAAGUAGGAGAGGGGGAAGGAAGGGAGAGAGGGGAGGAAGGAAAGGGGGGCGCCGCCACCCCUCCUUGUCCAAUUCGGACUAGAGGGGGAGGGGGCGCGCGGCCUGCCCUGGCCGCCCCUCCUCUUCUCCGCUUUGGGCCCAACUGGCCCAUUAAGGGGGUUUCAGUAACCCCCCGGUACUCCGGUAUAUAUCCGAUAACCUCCGAAACUUAUUCCGGUGUCCGAAUAUAGUCGUCCAAUAUACCAAUCUUCAUGUCUCGGCCAUUUAGAGACUCCUCGUCAUGUCCGUAAUCACAUUCGGGACUCCGAACAAACUUCAGUACAUCAAAACUCAUAAACUCAUAAUAUAACUGUCAUCGAAACCUUAAGCGUGCGGACCCUACGGGUUCGAGAACUAUGUAGACAUGACCGAGAACCGUUUUCGGUCAGCAACCAAUAGCGGAACCUGGAUUCUCAUAUUGGCUCCUACAUAUUCUACGAAGAUCUUUAUCGGUCAAACCGCAUAACAACAUAUGUUGUUCCCUUUGUCAUCAGUAUGUUACUUGCCCGAGAUUUGAUCGUCGGUAUCUCAAUACCUAGUUCAAUCUCGUUAUGUAAUACAUCAUCUCGCAACUAACUCAUUAGUCACAUUGCUUGCAAGGCUUAAAGUGAUGUGUAUUACCCAGAGGGCCCAGAGAUACCUCUCUGACAAUCGAAGUGACAAAUCCUAAUCUCGAAAUACGCCAACCCAACAAGUACCUUCGGAGACACCUAUAGAGCACCUUUAUAAUCACCCAGUUACGUUGUGGCAUUUGGUAGCACACAAAGUGUUCCUCUGGUAAACAGGAGUUGCAUAAUCUCAUAGUCACUAGAACAUGUAUAAGUCAAGAAGAAAGCAAUAGCAAUAUACUAAACGAUCAAGUGCUAAGCUAACAUAAUGGGUCAAGUCAAUCACAUCAUUCUCUCAAUGAUGUGACCCCAUUUAAUAAAAUGACAACUCUUUUGUCCAUGGCUAGGAAACAUAACCAUCUUUGAUAAACGAGCUAGUCAAGUAGAGGCAUACUAGUGACACUUAGUUGUCUAUGUAUUCACACAUGUAUCAUGUUUCCGGUUAAUACAAUUCUAGCAUGAAUAAUAAACAUUUAUCAUGAAAUAAGGAAAUAAAUAAUAACUUUAUUAUUGCCUCUAGGGCAUAUUUCCUUCAGUCUCCCACUUGCACUAGAGUCAAUAAUCUAGAUUACACAGUAAUGAUUCUAACACCCAUGGAGCCUUGGUGUUGAUCAUAUUUUGCUCGUGGAAGAGGCUUAGUAAAUGGGUCUGCAAUAUUCAGAUCCGUAUGUAUCUUGCAAAUAUCUAUGUCUCCCACCUGGGCUUGGUCCCAGAUGGAAUUCAAGCGUCUCUUGAUGUGUUUGGUCCUCUUGUGAAAUCUGGAUUCCAUUGCCAAAGCAAUUGCACCAGUACUGUCACAGAAGAUCUUCAUUGGUCCCAAAGCACUAGGUAUGACACCUAGAUCGGAAAUGAACUCCUUCAUCCAGACUCCUUCAUUUGCUGCUUUUGAAGCAGCUAUGUACUCCGCUUCACAUGUAGAUCCCGCCAUGAUGCUUUGUUUAGAACUGCACCAACUGACAGCUCCACGGUUCAAUAUAAACACGUAUACGGUUUGCAAUUUAGAGUCGUCCGGAUCAGUGUCAAAGCUUGCAUCGACGUAACCAUUUACGACUAGCUCUUUGUCACCUCCAUAAACGAGAAACAUAUCCUUAGUCCUUUUCAGGUAUUUCAGGAUAUUCUUGACCGCUGUCAAGUGAUCUACUCCUGGAUUACUUUGGUACCUCCCUGCUAAACUUAUUGCUAAGUGUACAUCAGGUCUGGUACACAGCAUUUCAUACAUGAUAGAGCCUAUGGCUGAAGCAUAGGGAACAUCUUUCAUUUUUUCUCUAUCUUCUGCUGUGGUCGGGCAUUGAGUCUGACUCAACUUCACACCUUGUAAUACAGGCAAGAACCCUUUCUUUGCCUGAUCCAUUUUGAACUUUUUCAAAACUUUAUCAAGGUAUGUGCUUUGUGAAAGUCCAAUUAAACGUCUUGAUCUAUCUCUAUAGAUCUUCAUGCCUAAUAUGUAAGCAGCUUCACCGAGGUCUUUCAUUGAAUAACUUUUAUUCAAGUAUCCCUUUAUGCUAUCCAGAAAUUCUGUAUCAUUUCCAAUCAACAAUAUGUCAUCUACAUAUAAUAUCAGAAAUGCUAUAGAGCUCCCACUCACUUUCUUGUAAAUACAGGCUUCUCCAAAAGUCUGUAUAAAACCAUAUGCUUUGAUCACACAAUCAAAGCAUUUAUUCCAACUCCGAGAGGCUUGCACCAGUCCAUAAAUGGAUCGCUGGAGCUUGCAUACUUUGUUAUCAUCUUUUGGAUCAACAAAACCUUCUGGUUGCAUCAUAUGCAACUCUUCUUCCAGAAAUCCAUUCAGGAACACAAUUUUGACAUCCAUUUGCCAUAUUUCAUAAUCAUAAAAUGCGGCAAUUGCUAACAUGAUUCGAACAGACUUAAGCAUCACUACGAGUGAGAAAGUCUCAUUGUAGUCAACCCCUUGAACUUGUCGAAAACCUUUUGCAACAAGUCGAGCUUUGUAGAUAGUUACAUUACCAUCAGCGUUAGUCUUCUUCUUGAAGAUCCAUUUAUUCUAGAUGGCUUGCCGAUCAUCGAGCAAGUCAACCAAAGUCCAUACUUUGUUCUCAUACAUGGAUCCCAUCUCAGAUUUCAUGGCCUCAAGCCAUUUUGCGGAAUCUGGGCUCAUCAUCGCUUCCUCAUAAUUCGUAGGUUCGUCAUGGUCAAGUAACAUGACUUCCAGAAUAGGAUUGUCGUACCACUCUGGUGCGGAUCUUAUUCUAGUUGACCUACGAGGUUCGAUAGUAACUUGAUCUGAAGUUUCAUGAUCAAUAUCAUUAGUUUCCUCACUAAUUGGUGUAUUCGUCACAGGAACUGGUUUCUGUGAUGAACUAUUUUCCAAUAAGGGAGCAGGUACAGUUACCUCAUCAAGCUCUACUUUCCUUCCACUCACUUCUUUCGAGAGAAACUUCUUCUCUAGAAAGGAUCCAUUCUUGGCAACGAAUGUCUUGCCUUCGGAUCUGUGAUAGAAGGUGUACCCAACAGUUUCCUUUGGGUAUCCUAUUUAGACACAUUUCUCCGAUUUGGGUUCGAGCUUAUCAGGUUGAAGUUUUUUCACAUAAGCAUCACAGCCCCAAACUUUAAGAAACGACAACUUUGGUUUUUUGCCAAACCAUAGUUCAUAAAGCGUCGUCUCAACGGAUUUUGAUGGUGCCCUAUUUAACGUGAAUGCGGCCGUCUCUAAAGCAUAACCCCAAAAUGAUAGCGGUAAAUCAGUAAGAGAAAUCAUAGAUCGCACCAUAUCUAGUAAAGUGCGAUUAUGAUGUUCGGACACACCAUUACGUUGUGGUGUUCUGGGUUGCUUGAGUUGCGAAACUAUUCCGCAUUGUUUCAAAUGUAAACCAAACUCGUAAAUCAAAUAUUCUCCUCCACGAUCAGAUCGUAGAAACUUUAGUUUCUUGUUACGAUGAUUUUCAACUUCACUCUGAAAUUCUUUGAACCAUUCAAAUGUUUCAGACUUAUGUUUCAUUAAGUAGAUAUACCCAUAUCCAUAUCUGCUUAAAUCAUCUGUGAAGGUGAGAAAAUAACGAUACCCGCCGCGAGCUUCAAUAUUCAUUGGACCACAUACAUCUGUAUGUAUGAUUUCCAACAAAUUAGUUGCUCUCUCCAUAGUUCCGGAGAACAGCGUUUUAGUCAUCUUGCCCAUGAGGCAUGGUUCGCAAGUACCAAGUGAUUCAUAAUCAAGUGAUUCCAAAAGUCCAUCAGUAUGGAGUUUCUUCAUGCGUUUUAUACCAAUAUGACCUAAACGGUAGUGCCACAAAUAAGUUGCACUAUCAUUAUAAACUCUGCAUCUUUUGGUCUCAACAUUAUGAAUAUGUGUAUCACUACUAUCGAGAUUCAUCAAAAAUAGACCACUCUUUAAGGGUGCAUGACCAUAAAAGAUAUUACUCAUAUAAAUAGAACAACCAUUAUUCUCAGAUUUAAAUGAAUAACCUUGUCGCAUCAAACAAGAUCCAGAUAUAAUGUUCAUGCUCAACACUGGCACCAAAUAACAAUUAUUUAGGUCUAAAACUGAUCCCAAUGGUAGAUGUAGAGGUAGCGUGCUGACGGCGAUCACAUCGACUUUGGAGCCAUUUCCCACCCGCAUUGUCACCUCAUCCUUAGCCAGUGUCCGCUUAAUCUGUAGUCCCUGUUUUGAGUUGCAAAUAUUAGCAAUAGAACCAGUAUCAAAUACCAGGUGCUACUGCGAGCUCUGGUAAGGUACACAUCAAUAACAUGUAUAUAACAUAUACCUUUGUUCACCUUGCCAUCCUUCUUAUCCGCCAAAUACUUGGGGCAGUUCCGCUUCCAGUGACCAGUCUGUUUGCGGUAGAAGCACUCAGUCUCAGGCUUAGGUCCAGACUUGGGUUUCUUCUCUUGAGCAGCAACUUGUUUGCUGUUCUUCUUGAAGUUCCCCUUCUUCUUCCCUUUACCCUUUUUCUUGAAACUGGUGGUCUUGUUGACCAUCAACACUUGAUGCUCCUUUUUGAUUUCUACCUUCGCAGCCUUUAGCAUAGCUAAGGCUCGGGGAAAGUCUUGUUCAUCCCUUGCAUAUUAUAGUUCAUCACAAAGCUCUUGUAGCUUGGUGGAAGUGAUUGGAGAAUUCUGUCAAUGACGCAAUCAUCCGGAAGAUUAACUCCCAGUUGAAUCAAGUGAUUGUUAUACCCAGACAUUCUGAGUAUAUGCUCACUGACAGAACUAUUCUCCUCCAUCUUGCAGCUAUAGAACUUAUUGGAGACUUCAUAUCUCUCAAUCCGGGCAUUUGCUUGAAAUAUUAACUUCAACUCCUGGAACAUCUCAUAUGCUCCAUGACGUUCAAAACAUCGUUGAAGUCCCAAUUCUAAGCCAUAAAGCAUGGCACACUGAACUAUCGAGUAGUCAUCAGCUUUGCUCUGCCAAACAUUCACAACGUCCGUAGUUGCAUCUGCAGCAGGCCUGGCACCCAGCGGUGCUUCCAAGACGUAAUUCUUCUGUGCAGCAAUGAGGAUAGUCCUCAAGUUACGGACCCAAUCCGUGUAAUUGCUACCAUCAUCCUUCAACUUCGCUUUCUCAAGGAACGCAUUAAAAUUCAAUGGAACAACAGCACGAGCCAUCUAUCUACAAUCAACACAGACAUGCAAAAUACUAUCAGGUACUAAGUUCAUGAUAAAUUUAAGUUGAAUUAAUCAUAUUACUUAAGAACUCCCACUUAGAUUGACAUCCCUCUAAUCAUCUAAGUGAUCACGUGAUCCAAAUCAACUAAACUAACCAAUCAUCACGUGAAAUGGAGUAGUUUUCAAUGGUGAACAACAUUAUGUUGAUCAUAUCUACUAUAUAAUUCAUGCUUGACCUUUCGGUCUCAGUGUUCUGAGGCCAUAUCUGCAUAUGCUAGGCUCGUCAAGUUUAACCUGAGUAUUCUACGUGUGCAAAACUGGCUUGCACCCGUUGUAGAUGGACGUAGAGCUUAUCACACCCGAUCAUCACGUGGUGUCUGGGCACGACGAACUUUGGCAACGGUGCAUACUCAGGGAGAACACUUUUUUCUUGAAAUUUAGUGAGAGAUCAUCUUAUAAUGCUACCGUCAAUCAAAGCAAGAUAAGAUGCAUAAAGGAUAAACAUCACACGCAAUCAAUAUAAGUGAUAUGAUAUGGCCAUCAUCAUCUUGUGCUUGUGAUCUCCAUCUCUGAAGCACCGUCAUGAUCACCAUCGUCACCGGCGCGACACCUUGAUCUUCAUCGUAGCAUCGUUGUCAUUUCGACACCUAUUGCUUCUACGACUACCGCUACCGCUUAGUGAUAAAGUAAAGCAAUUACAGCAUGAUUGCAUUGCAUACACUAAAUCGAUAACCAUAUGGCUCCUGCCAGUUGCCGAUAACUCGGUUACAAAAUAUGAUCAUCUCAUACAAUAAAAUAUAGCAUCACGUCUUGACCAUGUCACAUCACAACAUGGCCUGCAAAAACAAGUUAGACGUCUUCUACUUUGUUGUUGCAAGUUUUACGUGGCUGCUACGGGCUGAACAAGAACCGUUCUUACCUACGCAUCAAAACCACAAUGAUAGUUCGUCAAGUUAGUGAUGUUUUAACCUUCUCAAGGACCAGGCGUAGCCACACUCGGUUCAACUAAAGUUGGAGAAACUGACACCCACCAGCCACCAGUGUGCAAAGCACGUCGGUAGAACCAGUCUUGUGUAAGCGCACGCGUAAUGUCGGUCCGGGCCGCUUCAUCCAACAAUACCGCCAAACCAAAGUAUGACAUGCUGGUAAGCAGUUUGACUUGUAUCGCCCAAAACUCACUUGUGUUCUACUUGUGCAUAUAACAUCAACGCAUAAAACCUAGGCUCGGAUGCCACUGUUGGGGAACAUAGUAAUUUCAAAAAAAUUCCUACCCACACGCAAGAUCAUGGUGAUGCAUAGCAAUGCGAGGGGAGAGUGUGUCCACGUACCCUCAUAGACCGAAAGUGGAAGCGUUAGAACAACGCGGUUGAUGUAGUCGUACAUCUUAAUGGCCCGACCGAUCAAGCACCGAAACUAUGGCACCUCCAAAUUCUAGCACACAUUUAGCUCGAUGACGUCCCUCGAACUCCGAUCCAGCCGAGUGUCGAGGGAGAGUUCCAUCGGCAUGACGGCGUGGUGACGAUCUUGAUGUUCUACUGUCGCAGGGCUUCGCCUAAGCACCGCUACAAUAUUAUCGAGGAGGACUAUGGUGGAGGGGGGCACCGCGCACGGCUAAGAGAUCAAUGAUCAAUUGUUGUGUCUAGAGGUGCCCCUCUGCCCCCAUAUAUAAAGGAGCAAUGGAGAGGGGGCGGCCGGCCAGGGAGGAGGCGUGCCAAGGGGAGUCCUACUCCCACCGGGAGUAGGACUCCCUCCUUUCCUUGUCCAAGUAGGAGAGGGGGAAGGAAGGGAGAGAGGGGAGGAAGGAAAGCCCCCCCCCUCCUUGUCCAAUUCAGACUAGAGGGGGAGGGGGCACACGGCCUGCCCUGGCCGCCCCUCCUCUUCUCCACUUUGGGCCCAAGUGGCCCAUUAACCCCCCCGGGGGGUUCCGGUAACCCCCCGAUACUCCGGUAUAUAUCCGAUAACCUCCGAAACUUAUUCCGGUGUCCGAAUAUAGUCGUCUAAUAUACCAACCUUCAUGUCUCGACCAUUUCGAGACUCCUCGUCAUGUCCGUAAUCACAUUCGGGACUCCGAACAAAUUUCGGUACAUCAAAACUCAUAAACUCAUAAUAUAACUGUCAUCGAAACCUUAAGCGUGUGGACCCUAUGGGUUCGAGAACUAUGUAGACAUGACUGAGAACCGUUUCCGGUCAAUAACCAAUAGCGGAACCUGGAUGGUCAUAUUGGCUCCUACAUAUUCUAUGAAGAUCUUUAUCAGUCAAACCGCAUAACAACAUACGUUGUUCCCUUUGUCAUCGGUAUGUUAAUUGCCCGAGAUUUGAUCAUCGGUAUCUCAAUACCUAGUUCAAUCUCGUUACCGGCAAGUCUCUUUACUCGUUAUGUAAUACAUCAUCUCGCAACUAACUCAUUAGUCACAUUGCUUGCAAGGCUUAUAGUGAUGUGUAUUACCGAGAGGGCCCAAAGAUACCUCUCCAACAAUCGGAGUGACAAAUCCUAAUCUCGAAAUACGCCAACCCAACAAGUACCUUUAGAGACACCUGUAGAGCACCUUUAUAAUCACCCAGUUAUGUUGUGACAUUUUGUAGCACACAAAGUGUUCCUCUGGUAAAUGGGAGCUGCAUAAUAUCAUAGUCACAGGAACAUGCAUAAGUCAUGAAGAAAGCAAUAGCAAUAUACUAAACGAUCAAGUGCUAAGCUAACAGAAUGGGUUAAGUCAAUCACAUCAUUCUCUCAAUGAUGUGAUCCCGUUUAAUCAAAUGACAACUCUUUUGUCCAUGGCUAGGAAACAUAACCAUCUUUGAUAAACGAGCUAGUCAAGUAGAGGCAUACUAGUGACACUUAGUUUGUCUAUGUAUUCACACAUGUAUCAUGUUUCCGGUUAAUACAAUUCUAGCAUGAAUAAUAAACAUUUAUCAUGAAAUAAGGAAAUAAAUAAUAGCUUUAUUAUUGCCUCUAGGGAAUAUUUCCUUCAGCUGCAUCACCCUUUCCUCUUCAAGGAAAACCAACGCAAGCUCAAGACGUAGCAGGUAUCGUAUUGAUUCACUUGAUAUAUGUUUUGGCACUCAACUCGCGGAUUCCCGCGGUGACAUUGGGGUAAUCUAUGCACAGGGGUUGAUGCGCGUUCUCGUCUUUUGUUUCUCCGGUAGAAAUCUUGGGGCACUCUUCGAAGUUCUUUGUGUUGGAUCGAGUAUUAUGAAUAUGAAUUUGCUUGGUGUUAUUUUAGUACAAACUCUAGGAUAGAUCGAACAGAAAGAAUAGCUUUGUGUUAUUUUAGUAGAAACUCGUGAAUAGAUCGAACGGAAAGAAUAGAUUUGAGGUGGUCUCGUACCCUACAAACAAUUUAUUCUUAUGUUCUCCACGAGAUAGGAACUUUGGAGUGAUUCUCCACUAGAUAUGAUCCAACUAUGUUAGCAUUGUUGAGAGAAUGCACUAGUGAAAGUAUGCAGCCUAGGCCUCAUUUUCAAGCAUUGCAAUAUCGUUUUUGUGCUCGUUUACUAUUUGUUACCUUGUUGUUUUUAUUUAUUCAUAUUAUAAAAAUAUAUUUCUACCAUCUAUAUUACACUUUUAUCACAAUCUCUUCACCGAACUAGUGCAGCUAUACAAUUUGCCAUUGUAUUAGGUGUGUUGGCGACACAAGAGAUUUCUUGUAUUUGAUUGCAGGCUCGUUUGAGAGAGACCAUCUUCAUCCUUCACCUCUCACGGAUUGAUAAACCUUCGGUCAUCCACUUGAGGGAAAAUUGCUACUCUCCUACAAAACUCUGCGCUUGGAGGCCCAAUACGUGUCUACAGGAAUAAAGUUACAUAGUAGACAUCAAUGCUCCUUCUUGAUUUCUACCUCCGCAGCCUUUAGCAUCGCGAAGAGAUCAGGAAUUGUCUUUUCCAUCCCUUGCAUAUUAUAGUUCAUCACGAAGGCUUUAUAGCUUGGUGGUAGUGAUUGAAGAACUCUGUUAAUGACACUAUCAUCAGGAAGAUUAACUCCCAACUGAGUCAAGUGGUUAUGGUACCCAGACAUUAUGAGUAUGUGUUCACUGAUAGAACUAUUCUCCUUCAUCUUGUAGCUAUAUAACUUGUUGGAGACUUCAUAUCUCUCAACUCAUGCAUUUUCUUGAAUAUUAACUUCAACUCCUGAACAUCUCAUAUGCUCCAUGACGUUCAAAACGUCUUUGAAGUCCCAAUUCUUAGCCGUAAAGCAUGGCACACUGAACUAUCGAGUGUCAUCAGCUUUAGUCUGCCAGAUGUUCAUAACGUCCGGAGUUGCUCCUGCAGCGGGCCUUGCACCUAGCGGUGCUUCCAGGACGUAAUUCUUUUGUGCAGCAAUGAGGAUAAUCCUCAAAUUACGGACCCAGUCCUUGUAAUUGCUACCAUCAUCUUUCAACUUAUCUUUCUCUAGGAACGCAUUAAAAUUCAAGGGAAUGGUAGCAUGGACCAUUGAUCUACAACAACGUAGAUAUGCAAAAAACUAUCAGGACUAAGUUCAUGAUAAAUUAAAGUUCAGUUAAUCAUAUUACUAAAGAACUCCCUCUUAGAUAGACAUCCCUCUAGUCAUCUAAAUGAUCAUGUGAUCCAUAUCAACUAAACCAUGUCCGAUCAUCACAUGAGAUGGAGUAGUUUUCAAUGGUGAACAUCUCUAUGUUGAUCAUAUCUACUAUAUGAUUCACGUUCGACCUUUCGGUCUCAGUGUUCCGAGGUCAUAUCUGCAUAUGCUAGGUUUGUCAAGUUUAACCCGAGUAUUCUGCACAUGAAAAACUGGCUUGCCCCUGUUGUAUGUGAAUGUAGAGCUUAUCAGACCCGAUCAUCAGGUGGUGUCUCUGCACAACGAACUAUAGCAAUAGUGCAUACUGUGGGAGAACACUUAUACCUUGAAAUUUAGUAAGGGAUAAUCUUAUAAUGCUACCGUUGUACUAAGCAAAAUAAGAUGCAUAAAAGAUAAACAUCACAUGCAAUCAAAAUAUGUGACAUGAUAUGGCCAUCAUCAUCUUGUGCCUUUGAUAUCCAUCUCCAAAGCACCGUCAUGAUAUCCAUUAUCACCGGCUUGACACAUUGAUCUCCAUCGUAGCAUUGUUGUCGUCUCACCAACUAUUGCUUCUACGAUUAUCGCUACCGCUUAGUGAUAAAGUAAAGCAAUUAUAUGGCGAUUGCAUUUCCUACAAUAAAGCGACAACCAUAAGGCUCCUGCCGGUUGCCGAUAACUUUUAUAAAACAUGAUCAUCUCAUACAAUAACUUAUAUCACAUCAUGUCUUGACCAUAUCACAUCAAAACAUGCCCUACAAAUACAGGUUAGACGUCCUCUACUUUGUUAUUGCAAGUUUUACGUGGCUGCUACGUGCUUCUAGCAAGAACCGUUCUUACCUAUGCAUCAAAACCACAACGAUUUUUUGUCAAGUGUGUUGUUUUAACCUUCAACAAGGACCGGUCAUAGUCAAACUCGAUUGAACUAAAGUUGGAGAAACAGACACCUGCCAGCCACAUGUGUGCAAAGCAUGUCGGUAGAACCGGUCUCAUGAACGUGGUCAUGUAUUGUUGGUCCGGGCCGCUUCAUCCAACAAUACCGCGGAAUCAAAGAAAUACGUUGGUGGUAAGCGGUAUGACUAUUAUCGCCCACAACUCUUUGUGUUCUACUCGUGCAUAUCAUAUACGCAUAGACCUGGCUCGGAAGCCACUGUUGGGGAACGUAGCAUUCAAUUUCAAAAAAAUUCCUACGCUCACGCAAGAUCUAUCUAGGAGAUUCAUAGCCACGAGAGGGGGAGAGUGUGUCCACGUACCCUCGUAGACCGAAAGCGAAAGUGUUAGAUUAACGCAGUUGAUGUAGUCGAACGUCUUCAUGAUCCAACCGAUCUAAUACCGAACAUACAACACCUCUGAGUUCAACACAUGUUCAGCUCGAUGACGUCCCUCGAACUCUUGAUCCAGCAGAGGGUCGAGGGAGAGUUUUGUCAACACGAGGUGUGGGUGAUGAUGAUGUGAUCCAUGCAGGGCUUUGCCUAAGCACUACGAUGCUAUGACCGGAGGAGUAAGCUGUGGAGGAGGGCUCCACACACAGCUAAGAGAACAAUUGAUGUGCCUUUGGGGUGCCCCCUGCCCCGUAUAUAAAGGAGGGGAGGAGGAGGAGGCUGGCCACGUGGGACACGACAUGGGGGGGAGUCCUACUAGGACUCCACUCCUAGUAGGAUCCCCCCUUUUUCAUUUCUUACCGAAGGGAAAAGGAAGGAGAGGGAGAGGGAGAGGGAAAGGGGGCGCCACCCCUUCCCCUAGUCCAAUUCGGACUACCAUGGGGGGCCGGCCACCCCUUGCGGCCCUUCUCUCUCCACUAAGGCCCAUGUAGGCCAAAUACUUCCCCGGGGGGUUCCAGUAACCUCUCGGUACUCCUGUAAAAUACCCGAACCACUCUAAACCAUUCCGAUGUCAGAAUACUACCUUCCAAUAUAUGAAUAUUUACCUCUCGACCAUUUCGAGACUCCUCGUCAUGUCUGUGAUCUCAUCCAGGACUCCGAACAAACUUCGGUCACCAAAACACAUAACUCAUAAUAUAAAUCGUCAUCGAACGUUAAGUGUGCGGACCCUACGGGUUCGAGAACUAUGUAGACAUGAUCGAGACACAUCUCCGAUCAAUAACCAAUAGCGGAACCUAGAUGCUCAUAUUGGUUCCUACAUAUUCUAUGAAGAUUAUUAUAGGUCAAAUCGCAAUAACAACAUACGUUAUUUCCUUUAUCAUCGGUAUGUUACUUGCCCGAGAUUCGAUCGUUGGUAUCCUCAUACCUAGUUCAAUAUCGUUACUUGCAAGUCUCUUUACUUGUUUUGUAAUGCAUCAUCCCGUAACUAACUCAUUAGUAACAUUGCUUGCAAGGCUUAUAGUGAUGAGCAUUACCGAGAGGGCCCAGAGAUACCUCUCCGAUACACGUAGUGACAAAUCCUAAUCUCGACCUAUGCCAACCCAACAAACACCUUCAGAGACACCUGUAGAGCAUAUUUAUAAUCACCCAGUUAUGUUGUGACAUUUGAUAGCACCCAAGGUGUUCCUCCGGUAUUCGGGAGUUGCAUAAUCUCAUAGUCAGAGGAACAUGUAUAAGUCAUGAAGAAAGCAAUAACAAUAAAACUUAACGAUCAUUAUGCUAAGCUAACAGAUGGGUCUUGUCCAUCACAUCAUUCUCUAAUGAUGUGAUCACAUUCAUCAAAUGACAACACAUGUCUAUGGUCAGGAAACAUAACCAUCUUUGAAUAAUGAGCUUGUCAAGUAGAGGCAUACUAGGGACACUCUAUUUUGUCUAUGUAUUCACACAUUUACUAAGUUUCCACUUAAUACAAUUCUGGAAUGAAUAAUAAAAAUUUAUCAUGAUAUAAGGAAAUAUAAAUAACAACUUUAUUAUUGCCUCUAGGGAAUAUUUCCUUCAACUUAUGUCUUAAGGAGGCGACUAACACUUAUAAAUUCCAUGCUUACAAGCAUGCUGAUGUUCCUAUUAUCCUUCUUUGAAAUACCCAUAGGACUAUGGAAAAGGUUGGAAUUUUAUUAAUCAUGAUUUUUUGGCAAGGUGAUGAGAAUAGAUCUAAGAACACACUUGCCAUGUGGGACAUACUUUGUACACUAAAAGACCAAGAGGGUUUGGGUAUCGGGAACCGUCAAGUAAAGAACAUGUGCUUGCUUAAAAAUGUUUCUAUAGGUCAUCUGUUGAGGAGGAUGGUGUGUGUGUGUGUAUAUAUACAGUUAUUGCGUAACAAGUAUCUACAUUCCAAAACCCUGGCCCAAGUCACAACGCAGCCGCACGAUUCUCUAUUUUGGAAGGGGUUGAUGAGGACAAAUGUAGCCUUCUUCAAUAGGAGUAAAUUCAUAGUUGGGAAUGGUCACACUACUAGAUUCUUGAAACAUACUUGGCAAGGGAUACGCUUAUAUAGUGUAGUAUCCAACACUAUAUAAUAUUGUACAACAUAAAGACGCUUUCAUAAGUACAAUACUAGGUUCCAUUCCCUUAAACGUUCAAUUAAGGUAGGUACUAGUGGAGGAAUGGUGGGAUAGAUGACCACAUCUAGUGCAUAAGUUGUUGCAGGUCAACCUGUUCGAUGCGCCAGAUACCCUACAUUGCAAAUUAUCGGUGUCAGGCGUCUUCUCGGUAAAAAACUAUGUAUGUACUUGAUUAACACUGGACUAAUCUCAAAGUCACUUCAUAUUCGGAAAAUUAAGAUGCCAUUAAAAAUGAAGGUCUUCAUGUGGUUUGUUCAUAAGUAAGACUAAACAUAACUUGGCGAAACAUAGAGGGAGGGUAGUGAAAAUGAUGUUGUUUUUGUAAUCAGAACGAAACAAUCCAACAUCUUUUACUGAAAUGCCCACUACGAAAGUUAUUGUGGCAUACAAUACAUGUGUCCUUUAAUGUCUAUACACCUAAUAGCAUAUACCACGUAUUUGCGGCCUAAUUAGAUGGGGUAGAGCAUAAUACAAUAUCAAAUAUUUGAGUCGGAGUCUGUGCAUUACUUUGUGCUACUUAGAACUAUCGGGAUGGCGGUGAUUUCCAUGGAUGAGAAGAUAUUGCCUGCCCGAGAUCCAUGACUAAGUGCCAGACACAGAACUCGAUCGCCAUGUCGCACGACAGAGUCUGCUCCACGAUCUGGACUCAAUGGCUCCUUUGAAGAUGACUUUGUGCCACUUGCACACGUGGCCAUGUCGAGCCCGGCCUCGUGUAGUUGUGUGUGUACACAUAUGGCGAAGCUAGCAAACGUGCCAGUGGUGGUUUGGGUGAUUUUUUUGGUAAGGAGACCACCUGGGUGAAGCCUGUAAGCAUGCAGGUGGAUGGGUCUUAGGAGGUGGAGAGAAUGUCGGAGGGGAAGCCCACCUUGACGAAGAAGAGACCAACAGUGGCCAUGCCCCCACGCAGACUCUCCAUGGGCCGAACCCUAAUGUUAGUCCUGACCUGGGUGACGCAGGUGAUGUCCAAAGAUACUGCAGGGCAGCAACCAAAAGUUCUUCGAAUUAGUGGAUGACAAAAUCUCAUAGAAGAUUCUUGUUCUUGCUAGCUCUAUAGUUCACCCUCCUGCACACCUUCUUAUUUCCUCCUUUUAUUUACUUAUUCAUGUUUGUUUCACUAUCUUAGUGUUUUUUUGUUGCAUUGGAUGCUUUGCGUGUGUGGCUGAUGGCGCUUUGGGAUAGUAAGGUUGGCCUUAUCUAAUGAUAAGUAGAAGCUUGCACUACCAAAAAAAUGCACUUCCGUGAUGAUACGUGUUUGUCACUGUAGGUCAUGUUAUCUGUCAUGCAUGUACAUUUUAUGUCAUAGUAGGUCACGUUAUCUGUCAUGCAGACGAUUUUAUGGUAGAAUCAAGAUAGUCAUAGUUAUGCUGUCAUACAAGUGUUCCAUGACAUUACAAAAAUUAUCGUCAUGGAAGUGUCCACUUCCAUGACGAUAAAUCGCGCAUCAUAGAAGUGCAUUCAUCAAGGGUGACUGACACAUGGCAUCCACCGUAACGGGACCCCGUCAAGCUAUCGGCUCCGGUUUUGGAUCCGAUAACCCGCUAACAGCCCUGACCAAUGCCGAGUUUGCACAUGUAAAAUUCUCAUUGGCCGACGGAACCACGUGUCAGCUCCGCAUUGGCGCAGGUGCCACUCAUCCAAUGGGCGAGAUGCGCCUAUGAUAUGUUGACAGGUGGACUGGCCCAAAAGUGGCCCAUAAAGAUUAAAUGGGCCAGUCCAACUAAAGGCCACAAGAUUUUAUGGACCAUAAUGGGCCGGCCCAGCUAAAGGCCCACAAGAUUUUGUGGACCAUAAUGGGAUGGCCCAGCUAAAGGCCCACGAGAUUUUGCCGACCAUAAUGGGCCGACCCAGCUAAAGGCCCACAAGAUUUUGAGGACACUAGUGGGCCGGCCCAUUAACAGGCUUCCAUGUUUUGGGCCAAAUGUCGGGCCAUAUUUGAUCCGGUCCAUUAACAGUCUGCCAUGUUUCGGGCCUAACAAAGGCCCAUAUAAGAUCUGGCUCGUUAAAAGCCUACCACGUUCUGGGCCAAAUUAUGGCCCAGAUCAGAUCUGGCCCUUUAAGAGGCUUUGGGCUAAAUUAUGGCCCAUAUCAGAUUCGGCCCGUCAACUGGACGCUAUGCUUUUGGUCCCACUUGCUAAAGGCCCAUUUAGUAAUUCGCCCUGAUAUUAGUUUCGACCUAUUAAAGUCCCAUUUAACAUUUCGGCCCUAUAUUUAUUUCAGCUUGUUAAAAGCCUGUCAUAUAGUUGGGCCUAACUAUGGCCCGGUUUGCAUCCGGCCUGCUCACAGCCAAUAAUUUGAUUGGGCUAAACAAGGAUCGAGAUAAUUUUGGCCUGUUAACGGCCCGUGAUGUGAUUUGCACAAUCAUGGGCCGGUGUCUAUUUCGGUCUGCUGUCGGCCCGUGAGCUGUUCGACACGUUUUAGGCCCAACCUACUUUUCAGCCUCCUAAAAGCCCACUGAGUUAUCUUGCGAAAAUAGGGCUGGUGGUUUACUCGGCCUAUUACAUGCCCGAAUCUACAAGUGGGCCAGUUUACAUUUAGGCAUGUUAACGGACCAAGAUGACUAGGCCCAUGAUACGGAUCAUACAUAGUGAUUUGCAUGACGGCCCGAUUAUGUACCGUAAUUUUACGGUUUAGCUGGUUUACUUCUAAGAUAGGAUAUAUAUACGAUAAAAUAACUGCAGCAUUGUGAAUAAGAAAAAACCUAGACUAUACAAUAAAGAAAUUACGGCAUAUUACAUCCACUGGGCAUCAAAGUUCGCCACUGUGAUAAUAAAGCACAAGCAGACAAUAGAUUACAUACACUGGGCAUCAAAGAUCGCCACCAGUGCAAAUAAACACGUGUACAAAAUAAUAUACAAAACCGACAUUACUUCAAUAGAGUUCAAGAAAGGUUAGCCCUGCUCGGGAGCUACAGCACAAGUAGCUAAGCAAGUUGAUGAUACUGCGCUUGUUUGACACUUAUAUCCUCCUCACUCUGAAAGAUAAACAAGCAGACAGAUGAUAGGUUUUGCACAUAUAAGUAUCAGUGCUGAGAAUUGAUCACAUUUCUUACUGACGAAUAAAGUGACACAGUUUAAAAUAGCAUUAACGCAAUAUGGUAUUGUUCAAGUCAAGACAUGGCAGGAAAUGUCAUUGUGAAGGAGUUGGUAGCUUCACGACACCACUGGAUUACAGAUCAAAAACUCAUAAGUAUCAAUGGUUAGUGUGCUGUCAAUUUAUCCCAUUUCAGAUUGGCAAAUAAAGAGACGGUUCAAAAAAUAGUAUAAUGAUAUGACAUUGUUCAUAGUUAAGACAUUGCAGAAUAUGACAUUGUGUUGUAGUGGAUAGGUUCACCACACCACUGGAUUACGAAUCAAGAACAAAAUCAUAUAUGUAGUGCAAAAGAAUAUCACUUGCUGUGUAUAGUUUAAUUUACAUGGUAUGAAGAAGGAACUUGGUUGUACAACUGAAAACUUAAAUUGAGAAGGAUAAACUUUUGUUUAUGAACUACAUAAUACACUUUAAACAUGUAAUUUGAUGCAAAAACCAAAAAUAAACAGUUGUUGCAGUCAUGCCUAACCAAAUAUACACAACAAAGUUUGAAGGCUUGAGAAGGACAAACUUACAUUAUUGGUGCCCUUGUCCAUGCUGAUGGGGGGGCAAUUCAAGGAGUUCAUCACAGAAUCUUCUUCAUAAGCAUUGCCUUUACUCUACAUUUUGUUAAUAGUAAAUAUAGAUGUGAUAAUAUAAGAAAAAAUGGAGAAUAUUUAAGAUAAGAUGAAGAGUGAUGCUACAUAACCAAGUAGCUAUAAAUGUAAGUACAGCGAUACAGGCAAAAGGUACAACCAAGAGCAAUGCAGAGCUAAACUUCUUCAGUACCAUCGGUGUUAUCCAACCUUAGGGUAAGACUAAAUAUAGAUCUGAUGUGUAGAAAAUGGAGAGCAAAGGAAAAUAAGCUGCAGAGUAAUGGUACAUGAACAACUACAUGUGAAUAUAAGUACACUGAUAAAGGACAGCAGGUACUUACAAGAACAAUGCAGAGCUAAAAAAUUUCAUUGGCAUUGGAUAUAUUCUACACUAAUGUAACCAUUCAUACAGAUCAGAUAAUUUGGAGCAAACAAUUGAUAAGAAAGCUAUCAUGCAUACUGCUGUCACAUAAUGAACCAAGUAUGUAUGCAAGUACAGUGAUAUAGGACAAGAAGUACUAACAAGAGCAAAGCAGCGGGCAGCAUAUUUGCGAUAUCAUGUCAUUCUUUUCAAACCAGAAUUCUUCUUCGAGCAGAUAUCCUACAAAAAAGAUCUGUAAGGCACAUGCGGAAAAGUAGAAGUUCAAAUUGUCAUGUGAUAUCAUAUAUAGUACCUCAUCCUGGGAACGAGACCAGUGCAUAACAAGGUUUUUCCAUUCAAUGUCUUCUAAAUUUAGCACAAGAGACUUCACCGGAAAUUUGUUUAUAGACUUGCCAUCAAAGUGUGAUUUCCUCAGGUAACACCGAUACUACUACAAUGCUUCCUUGAAAAGCGCAAGCAAGCUUUGAUCGUCAUGACUAUCCAGAUUGACCCUCGCCUACUUACAACAAUGUAAUGUAAAUCAUUGAUGUGUUCAAUCAGCAGAAAACAGGAAAAUAAUCACCAUGAAUAAUAGCACUUACACGUAAGUGGGACAUGAAGAUGUGAAAAUGGUGUUUGUCUUCACUAUAAUCUUCCCAUGAUGGGAAUAUAUGCACGUAGUCCCUAACAACAUUGAAAGCAUUGUCUUUUAAACUGGGAAUAACUGGAAUGGGGUUCCAAUCUGCAAGAAUUGGCCGUCUCUGCAGUUGGGAUAGGUCUUCGGCCGGUGGACCUGCUGUACAUUUUGUUGGAGUGGGAUUUUUUUGUGGUACGGCUUGCGCUAUGGCAACUGAAAUCGGCAUACCUUUUGCUGGAAUGCAGGUCCUGUGUGGUGGGGCUAGUGGUGUGGCCAGUGAAGUAUGGGUAUAGUCAGCUGGAGUCGGUCCUAUGUUUUGUGUCACCGGUUGUACAGCCAAUAUAAAUGGGGUGCUAUCUGAUAUCUCCGGCACCACCACCUUUUUCAAGUACUUUGCUUGUGCUCCCUCAGGUUCGGCAAUCACCCUCUUCCUUUUUUAUGUCUGAUGCACAAGAACAACAUUUGAGUGGAAAAACAUGGUAUGAUGACAGAUGGAAUAUGUAUUGAUAAUGGAUGGGCAUGGCAUCUCGACAUAUAUGAUGAGUAAACUAAGUACAUGGUGGUGCAACAUAGUAGAAGAAAUGCAAGACAACAUAUGCAACAUACACGCAAUCAAUAAAACCUUGCCAAAUUAGAACAGACACCUUGAUGGUUGAACAAGACAGGUCAUCUGCCUUUGACUCCUCGAGGUUAGAAUAGCCAUUAGGAUCAUAUUCUGAACAAAAAUCCACAUGUGGGGAGCGUAUGAGUUUCAUUGCAUCCAGAAUGACACUCAAUGCCUUGGUGCCAAUUUUGUAAGUCAUUGCAGUGUUCCACAAUAUUCUUCGGAUGCGUGGAUUCUGAUAUUCACUGUAAUUAAGUAUAAUAUCUGAGAACCAUGAAAACAUAAAUAGUAGUGAGAUUAUCUUUGUAAUGUAGAGGAUAUUCUAAUAUAGGGGCGCCCCUGUAAAUCCUUGUGUGCUAUCACUGGAUUCUGAUGAGAGAGAUCAUGUGUGCUAAAAUAUGGUGCGUGCAUUAAUAUAAUCUGGCACAAGUACACAAAAAAUAGGCUCCAGAAGUAAGGAUAGUUGGCAGAUGAUAGGUUCAUAAUGUACUGUAUAGAGAGUUUAUUGCCAAACCAUGAUAACAAGAGCACACAGCAAAUAGGCAGAUUGUAGUGUACAUAAAACGGGUACACCAUAACCACGAUAUAUAAAUCGGGAAGAACUGGCUGGAAAAUACAGUGUUGUAUUACUGCUACUAAUUGAAAUCCUAUCCAUCAUGUACAUGCCAACUCUAUCAGCUAUUGACUGCAGAUGUCCUUGCUCCCUUCCUGACAAGGAACAUACUGUACGUACCAAAUACAUAAUAACAAAAGAGGAACAUGUUAAAGAACAGAAGAGGAAUCAUAUUCUUGAGGUUCCGCUUCAUUGCAUACAAUGUUGGUUUCCCACUCAUGAUGAAUCACAGCGCCCAAAGAAAUGCAAUUCAAUGUUGUCUCUCUAUAUGUGGCCACAUGCAUUUGGAAAAUCAAGUGGGGGCAUUACGUGACCAAUUAAAUGUGUGUUUGUUAACUAAUAUCAUUAUCAUAUCACAAUUCGUAUUUGAAGAAGUAAGCUUUGGACUUAUGAUUGGUAUGUUUAGCUUCAAGAGUGGACUGCUACUAGUGCGACACAAAGCAGCUGCACAGAUCAUAGUGUAGAUAUAACAGAAAAACCAUAAGCAUCAGAGUAAAAUCAGCAAAGUAGAACUUGCUGGAAUAUAUGUGCUAGUAUUGCCGGUGUGGCUAGAAAGGCUUCACAUACCAGCUCUCUUCAACUGAAGGUGAGGUACUGUUAAUAUCAGUGUAACUCUCAAAGGCGACACAACUCCCUGGAUUUCCUUGCAAUUCUUAUAGGAUUCAAGUGGGCAUGCCACUACAAAUCAAUUCAUAUGUUUACAAAAUCCUACGAAUCAAAGAGGCCCGAAGAGUUCAAAGUGUCCACCACAACCGACCGUAUAGACCUCUGCACUGCAAAUGUCCCUGCUUAUCUUCACUACAAGGAACAUACUGUAUUACUAUCAUACUCCCUCUGUUCCAAAAUAUAAGUCUUUGUAUAGAUUUCCACUAUGGAUUACAUACAGAUGUAUACAGAUACAUUUUAGAGUGUAGAUUUACUCAUUUUGCUCCAUAUGUAGUCCAUGGUGGAAUCUAUACAACGACUUUCAUUUAGGAACGGAGAGAGUACUUAUUAAAGAAGAACGGAAGAGGAACAUGCUAAAGAAGCGCACGGAAGGAAGUGCCUCCUUGUUAUGCGAAAAAAAUUAUUCCUCCCAUUGACAGCUGGGACCCGUCAGAUUUGGUGGCUGACUUGUGGGCCUACUAAGCGGACGUGUACGCAGGGCUUUGUCAAUUUAAUCAACAAACAAUUCUAGCAGUUGGACCGUUGGAUGUUAAUCCAACAACCAUGCUCCUUCUUCAACCUCUGUUCUUGCUCUUAUCUCCCAUGGGCGGCACCGCGUCAGUGCUGCCGCGCACCCGAACAAGUCAAGUUUCCCACUCCUCUCCAUCUGCGACUUGACUGCCGCAUCUUCCCCAUCUCCGUGUCGUUCCAGUCUGGGGCCUCGCCAUCAUCCACCGGCCUUGGUGCGCUCGACACGGUGUGGUCAACGAGGUUAACAACCAAGAAUCAUUAGAAGAUGACUGUACAUGAGAGGCUGAUGCUACGUCUUGAGCUUGUGUUGGUUUUCCUUGAAGAGGAAAGGGUAAUGCAGCAGAGUAGCGUAAGUAUUUCCCUCAGCGUUUGAGAACCAAGCUAUCAAUCCAGUAGGAGGCUCCUCAAAAGUCCCACGCACGUACACAAACAAACAAAGAACUCGCAACCAACGCAAUAAAGGGGUUGUCAAUCCCUUCACAGCCACUUGCGAAAGUGAGAUCCGAUAGAGAUAGUAUGAUAAGAUAACUAUAUUUUUUUGUAUUUUAUAAUAUAGAUGCAAAAAGUAAAGAUGCAAAUAAAAGUAGAUUGGAAGCAAAUAUGAUAAGAGAUAGACCCAGGGGCCCUAGGUUUCACUAGAGGCUUCUCUCGAGAUAGCAUGAUUAUUACGGUGGGUGAACAAAUUACUAUCGAGCAAUUGAUAGAAAAGCGAAUAAUUAUGAAAUUAUCUAGGCAUGAUCAUGUAUAUAGGCAUCACGUCCGCAACAAGUAGACCGACUCUUGCCUGCAUCUACUACUAUUACUCCAGACAUCGACCGACUCCUGCCUACAUCUAGAGUAUUAAGUUCACAAAGAACAGAGUAACGCAUUAAGCAAGAUGACAUGAUGUAGAGGGAUGAACUCAUGCAAUAUGAUAUAAACCCCAUCUUUUUAUCCUCGAUGGCAACAAUACCAUACGUGCCUUACAACCCUUUUUGUCACUGGGUAAGGACACUGCAAGAUUGAACCCAAAGCUAAGCACUUCUCCCAUGGCAAGAAAGAUCAAUCUAGUAGGCCAAGCCAAACUGAUAAUUCAAAGAGACUUGCAAAGAUAACUCAAUCAUACAUAAAAGAAUUCAGAGAAGAUUCAAAUAUUAUUCAUAGAUAAACUAGAUCAUAAACCCACAAUUCAUCGGAUCUCGACAAACACACCGCAAAAAGAGAUUACAUCGAAUAGAUCUCUACAAGAGAGGGGGAGAACAUUGUAUUGAGAUCCAAAAAGAGAGAAGAAGCCAUCUAGCUAAUAACUAUGGACCCGUAGGUCUGUGGUAAACUACUCACAAUUCAUCGGAGGGGCAAGGAUGUUGAUGUAGAAGCCCUUCGUGGUCGAUUCCCCCUCCGGCAGAGUGCCGGCGAAGGCUCCAAGAUGAGAUCUCGCGGAUACAGAAGGUUACGGUGGUGGAAAUUGUAUUUCGUCUGCUCCCUGGAUGUUUUCGGGGUACGUAGGCUUAGAUAGGAGGAAGAAGUAUGUCGGUGGACACACGAGGGGCCCACAAGACAGGGGGGCGCGCCCUAUAGGGGGGAGCACCCUCCUAUCUCAUGGCCGCCUUGGCUGCUUCUUGACUUGCACUCCAAGUCCUCUGGAUCACGUUCGUUCCAAAAAUCAUGCUCCCGAAGGUUUCAUUCCGUUUGGACUCCGUUUGAUAUUCCUUUUCUUCGAAAUACUGAAAUAGGCAAAAAAAACAGCAAUACGGGUUGGGCCUCCGGUUAGUAGGUAAUCCCAAAAAUGAUAUAAAUGUGUAAAAUAAAGCCCAUAAACAUCCAAAAGGGGUAAUAUAAUAGCAUGGAACAAUCAAAAAUUAUAGAUACGUUGGAGACGUAUCAAGCAUCCCCAAGCUUAAUUUAUGCUCGUCCUUGAGUAGGUAAAUGAUAAAAAGAGAAUUUUUGAUGUGGAAUGCUACCUAGCAUAAUUCUCAAUGUAAUUUUCUUUAUUGUGGCAUGAAUGUUCAGAUCCAAAUGAUUCAAAAUAAAAGUUCAUAUUGAUAAAAGAAAUAGUAACACUUCAAGCACACUAAUCAAAGUAAUCAUGUCUUCUUAAAAUAACAUGGCAAAAGAAAGUUCAUCCCUACAAAAUCAUAUAGUUAGGCUAUGCUUCAUUUUCGUCACACAAAGAUGUUCCCAACUUCUAUACCCCCGAUGACAAGCCAAGCAAUUGUUUCAUACUUAAAUAAUCUCAAACAUUUUCAACCUUCACGCAAUACAUGAGCGUGAGCCAUGGACAUAGCACUAUGGGUGGAAUAGAAUAUGAUGAUGGGGAUUGUGUGGAGAAUACAAAAAAGGAGAAAGUCUCACAUUGACGAGGAUAAUCAACGGGCUAUGGCGAUGCCCAUCAAUUGAUGUCAACAUGAGGAGUAGGGAUUGCCAUGCAACGGAUGCACUAGAGCUAUAAAUGAAUGCUCAACAAAAGAAAACUAGUGGGUGUGCAUCCAACUUGCUUGCUCAUGAAGACCUAGGGUAUUUGAGGAAGCCCAUCGUAGGAAUAUACAAGCCAAGUUCUAUAAUGAAAAAUUCCCACUAGUAUGAAAAAGACAAUCUAUGAGACUCACUAAAUGAAAAACAUGGUGCUACUUCGAAGCACAAUAUAUGAGACUCACUACAUGAAGAACAGAGUGCUACUUUGAAGCACAAGUGUGGAAAAAGAGAUAUUAACAUUGCCCUUAUUUAUUUAUUUUCUUUUUUUCCUUUUUUUCCUUCCCUUUUUUUCUUUUUUUGGGCCUUUUUUUUCUUUUGGCCUUUCUUUUUUUUUUCUUUUUUUUUCUUUUUGGGCAAUGCUCUAAUAAUGAUGAUCCUCACACUUCUAUUGAUUACAUCAUAUGAAUUACAACUCGAAACUAGAACAAUAUAUGACCUUAUAUGAAUGCCUCCGGCGGUGUACCGGGAUGGUGCAAUGAAUCAAGAGUGACAUGUAUGAAAAAAUAAUACAUGGUGGCUUUGCCACAAAUACGAUGUCAACUACAUGAUCAUGCAAUGGCAAUAUGACAAAAGUAAUGUAUGUCAUGAUGAAGAACGUAACGUGGAAAGUUGCAUGACAAUAUAUCUCGGAAUGGCUAUGGAAAUGCCAUGAUAGGUAGGUAUGAUGGCUGUUUUGAGGAAGAUAUAAGGAGGUUUAUGUGUGAUAGAGCGUAUCGUAUCACGGGGUUUGGAUGCACCGGCGAAGUUUGCACCAACUCUCAAGGUGAGAAAGGGCAAUGCACGGUACCGAAGGGGCUAGCAAUGAUGGAAAGGUAAAAGUGUGUAUAAUCCAUGGACUCAACAUUAGUCAAAAGAACUCAUAUACUUAUUGCAAAAAUUUAGAAGUCAUCAAAAAUCAAGUAAUACGCGCAUGCUCCUAGGGGGAUAGAUUGGUACGAAAAGACCAUCGCUUGUCCCCGACUGCCACUCAUAAGGAUGCACAAUCCAGGUACACUUCAUGUUUCAAAUUUGUUACACAACUUUAACCAUAUGUGCAUGCUACGAGACUUGCUAACUUCAACACAAGCAUUCUUUAAAUUCAUAAUCACCCAACUAUCAUCACUUUAAUAUCACUACCUCCAUAUCUCAAAACAAUUAUCAAGUAAAUAAUUGAUCAAAGCAUCCAAUUCACUUCCUAUGAUAGUUUUUAUUAUACCCAACUUGGAUGCCUACCAUUCUAGGACCAAUUUUGUAACCAUAGCAAAUACCAUGCUGUUCUAAAAGACUCUCAAAAUAAUAUAAGUGAAGCACGAGAGACUAGCAAUUUCUACAAAGAUAAGUCACCACCAUGCUCUAAAAGAUAUAACUAAAGUACUAGAGCAAAAACUAUCAAGCUCAAAAGAUAUAAGUGAAGCACAAAGCAUAUUCUAGCAAAUUCUAAUCAAGUAGGCUUCUCCCAAAAGGUGUGUACAUAAAGGAUGAUUGUGGUAAACUAAAAAGAAAAUACUAAUAUAAUACACGACGCUCCAAGCAAAACACUUAUCAUGUGGCGAAUAAAAAUAUAGCUCCAAGUAAAGUUACCAAUGAACGAAGACGAAAGAGGGGAUGUCUUCCCGGGGCAUCCCCAAGCUUAGGCUUUUGGCUAUCCUUGAAUAUCCUGGGGUGCCUUGGGAAUCCCCAAGAUUAGGCUCUUUCCACUCCUUAUUCCAUAGUCCAUAAAAGCUUUACCCAAAACUUGAAAACUUCACAACACAAAACUCAACAGGAAAUCUUAUAAGCUCCGUUAGUGAAAAAAACCACCACAUAAGCUACUGUAAUGAACUCAUUAUUUAUUUAUUUUGGUGUUAAACCUACUGUAUUUCAACUUCUCUAUGGUUUAUAAACUAUUUUACUAGCCAUAGAUGCAUCAAAAUAAGCAAACAACACACGAAAAACAGAAGCUGUCAAAAACAGAACAGUCUGUAGCAAUCUGUAACUAACGCAAACUUAUGGAACUCUAAAACUCCUACCAAAAUAGGAAUUCCUGGAAAAUUUAUCUAUUGAUCAGCAGCAAAAAGAAUCAGCGCAAAAUCACUUUUCUGUGAUUUAACAAAAUUAAGUUGGUGCGUGCAAAGUUUCUGUUUUUCAACAGAAUCAAAUCAACUAUCAUCAUAGGUUAUCCUAUAGGUUCUACUUGGCACAAACACUAAUUAAAAGAUAAAAACACAUCUAAACAGAAGGUAGAUGCAAAAUUUCUUACUAAACAGGAACAAAAACAAAGAACACAAAGAAAAUUGGGUUGCGUCCCAACUAGCGCUAUCGUUUAACGCCCCUAGCUAGGCAUAAAAGCGAAGAUAGAUCUAAGUAGCGCCAGAAUAAUAGGAUAGAUCUUGAAAACUCAUCUCAUAUUCUCUAAGUUCAGUGACAAGUUUCCUUUGAGGCAAGCAAAAUUAAUCAAAAGGGCUAAAUUUGAUGGGGCAAAAGUCCCCAAGAUCAAUUAUAGGAGGAAUGGGUUCCUCCCUUGGCCCUUCAUAAUGCACAAUUAAUUCAUCACUAAAAGCAUUCUUUUGGCAAAAUCUCGUGAGCCUAUACUCAAAGAGUAUCCUAGCUCAUUGUUUUGAAGGGAAAAAUCAUUAUUAAGUUCAUUAAUUCUAUCAACCAAGACAUUGGUAGGAACCUUUUUCCUAAGGUUUUCAUUGAAAGCAAUGUAGUUUGAAGAUUGAAAACGCCUAAACUCCUCUUGAUCAUAGAGGACCGCCUCUAUGGGAGGACGACCGGCAUCCACCCUAUAGUGCGUAAAGAUUUCUUUGGCCUCUCUAAUGAUAAAUCUAAACUCAUGAGCCAGAAAGAUAGUAACAGCGCAUCUAACAGAAGAAUGCUCAAUAUUGGAAAAUUCCAGAAAAAUUCUUUGUAUGCAAGGAUGCAUAUGCAUAAAUUCUCUUUCAAGAUCUACUACAAGCAUAGAGACAGUGUCCGCUAGACUACUAGUUUUAUGAAGAAUAGAACCACCCAUGGAAGGCAAAGCACCGGCACAAGUAAAGAAAUCUUGAAUAACACCUUUUCCAAUAAUGUUACCACUACCGAUUCGAAACUUUUUAGUAUGCAAGAUAGGGGGUUCAUCGGUCGGAGCCUCGGAAUUUUCCAUGUUAUCAUUAUUGUCCAUAUCAACGAUAACUUCCCCAAUUCCAGACAUAGCGACAAACAAGAGCAAGGGCGGAAGAAAGCAAGCAAAAGAGAGAGAGGAGGUGAUUUGGAAAGAGAGGGCAAAUAAAACGGCAAAGGUGAAGUGGGGGAGAGGAAAACGAGAGGCAAAUGGCAAAUAAUGUAAAUGCGAGGGAGAUGAGUUUGUGAUGGGUACUUGGUAUGUCUUGACUUGAGCGAAGACCUCCCCGACAACGGCGCCAGAAAUCCUUCUUGCUACGUCUUGAGCUUGCGUUGGUUUUCCUUCAAGAUGAAAGGGUGAUGCAGCAGAGUAGCAUAAGUAUUUCCCUCAGUGUUUGAGAACCAAGGUAUCAAUCCAGUAGGAGGCUCCUCAAAAAUCCCACGCACCUACACAAACAAACAAAGAACUGGCAACCAACGCAAUAAAGGGGUUGUCAAUCCCUUCAUGGCCACUUGCGAAAGUGAGAUCUGAUAGAGAUAGUAUGAUAAGAUAAAUAUAUUUUUGGUAUUUUAUAAUAUAGAUGCAAAAAGUAAAGAUGCAAAUAAAAGUAGAUUGGAAGCAAAUAUGAUAAGAGAUAGACCCGGGGGCCAUAGGUUUCACUAAAGGCUUCUCUCGAGAUAGCAUAAGUACUACGGUGGGUGAACAAAUUACUGUCGAGCAAUUGAUAGAAAAGUGAAUAAUUAUGAGAUUAUCUAGGCAUGAUCAUGUAUAUAGGCAUCACGUCCACAACAAGUAGACCGAGCCCUGCCUGCAUCUACUACUAUUACUCCACACAUCGACCGACUCCUGCCUGCAUCUAAAGUAUUAAGUUCACAAAGAAUAGAGUAACGCAUUAAGCAAGAUGACAUGAUGUAGAGGGAUGAACUCAUGAAAUAUGAUAUAAACCCCAUCUUUUUAUCCUCAAUGGCAACAAUACAAUACGUACCUUGCAACCCUUUUUGUCACUGGGUAAGGACACCGCAAGAUUGAAUCCAAAGCUAAGCACUUCUCCCAUGACAAGAAAGAUCAAUCUAGUAGGCCAAACCAAACUGAUAAUUCGAAGAGACUUGCAAAGAUAACUCAAUCAUACAUAAAAGAAUUCAGAGAAGAUUCAAAUAUUAUUCAUAGAUAAACUUGAUCAUAAACCCACAAUUCAUCGGAUCUCGACAAACACACCUCAAAAAGAGAUUACAUCGAAUAGAUCUCCACAAGAGAGGGGGAGAACAUUGUAUUGCGAUCCAAAAGGAGAGAAGAAGCCAUCUAGCUAAUAACUAUGGACCCAUAGGUCUGUGGUAAACUACUCACAACUCAUCGGAGGGGCAAGGAUGCUGAUGUAGAAGCCCUCCGUGGUCGAUUCCCCCUCCGGCAGAGUGCCGGCGAAGGCUUCAAAAUGAGAUCUCACAGAUACAGAAGGUUACGGUGGUGGAAAUUGUAUCUCGUCUGCUCCCUGGAUGUUUUCGGUGUACGUAGGCUUAUAUAGGAGGAAGAAGUACGUCGGUGGACACCCGAGGGACCCACGAGACAGGGGCGCGCCCUAUAGGGGGGGGCACCCUCCUAUCUCGUGGCCGUCUUGGCUGCUUCUUGACUUGCACUCCAAGUCCUCUGGAUCACGUUCGUUCCAAAAAUCAUGCUCCCGAAGGUUUCAUUCCAUUUGGACUCCGUUUGAUAUUCCUUUUCUUCGAAAUACUAAAAUAGGCAAAAAAACAGCAAUACAGGCUGGGCCUCCGGUUAGUAGGUUAGUCCCAAAAAUGAUAUAAAUGUGUAAAAUAAAGCCCAUAAACAUCCAAAAGGGGUAAUAUAAUAGCAUGGAACAAUCAAAAAUUAUAGAUACGUUGGAGACGUAUCAGCUGACAAUGGGGACGCACCACGCCCAUGGACACAUGCAUGCAACUACAUCCUUUUUACCCUGAAAAAUAAUGCCCCAUGACUGCUGGGACCCACCAUCUACAUCUUUGCACGCAAGGAAGUGCAUCCAUAUUACGGGCAAAAAAAUGAUUCACCCCCUGACUGCUGGGACCCACUAGCUACAUCUUCGCACGCAAGGAAGUGCCUGACAGUCGGGACCCACCUGGUCAAAGCGUACGUAGUGUUAUCAUUCUGGUCGCGAACGUGUACAUACAUACUGGUCGAUGUAGAGGCAUGCACGUGUCCUAGUAGAGGUGCGCACGUGUUUUACUAGAGGCGCGCGCAUAGCAUGUACACGCACGUACAACGGCCAGGGUGCAAGAAAGAAAAUACGGCCACAUACAUACAUACGGGCAGGGUCUCGAAUGCCUACUUGCGCAUACAUACGGCCAGAGCUCGUGUACAUGGCUGGGUAGAAACUGAGAAAGUACGUCGUCGUCGUUUUCAUGGGGAGGCAACGGAAUGCUUCGUGUUCAUCGGGAGGCAACGGAACGCUUGCUGUUCAUCGGGAGUUAACCGGCUUGGACGGAAUAGCCGAUGGAAAUGACGCCUGGCGUACCGCAGAACGGAGGAAACGGCCUUGUGUUCGACCGGUGCCACGUCUUGAGCUUGCGUUGGUUUUCCUUCAAGAGGAAAGGGUGAUGCAGCAAUAGUAGUGUAAGUAUUUCCCCAAGUUUUUGAGAACCAAGGUAUCAAUCCAGUAAGAGGCUCCUCAGAAGUCCCACGCACCUACACAAACAAACAAAGAACUCGCAACCAACGCAAUAAAGGGGUUGUCAAUCCCUUCACGGCCACUUGCGAAAGUGAGAUCUGAUAGAGAUAGUAUGAUAAGAUAAAUAUAUUUUUGGUAUUUUAUAAUAUAGAUUGGAAAAGUAAAGAUGCAAAUAAAAAUAGAUUGAAAGCUUAUAUAAUAAAAGAUAGACCCAGGGGGCAUAGGUUUCACUAGUGGUUUCUCUCAAGAUAGCAUAAGUAUUACGGUGGGUGAACAAAUUACUGUCGAGAAAUUGAUAGAAAAGCGAAUAAUUAUGAGAUUAUCUUGGCAUGAUCAUGUAUAUAUGCAUCACAUCCGUGACAAGUAGACCGACUCCUGCCUGCAUCUACUACUAUUAAUCCACACAUCGACUGCUAUCUAGCAUGCAUGUAGAGUAAGUUCAUAAGAACAGAGUAACGCAUUAAGAAAGAUGACAUGAUGUAGAGGGAUAAACUCAAGCAAUAUGAUAUAAACCCCAUCUUUUUAACCUCGAUAGCAACAAUACAAUACGUGCCUUGCAACCCCUGCUGUCACUGGGUAAGGACACCGCAAGAUUGAAACCAAAGCUAUGCACUUCUCUCAUGGCAAGAAAGAUCAAUCUAGUAGGCCAAACCAAACUGAUAAUUCGAAGAGACUUGCAAAGAUAACUCAAUCAUACAUAAAAUAAUUCAGAGGAGAUUCAAAUAUUUCUCAUAGGUAAACUUGAUCAUAAACCCACAAUUCAUCGGAUCUCGACAAACACACCGCAAAAAAGGGUUACAUCGAAUAGAUCUCCACCAGAGAGGGGGAGAACAUGGUAUUGAAAUCCAAAAAGAGAGAAGAAGCCAUAUAGCUAAUAACUAUGGACCCGAAUGUCUGUGGUAAACUACUCACAACUCAUAGGAGGGGCUACGGUGUUGAUGUAGAAGCCCUCCAUGGUCAAUUCCCUCUCCGACGGAGCGCCGGCGAAGGCAACAUGAUGGGAUCUCGCGGAUACAGAAGGUUACGACGGUGGAAAUUGUUUUUCGUUGGCUCCCUAGAUAUUUUUGGGGUACGUGGGUAUAUAUAGGAGGAAGAAGUAGGUCGGUGGCCGCCCCCUGUAGGGGUGGGCGCGCCCUCCACCCUCGUGGCCGCCUCAAUCGCUUCUUGACUUGCACUCCAAGUCCUCUGGUUCACGUUCGUUCCAAAAAUCACGCUCCCGAAGGUUUCAUUUAGUUUUGACUCUGUUUGACAUUCUUUUUUUCGAAAUACUGAAAUAGGCAAAAAAAACAGCAAUACGGGCUGGGCCUCCGGUUAGUAGGUUAGUCCCCAAAAUGAUAUAAAUGUGUUAAAUAAAUCCCAUAAACAUCAAAAGGGGUAAUAUAAUAGCAUGGAACAAUAAAAAAUUAUAGAUACAUUGGAGACAAAUCAAGCAUCCCCAAGCUUAAUUCCUGCUCGUCCUCGAGUAGGUAAAUGAUAAAAACAGAAUUUUUGAUGUGGAAUGCUACCUAGCAUAAUUCUUGAUGUAAUUUUCUUUAUUGUGGCAUGAAUGUUCAGAUCCAAAUGAUUCAAAAUAAAAGUUCACAAAAUAACAUGGCAAAAGAAAGUCACCCUACAAAAUCAUAUAGUUAGGCUAUGCUUCAUUUUCGUCACACAAAAAUGUUCCCAAAUUCUACACCCCUGAUGACAAGCCAAGCAAUUGUUUCGUACUUUAAUCUCAAACUUUUUCAACUUUCACGCAAUACAUGAGCGUGAGCCAUGGAGAUAGCACUAUGGGUGGCAUAGAAUAUGAUGAUGGGGAUUGUAUGGAGAAGACAAAAAAGGAGAAAGUCUCACAUUGACGAGGAUAAUCAACGGCUAUGGAGAUGCCCAUCAAUUGAUGUCACCAUGAGGAGUAGGGAUUGCCAUGCAACAAAUGCACUAGAGUUAUAUAUGUAUGAAAGCUCAACAAAAGAAAACUAACCGGGUGUGCAUCCAACUUGCUUGCUCACGAAGACCUAGGGCAUUUGAGGAAGCCCAUCGUAGGAAUAUACAACCCAAGUUCUAUAAUGAAAAAUUCCCACUAGUAUAUGAAAAUGACAACAUAUGAGACUCACUAUAUGAAGAACAUUGUGCUACUUUGAAGCACAAUAAAUGAGACUCGCUAUAUGAAGGACAAGGUGCUAGUUCGAAGCACAAGUGUGGAAAAAGAGAUAGUAACAUUGCCCCUUUUAUUUAUUUUCUUUUUCUUUUUUUUCUUUUUUAUCUUUGGCCUUUUCUUUUUUCCUUUUAGGCCUUUAUUUUUUUUUCUAUUUUUUCUUGGGACAAUGCUCUAAUAAUGAUGAUCAUCACACUUUUAUUGAUUUACAACAUAUGAAUUACAACUCGAAACUAGAACGAGAUAUGACUCUAUAUGAAUGCCUCCGGCGGUGUACCGGGAUGGUGCAAUGAAUCAAGAGUGACAUGUAUGAAAAAUUAUGCAUGGUGGCUUUGCCACAAAUAUGAUGUCAACUACAUGAUCAUGCAAUGGCAAUAUGACAAAAGUAAUGUGUCAUGAUGAUAAACGGAAUGGUGGAAAGUUGCAUGGCAAUAUAUAUCGGAAAGGCUAUGGAAAUGCCAUAAUAGGUAGGUAUGGUGGCUGUUUUGAGGAAGAUAUAAGGAGGUUUAUGUGUCAUAGAGCGUAUCAUAUCACGGGGUUUGCAUGCACCGGCGCAGUUUGCACCAACUCUCAAGGUGAGAAAGGGCAAUGCAUGGUACCGAAGAGGCUAGCAAUGGUGGAAAGGUAAAAGUGUGUAUAAUCCAUGGACUCAACAUUAGUCAAAAGAACUCAUAUACUUAUUGCAAAAAUUUAGAAGUCAUCAAAAACCAAGCACUAUGCGCAUGCUCCUAGAGGGAUAGAUUUGUAGAAAAAGACCAUUGCUCGUCCCCGACCGCCACUCAUAAGGAUGCACAAUCCAGGUACACUUCAUGUUUCAAAUUUGUUACUCAACUUUAACCAUACGUGUAUGCUACGAGACUUGCUAACUUCAACACAAGCAUUCUUUAAAUUCAUAAUCACCCAACUAGCAAGACUUUAAUAUCACUACCUCCAUAUCUCAACACAAUUAUCAAGUAUCAAAUUGAUCAUAGCAUCCAAUUCACUUGCUAUGAUAGUUUUUAUUAUACCCAACUUGGAUGCCUACCAUUCUAGGACCAAUUUUAUAAACAUAGCAAAUACAAUGCUGUUCUACGAGACUCUCAAAAUAAUAUAAGUGAAGUAUGAGAGACUAGCAAUUUCUACAAAAUUAAGCCACCGCCGUGCUCUAAAACAUAUAAGUGAAGUACUAGAGCACAAACUAUCUAGCUCAAAAGAUAUAAGUGAAGCACGUAGAGUAUUCUAAUAAAUUCUAAUCAAGUGGGCUUCUCCCAAAGAGGUGUGUACAGAAAGGAUGGUAGUGGUAAACUAAAAAUAAAAUACUAUUAUCAUACACGACGCUCCAAGCAAAACACAUAUCAUAUGGUGAAUAAAAAUAUAGCUCCAAGUAAAGUUACCAAUGAACGAAGACGAAAGAGGGGAUGCCUUCCCGGGGCAUCCCCAAGCUUAGGCUUUUGGCUAUUCUUGAAUAUAUUGGGGUGCCUUGGGCAUCCCCGAGCUUAGGCUUUUUGCCACUCCUUAUUCCAUAGUCCAUCAAAUCUUUACCCAAAACUUGAAAACUUCACAACACAAAACUCAACAGGAAAUCUCAUAAGCUCCGUUAGUGAAAGAAAGCAAAACCACUACAUAAGGUACUGCAAUGAACUCAUUCUUUAUUUAUUUUGGUGUUAAGCCUACUGUAUUCCAAGUUCUCUAUGGUUCAUACCACUUAAUACUAGCCAUAGAUGCAUCAAAAUAAGCAAACAACACACGAAAAACAGAAUCUGUCAAAAACAGAACAGUUUGUAGAAAUCUGUAACUAAUGCAAACUUCUGGAACUCUAAAUAUCUUACCAAAAUAGGUAGUCCUGGGAAAUUGGUCUAUUGAUCAGAAGCAAAAAGAAUCAAUGCAAAAUCACGUUUCUGUGAUUUAACAAAACUACUUUCGUGCGUGCAAAGUUUCUGUUUUUCAGCAGAAUCAAAUUAACUAUCACCAUAUGUUAUCCUAUAGGUUCUACUUGGCACAAACACUAAUGAAAACAUAAAAACACAUCUAAACAAAAGGUAGAUGCAAAAUUUAUUCCUAAACAGAAACAAAAACAAAAAACACAAAUAAAAUUGGGUUGCCUCCCAACUAGCGCUAUCGUUUAACGCCCCUAGCUAGGCAUAAAAGCGAAGAUAGAUCUAAGUAGUGCCAUCUUUGGCACUUGGCAAGAAAAGAGCAAAUUUAAUUUCUAUGGCAUUCAUCCUUCUAUUUUGGGAAAUCACAUUUCCAUUAAUGGAGGAAGUAAGAUUAAGCACGUUACGGAAAUUUGCAUCUAAACUAGACUUCAUAUCUUUGAUAAUUUCGUGUUGAUAAAAGCAUAAGAGGGUGGUAGAUUCAACUUUAUCAUUCAUGGGAUUCCCAAAUAUAGUUUUCAUUCUUUCAUGGGUAUCUAUAGCAUCCCCUUCAAGAAAACCUUCUUCAAAAAUAGAAUCUAGAACUUGCUUCAAAGAAGCGGGUAAGCCAACAUAGAUUUUUUUUAAGUAAACCUCAAUUUGAUAUUGUGGUACAUAGCUAGCCGGAAUCCUUAAUAACCUAUCCCAAGCAUCUUUUAAUGACUCAUCAAGUAAAUAACGAAAAAUUCCAGAGUCAUCAUCAUCAAAAUCAUUUAAGCACUCAUUGGUGACCCUGGUGGGUCUAUCUAUAGCACCAUUAUUUAUGAGCUUAGAGAGGAUAGAGGGGCUAUCCAAGGUACCAGAACCCUGGAAAGGACCCUUAGUUCUUUUUGAUUCGGCCAUGGCAACGGGAAGGCAAACGGAAAAGAGAGAGGAGAAGAUUGGGAAAGAGAGGGCAAAUAAAACGGCAAGGGUGAAGUGGGGGAGAGGAAACCGAGAGGCAAAUGGCAAAUAAUGUAAAUGCGAAGGAGAUGAGCUUGUGAUGGGUACUUGGUAUGUCUUGACUUGAGCGAAGACCUCCCCAACAACGGCGCCAGAAAUCCUUCUUGCUACGUCUUGAGCUUGCGUUGGUUUUCCUUGAAGAGGAAAGGGUGACGCGGCAAUAGUAGCGUAAAUAUUUCCCUCAGUUUUUGAGAACCAAGGUAUCAAUCCAGUAGGAGGCUCCUCAGAAGUCCCACGCACCUACACAAACAAACAAAGAACUCGCAACCAACGCAAUAAAGGGGUUGUCAAUCCCUUCACUGUCACUUGCGAAAGUGCGAUCUGAUAGAGAUAGUAUGAUAAGAUAAAUAUAUUUUUGGUAUUUUAUAAUAUAGAUUGGAAAAUUAAAGAUGCAAAUAAAAGUAGAUUGAAAGCUUAUAUGAUAAAAGAUAGACCCAGGGGCCAUAGGUUUCACUAGUGGCUUCUCUCAAGAUAGCAUAAGUAUUACGGUGGGUGAACAAAUUACUGUCGAGCAAUUGAUUGAAAAGCGAAUAAUUAUGAGAUUAUCUAGGCAUGAUCAUGUAUAUAGGCAUCACAUCCGUGACAAGUAGACCGACUCCUGCCUGCAUCUACUACUAUUACUCCACACAUCGACCGCUAUCCAGCAUGCAUCUAGAGUAUUAAGUUCAUAAGAACAGAGUAACGAAUUAAGAAAGAUGACAUGAUGUAGAGGGAUAAACUCAAGCAAUAUGAUAUAAACCCCAUCUUUUUAUUCUUGAUGGUAACAAUACAAUACGUGCCUUGCAACCCCUGCUGUCACUAGGUAAGGACACCACAAGAUUGAACCCAAAGCUAAGCACUUCUCCCAUGGUAAGAAAGAUCAAUCUAGUAGGCCAAACCAAAAUGAUAAUUCGAAGAGACUUGCAAAGAUAACUCAAUCAUACAUAAAAUAAUUCAAAGGAGAUUCAAAUAUUGCACAUAGAUAAACUUGAUCAUAAACCCAUAAUUCAUCGGAUCUCGACAAACACACCGCAAAAAAGGGUUACAUCGAAUAGAUCUCCACAAGAGAGGGGGAGAACAUGGUAUUGAGAUCCAAAAAGAGAGAAGAAGCCAUCUAGCUAAUAACUAUGGACCCGAAGGUCUGUGGUAAACUACUCACAACUCAUCGGAGGGGCUAUGGUGUUGAUGUAGAAGCACUCCAUGGUCGAUUCCCCCUCCGGCGGAGCGCCGGCGAAGGCUCCAAGAUGGGAUCUCGCGGAUACAGAAGGUUACGAUGGUGGAAAUUGUUUUUUGUUGGCUCCCUGGAUGUUUUCGAGGUACGUGGGUAUAUAUAGGAGGAAGAAGUAGGUCGGUGGCCGCCCGAGGGGCCCACGAGACAGGGGGCGCGCCCUGUAGGGGUGGGCGCGCCCUCCACCCUCGUGGUCGCCUCGAUCACUUCUUAACUUGCACUCUAAGUCAUCUGGAUCACGUUUGUUCCAAAAAUCACGCUCCCGAAGGUUUCAUUCUGUCUGGACUCCGUUUGAUAUUCCUUUUCUUCGAAAUACUAAAAUAGGCAAAAAACAGCAAUACGGGUUGGGCCUCCGGUUAGUAGGUUAGUCCCAAAAAUGAUAUAAAUGUGUAAAAUAAAGCCUAUAAACAUCCAAAAGGGGUAAUAUAAUAGCAUGGAACAAUCAAAAAUUAUAGAUACGUUGGAGACGUACCAACCGGCAGAGAUCAAAACGGGAUCCUGUUCAUCGGGAGGGGUCUGGCAUACCGCAAAACAGAGGAAACGGACUUUUAUUGGACCUCCUACAGUUGAAACAGGGUCGUGUUGAUCGAGAGGGGUGUGGCGUACCGCAAAACAGAGGAAACCGACUUGUGUUGAAGCGCUACGGUCGAAACGGGGGUCCUGUUCAUCGGGAGGGGUGUGGCGUACCGCAAAACGGGACACCACGGGAUACUGUUCAUCUCCACCGGCAACCUCCUCCAGCCUCCACGGGUACUGUUCAUCCACCACCGACCUACUCCACCCUCCACCUGCGACUGUUCAUCCACGGGCUCCUGUUCAUCUAGCCUCCACUGGCUACUGUUCAACCAGCCCUCUCCGCGGGGUCCUGUUCAACCACCCCUGCAUGGGCUACUGUUCAUGCAGCCCUCCACCGGCUACUGUUCAACCAGCCCUCCACCGGCUACUAUUCAACCUUCCCUCCAUGGGGUCGUGUUCAUUCAGCCCUCCACGGGGUCCUAUUCAUCCAUGCCCAACCGGCUUGAUCGAUCGGGGUCCUGUUCAUCCAGCGGCAACACCACGGGGUCCUAUUCAUCCAAACCCCUGCCGGGAACUGUUCAUCCAAACCCCCCCAAACAAUGCUCACUAUUCAUCAAGGGAAGGAGGCAGCAGGUUCGAUCGGCUUCAGUUAGCAGCAGUAGCGAACAGAGGAAUCGCUCGAUUGGGUUUAGUUAACAUCCAUAGAUUGAUUGCUCGGGUUUAGUUAACAGCCAUAGAUUGAUUGCUCGGGUUCAGAAACACGUAGCCUGCAGUGCAAUCGCUCGGGUUCAGUUAGGCGAAUGCGUCGCUCAGGUUCAGUUACAGCCCAACGCCUCGCACCCACGCGCGUACGUGUAUAAGAGAAACGCGCAUCACUCGGCCCACGACCACCCACCGUAACUGGGAACUCCCUGAUAUUUUCCUCGCCCUUGCUUCUACCACAAUUUUUUUCGUCAUGGAUGGCCCAAAGAAUGUCAUGCAGCUGCGUCUCCGGCCCGCCCAGGACGAAAAGCCCAUUUUCUGUCAUGAUUUUUUGUCAUAAAAGUAGGAGCCCACCACAUCUACGAUGAUACCGGGUUUUGUCACAAUUAUCAUUAUAGAAGUGUCAUAAGCAUGACAGAAAAAAUAUUCGUUCGGCCCAAAAUGUCACGGAUGUGUCUUUUUUUUGUAGUGUUGGUGCGAAUGUUGCAACAAUUUAUGAACCACCUAGUUUUGUUAAACAAAAAAAUAGAGGGGUAGCCUCAUCAAAAAAAGGUCAAGCGGUCACAAGUAUUUGAUAGCAGAAAGUUUCGAAUUUUUAACUGCAAACCGUAGAACAACUAUUCUACGAUAUUUUCACUUAUAUAGACAACGUAAUAUAUAAACCCCAAAGGAAAAAGUAAUGAAAUUCUAAAUAUAUCCAAUUCCAUAUUUGGGCAACUUCUAUUGAAAUCAAGAGAAUUUUAAACUUUAGGAGUCAAUGUCACUGAUGCGAUUCCACCCAUUCCUUUAAAAUUACCAAUUCUUUUGCUUGAUCAUGUGUUUCAGAAGUGCAAGAUCAUGCUUGAGCAUGAAUUCCCAGGUGUUUUGACUUUGUACCUUUCUCAUGAAUACUCUUCCGUUGCUUUAAGUCAAUAUGUUCCAACAACAUAAUAUGAUGAUGUCCAAGGCAAUAGGCUUUGGUAAUUUUUGACAAGCAAGCAUUGUCUCAUCAUAUGUUGAAGUUCCUCUCCAUUUGUGAUCAAUGAUGGUAUCCCAACAAUCUUGUGCAAAGGUGCAUUCCGAAGACAUAUGCAUCAAAGUUUCCUCAAGCUCUUAAUUGUAAAAGAAAAAUUCAUAACAAUCCAAAUGCAUAGAUUUCAUUUUGAGUAAAUUUCUUGUAUUAACUCUAUCAUGAAGCAACAACCAAAAAUAUAUUUUGUGUCUGGCCCUGUAAAGACCGUUCCGUAGCCAUUUGAGAAUGAUGUGUGCCUCUGUUCCUGUCAUUAGGAAAUUAUACAUUUCAAUUGAUGAAUACAUUUUGUUAUUGCCUGGACACAUCCAUGUAUCUAAUGCAUGAUUGUUGGUGUGCUGGCCAAUGUAGAGUUGAAGGUUAGUGGUUUGAUCCAAAGCUCGAUCUGAAAGUGGUGUAUGAAUAUGCUCUGAGAUAUCAUGUGAGUUGAUCAUGAUGGCCAAACAAUGGUACACUUGUAUCAAAUGAAUGUAGUUCAAGGAAAACUUGAUGCAAAGGCCUAUCCACCCACGAAUCAGGCUAUACUUUAAUUGUGCUUCCAUUGCUAGCCUUGCAGGUUGCCACAAUUUUGAAAAGAGGCAAGAACUUAAGAUGAGCUUUGCACCGGCUUGACCUAACUAGUCUUGUACAUGGUAGUUUAGUGGAACAGUAUUUGUUCCAGAUCAAAUUAACCCAGGGAUGGUUAUCUUUGUUGAAUUAUUUUAGAGGAUUUUAAUAGGUAGAGCUUUAUUGUGUAGAGAAAUAUCCAAAAUUUCUAGCCCACCUGGUUCCCUAGGUUUGCAAACCUUGUCUCAUGCAAUUAAAUUUGGGGCAUGAAUUAGCUUGUCCAAAUUUUCUCCAAAAUAAAUGCUUGAUAUAUUUAAUUUGUUCAAUGAUACGUGCAGAAAAAGCUAGUGCGCACAUGAAAAAUAUUGGAAGGGGAAAAAUAGAUUUGAUUUCCUGCAACCUCCCAUCACAGGAUAACAAAGUGGAACAUCCCGUCAAGCUGCACUUUGCUUGACAAAAUUAGAGUGAAAUCUUCAUUUCUGAGUCUAUAUAUGUGCACUAAUAAGGAGGCCUAGAUAUGUGAAGGGGAAGUGCCCAAGUUUACAUGAUAGAAGCCCCAACAACUUAUUGAGAUUAUGAUCGACCACAUUAAUAGGCGCAAGGAGAAAUUUGCUAUCGUUUAUCUUAAGAGCAGUUUGAACAACAAAAUGAUCCCCCAAAUGUUGACUUGUUGUUGAUGCUCAUCUAGUGGUCGGUUCAUGAUUGUAUCAUCUGUUUAUUGAAUGACUUGAAAAUUUUAGUUUGCUUGGGAGUUAACUGGAGCCUGAAUAAGGUUGACCUGCAUGGCUUCAUUGAGAAUUGAUUGUAAAAGGUCAGCUGCGAAUACAAAGAUCAGAGGUGAAAAAGGGUCAAGUUAUCUCACCCUCUUUUACAUUUGAAUUGCUUUCUAGGCAUCAAUUGAAGUAUCACCUUUUGAAGUAUAUUUGCAAGAGCUUUGCGAUGAUCUUGAUUGUACUUUUUAGCAAUGAAAUAGGUCUGAGCUCAUCAAGGGUUUGUGGAUUGUUUUGUUUGGGAAUCAGUGUACUGAGUUAUCCAUUGAUAGAUUGUUAGUAAAUUUUCCAUGGUAGAAAUCAUCAAUAAGCUAAUAAAAAUCUUAUGAUAUAAUAUUCUAGCAAUCCUUGAGAAAAGCACCAUUAAAUCCAUCUGGCCCAGCACUAUUGCAGGAAUGCCUAGUAGUGGCAGGCGUCAAAUGGCCAGCAGUGGCGGGCUCCAAAUGGCCAACAGUGGCGGGCCAGGCUCCCAGGGAUGCCUGCCACUGACCUUCAGCCACUGCUAUGAUGCCAUCAGUGGCGGACGGGCGCCCGCCACUAUUAGAGUCCACCAGUGGUGGGCAGUGCUACUUUCCCACCAUUGGUUUAUGUUAUUAGUUGUGGCGGGCCAUUCUUGUCACCCGGCACAACGAAGCCCCUCCAGCCUUUCCAGUACCCGAUACAAAUAACCACAUUAGUACAUACAACUUAAGUAAUCGAUCAUACACAUUGCAUUUAACAUAACAAUAAUCUAAACUUCAUGCAAAUAGAUGUACGCAUUAGUGUACAACAACUCAUAUUGCAUCAUUACUACAACAACACAUACAUACUAGACCUCAUGAUAACAACAAUACCAUAAUGACAAUGAGCUCGAUAAAGAUAAUCAAAUUCUUUACUCGUCCACUUGUCCACACGGUCUUGCAAACUUCAUAGUUGAUUUUCACUUUGUGGACAUAAUUGACAUAAUGAUCCUCAACUUCUCUGCGGACUUAAUUAGUAUAAUGAUCCCCAGCUUCUUUUUUAGUCUUAUAUCCUUUGUAGAAGCUAUUUUUUUAAAUGUCAACUUGCUCCUUACAUAUCUCCCAUGAAUCAUAAAUUCCAAGAUUCCUCCCGUCGUACACCACAUACCAGUUCCAUUUCAUCUAUCUAAAUAAAUAAAGAAGCCAACAAUUCAAUUUCAUAGUUAUCCAAUCACAUAGAGCAAAGUCACAUCAUAAUCUUCAUUUAUAGACGAUACAAAUCACCACGUUGCACGCUUCAUUUGUAGUUCGAAAGCAAAAUUUUAGCUCCAUCAUUCGCAUCGAUCAUAUAGAUCACAUUAAAGCAAUGCACUAGUUGUUCAGCUCCAUCAUGAGCUAUCCUCGCCUUCUGUCAUCUUCGUGAUCUCGUCUUGGGUGCUCCUCGCAGCUUCGACGACUGCUCAUGCACUCUCUGUGGUUGCUUGCGCACUCUUAGCGGCUGCUCUAGCGCUCGCAGCGGUUUCUCUAGCGCUCUCAGAAUAUUCCUGAGUGCUCUUAGAAUAUGACUGAGUGCUCUCGGUGGCUGAUCAAGCACUCUCGACAUAGGCGAGCAAGAUCUCGGUGUACUGAGCCACCCUUGUGAUGAUGUCUACGACAGUAGGACCCCGUCUAUGUGUGUAGGAGUCCUAACGAGGUGUCUUGGCUUCUUAUCUAAAUCGCAUUAAAAAAAUUGUCAUUCAUAUAUAGCAUUUAGAAAAAAACAGCAUGACCUUUGAUAGAAUUUGGACAUAUUGAAUGCCAGAAAUUAAAUGAAAGAAACUUAAUCCACGCUUCGCAAAAACACUGGAACUCACUAUGAAUACACCUGCAUCUAUAUGUGCUACUUUUGGUAUAGCACACGCAAUCAAUUUUAAGACAUUCACAUAUAUGAAGAUUCAAUGAUACAUCAUACAACAAAUUUUAGCUACACGAAUAAAAAUAUUGUACUAGAUUUUUAUCCAUAUGUUGUACAUUUUAACUACACUAAUAAAGAGAGAGAUAAAAUCAUACCACAAGUAACCAUUGACAGAGAGGAGUGAGGUGUGCUUACGGGGCCGGAGUCGCAAGGGUGGUCGUAUGAGGUGGAGGUCGAUGGCGGAGGCGUCAGCGGACGGUGAGUUUGAUGGAGACGAGCACGGUGCUGGAUGCGGAGGAAAGCAGGGGCGACGGUCAUGGGGAAGUAGUUCGAGGUAGUGUUGCACGGAGACGCCGACGAACUUCGAGGCAGGGACGGACGACGCGAGCGACGAGGAAGAUUGGCUCCUCGACGCCGUUCGAGGCGGCGCACCGCGACCUCUCCAGUGGCGACGAACGACGCCACGACGUUCCUGGCAGAGAGAGAGGAAGGGAGAAAGGGUUUGGGUGUAGAGUGAGAUUUGAGUGGCACGGGGGUAGGUAAUGUCUAUAUAUAGAGCAGUGACGGGCGCGAGUAGUUGCCCGCCACCCGAGUAUAAGCGUGGGAGGUGGCUAUGUAACCAAAUAUAGCUGUGGUGGGCGACUGCUAAAACCCACCACCCGCGGCCUAAAACUAUUUGAAAAUGGUUGGUGCCUGGCUGCCCAAAUAUAGUUAUGGCGGGCGACUAAAGCUGCCCGCCACACAUAUGAAAGCGAACUGUGGCGGGUGACAGACUUCACCCGCCAUGGUAGCUUGCCAGUCAGGAAGAAAUUAGAAAACGCAGAGCUGAGGCGGGUAAUCUUCGCCGCCCGCCACAACUACUCGCUUAGCAGUGGAGAGCUUACUUUAGGACUCGCCACUGCUUUCUUUCAAAAUUAACCGUGGCGGGUGCCCCGCCCCGCCCGCCAUUAUUUGGGCUUCACCUACAAGCUCUUUCCCGGUAGUGCAGGAGCCUUGUCAGAAGUCAAAAAUUUGAUGACAUCAUCAAUUUAAGUUUUAGUGAAAGGUUCUUCCAACUGCCUCAACUGGUCAUUGCUUGGUAAGAUACUGGGCAGGUGGAACAAUUGAAACUAGGUGUAGAGGUGCUAAGUGUUUCUUUAAAAGCUCUCAAAGAAUAGUUGAUUUUGCAUGAUAUUCAAUGUGGUCCUGUUGAUGUUCAUCUUUUAGCAUGGAAAUGUGACCAUUCUUAUACUUUACAGUGGCUUAUGCUUGGAAUUUUGUGUGUGUUGCCAUAUCCAAAUAUGACACAUCCAAUUGUUUUUGUUUGCUUCCUAUAAGUACUUCGAUAAUCAAGUAAAUUGCUCAGGUGAUUCUUAAAAAUGAUCCUUCCAUUCCACUCUGGAGUGCUAAGAUGUAUGUAUUCUUCCAAUAAUAAAAUCAACUCGUUGGAGUAUUUGAUGAAUUGUGCAAGAUUAUAGAAAAUUUUGGGCCAAAUCUUUAAUCCCAUCCUUAAUCUUUAGAAUUUUGUUGUGAUCUUUUUAGCACUAUAAUUAUCUUGCACUUCCUGCACCCAGGUGCUCUAAACCACCUCUUUGAAUUUAGGUAUUUACACCCAAAAGCAUUCAAAUAUGAAGAUGUUUGCUUUUGGAAUGUUAGUGCCGACAUGUAUGAUCCAUGGCACAUGAUGUGAGAUUGGCUUCGCAAGACUAAAUGCAUAAGUAUUUGGGUAAUUUAAGGUCCAUGAUUCUCAGGAGAAGCACCAAUCCAGUUUCCCAAGCAUAGAAGCUUCUUGCAUAUUACUCCAAGUGAAUUUUCUUCCUUUUAGGGGCAUUUCAAUCAAUCCCAGAGCACUUAUAUAUAGAUGCAUUGAAAUUCAUCAUAUCUUGUAAAUUGCCACCAUGUCUGUUUCUAUCAUCAAGGUAUCUUAUGUAGUUGAAAUCUCCCACUAUUAAGCGAUCUAUAUCAUUAGGCAUUUGUAUAUUUUGAAAUCAAUCAAUGAAGCCGCUCUCUCAUUAGGCAUCUGUAUAUUUUGAAAUUAAAAUAUGAAAUAAGAUGACACUACUAGAGAAAAGCUUACCAGUAGCGCUCGUUUUUGUGCUACCAGUAUUGCGGGAACCAGCGCUACUGCUACGGCCAGCGCUACUGCUAACAUUUAUGUUUUUUUUUAUAUUUUAGCGUUGUACAUGUUUAAACAGAUAUAUCUUUUAUACAAUAAUAACUCAUCAUGAACUAGUCUGUUUAAAUAGCAUAUUCAUUACCAGUAGUCAUCACCACCAAACAAUGUUCGUCAAUGAGACAUAUAUAUAUAACAAGUUGGUCACUAGUCAUAAUCACAACUCCUCAUCCUCCUCAUCAACUCUAACACAUUAUAGCACAUAAUAACACAUUCUACCUAGGACCUACUCCUCUCAUAGGACCUACUCUACCCUCUCUUAGGUAAAAUAUCAUAAAACAAGAUAGGCAUUGACUCUUCAUUAAGGAAACUGGACUCUCCAUAAUGAAGAACAGAGAUCAUCCUGUCUCCAAGUCUUGGCCUACGCACAAUGUUGCCUCCAAGUAGCUCUCUACGAUGGUUGAAACAUUUUUUCCAAUCAUUUAUUAUCAUGGCUUCCUUGCUUUUAGAAAUCUGGUAUGGACAAGAGUGAUGUGGAUACUGCGACUGACCUGGCCGUGGUGGGCGUAAGCUCAUAACAUCAACGCGACCUCUUGGCAACAUCAGAUGAGGCACACAAUCCAUCGGGAUUUUCUGUUCAAAAACAUAAUAAUAACUUUGUAGUUAGCAAUGUAGUUUAGUUUUAGAAAAAUUUAUGCAAAAGAUGCACGGAUGUCGUAAUAGUAGAAAAUCUUACCAUGCUAUCUCCAUUGAUGUUACUGUAGCACACCGCGUGCACUAGUGGCACAUAUUGACCAUAAUUUUCAGGAUUCGAUAAUAGUUAUUGUAAUUCUCAAGAUCAGUAAAAAAUGCGAUAAGACCAUCUUUCUCCUUAUAAGUUAAUUGUGCUUCAUCAUUGUAGUAGUAGGUUCUGUCUACCAUCUUCCGUACAUUUUUUGAAGAAUGAAAAUAAGUUGUCAAUGGAAAUAAGCUGUCAAAUAUUUUGAAAUAAACAAUAUAAAUUACUUAGUAAAUAUGUUUAAAAAACUCACACAGCGAUAGAACUGGAAGCGUGUCAACAAGGACCCAAAUGGUCAUAUCAUUUUCGUCGAUGUCAGGAUCACCAAGAUCGAAGGUGAGAAGCAUACCCUCAUGAAAAUCAUACGCCUUGGAAAGGGCUUCCUAAUUCGGGCAACGAAAAUUGGAUGAGUUCACAGAAUUGUAUAGUUUUACAGCAAAAUCAUAACCAUAUGAUGGGUCCUUAGUUGAAUUAUCUUUGUCUCGAUGCUUUCAUGAUCUUCAAAACCCAUCUUCUCCAAGACAUAGCGUCUUGCAUGGCAUGGGAUAAGCUAGUCGAAUUGUAAAAGACGGAAAUUAUACGUUGAAGAAGCAGAGAAGUCAUGCAAAAAUAACAAAAAAUACUUGUCAUCGUUGCGUACCGUAUCAACAUCAAAGGUCUGUUGGAGCUUGAUGCUGAAGUGCGGACCUUCUACCAGGUGAGGCCUGUCGCACAAACCGCGCUCAUCUUCGCAGUAAUCGCACAUAGCGAAUUCCCUUUCGUCGUCAGACAUUUCCUAAUAGGUAAUUAAUAAUCCAUCAUCGAAUACAUAUAUAGUAGUUUGUAGCAAAGAUCAUCAUAUAACAACUAAAACACCUAAAAUUUGUAGUUUGUAGUAGUUUGUAGCAAAGAUCAUCAUAUAAUCCAUCAUGAAUACAUAUAUAAUAGUUUGUAGCACAAACCGCGCUCAUCUUUUGCAUUCAAUAAGCAAAUAACUAAUAGGUAAUUAAUAAUCCAUCAUUGAAUACAUAUAUAGUAGUUUGUAGCAAAGAUCAUCAUAUAAUAUCACUAAUACAUCUCUAAUAAUAGCUCCUCUAGGUUCAGUGGGCCGCGGUGGACACCCAAAAAGAAGGAACCAUCACCGGAUCAUAGCUCCGGUGAGAUCCCCAAAGAAUCUGCCAGGUAUUGGAGAACCGGCCGUUCACCAACGCAACCAAGUAGCGCUGGACGUGCGCGUUCUCCUCCGUGACACGGUGUUGUACCACCUGCGCGGUGGACUCAAGCCUCUCCACCGAUACAGGCCCACGUGACCGCCACCAAAGAAGCUCCGGGUCGACGACGGGAUGGCUCCUCACUAAGGUGCGCUCACCAAAAGGUAGCACAACCCAGUACCAGCCCGGCGGAGCCCAGUACCGGACAUGGCCCCUCGGCUCAACCAGGAGUCCUCCGCCGAGUCGACGACGAGGAUGCGGGAUAGGCAUCGUCGACGUCGAGAACAAAAUGCUUAAUUAUAAAUACAAAAUUAAUAAACAUUUAGCAAAAAUUGGCAUGACCUUUGCUAUAGACAGGACCAAUCGAGCGCCUGAAAUUUGCCAGAACGUAAACGAAUCGACAUUUCUGGCAAAACAUAGGCCACUCAGAAAAAUAUGACAUGUCCAAAAUGUGACAUGUUCAAAAUAUGACAUGUCCACUGCAAAUUUGCAUAUAACAGGAAAAAUUGCUUUAACUAAAAAAAUAACAACAAUUCCUUUAACUAAAAAAAUACCUAGAAUUCUGUUAACUACACCUAAAACAACUAAAACACCUAAAAUUCUGUUAACCACACCUAAAACAACUAAACCACCUAAAAUUCUGUUAACUACACCUAAAACAACUAAAACACCUAAAACUCUUUUAAAUACACUUAAAACAAAUCCAAUAUUAUUCUAAGAACACCUACAUUAUUCUAAGAACCUACAUUUUUAACUAAAACACCUAAAAAUUCAACUAAAACACCUACAUUAUUCUAAGAACCUACAUUUUUNNNNNNNNNNNNNNNNNNNNNNNNNNNNNNNNNNNNNNNNNNNNNNNNNNNNNNNNNNNNNNNNNNNNNNNNNNNNNNNNNNNNNNNNNNNNNNNNNNNNNNNNNNNNNNNNNNNNNNNNNNNNNNNNNNNNNNNNNNNNNNNNNNNNNNNNNNNNNNNNNNNNNNNNNNNNNNNNNNNNNNNNNNNNNNNNNNNNNNNNNNNNNNNNNNNNNNNNNNNNNNNNNNNNNNNNNNNNNNNNNNNNNNNNNNNNNNNNNNNNNNNNNNNNNNNNNNNNNNNNNNNNNNNNNNNNNNNNNNNNNNNNNNNNNNNNNNNNNNNNNGCAGGGGAGGAGGGCCGACGCGAGGGAGGGCGGCCGGAGUAGGAUGCGGGGGCGGCGGCCGGAUCGGGGGACGACUGAGGGAUUCGAUCUGGUGUGAGCGUGUGAGUGUGAGUGAGGGGAGAGGGGUGGGUGCGCGGGCUGGCGCGGGAGGAAGCAGAGGUGGGCUUAGCGGCAGCGCAAGGGAGGAGGCCCAGCGCUAUAGCUAAAGCUGCAAUGGGGGGCCGACAACGUGGCCCAUUAGCAGUAGCGCUGGCCGUGAAAUCCAACGCUACUGCUAACGUGCGCUUGUAGAGCUGGUGCUGGCCGGCGCUACUGCUAAAUAGGAGUAGCGAGGGGUAUCUAACCAACGCUACUGCUAAAUGUCUACCUAUAAGUAUUUUUCUAGUAGUGUGAGGUUGUUAUGAACCAGCAGGAGGAAAGGAAUAAAUAAUUUUUGGUCCAUUCACACAUAUUAUAUUUUUCUAUUUUUCUAUUUGAGGUGGUACUAAAUUUUUCAAAUUAAAACUAAAAGAAGGAGUAAAUGUGGUUGUUAUGAACCAGUAGGAAGGAAAGGAAUAAAUUCAUAUGGUAAUGUGCACAAGAAGGAAAGGAAAUAUAUGGCUGCAUGGGCCGAUGGAAAAGAGAGAAGACUGAUUAAAUAAAUGGGUUCAGAAAGAAAUCUUUACCUAAUAAUUAAGCAAAUUGGGUUUCUUUCGUCCGUCAUGCCAUUUUUCAAAAAAGUCCCUCUAUUUUAGAGAAUUCAACCCGCAGUCCUGUUUUAAGUUAAAACGAAUCGUUAUUUUCAUAUUUUACUCAAAAGUCCCUGUCUUUUCUUGAAAUCAACCCGCUGUCCGGAUUUAAGUCGCACCCGAACCGUUAUUUUACAUUUUUCGAAACGCCCCCUGAUGUUUUAGGUAAUUCAUCCACGGAUCAUAUUUAAGUCAAACCAAAUGCUUUUUAAAAUCAUCAAUAUCUUUUAAACUGUCACUCCGAUUUGAACAUGUUAUAUAUGAAAUUUGAUUAGAAAAAUAUGUAGAAUAUAAAUAUGAGAUUAUUUUUACCUUUUAAGUAUCUUUAAAUAUUAUUUUGGAAUAUAUUUGAGUCAAACCAAAUGAUUUUCUAAAUUAUCUGUAUCUUUUAAACCGUAACUUCGAUUUUAACAUAUUAUAUAUGAAAUUUUAUUAGAAAAAUGUGUGGAAUCUAAAUAUGGUGUUAAUUUUACCUGUUAAAUAUUUUUAAAAUAUUUUUAUGGAAGCAAACUUAUAAUUUUUAGUGCAAGAUCCGUUUUUUCAUACCGGCGGCGAUCUGGAUUGCAAAUAAACACUCCACUAUAACCAUAUACGGAAAAGAAAUCAUCGAUAACUACACGUGCAUACCUCUGAAAAAUGUCACAAGGGAAAACAACAGAUUUCUCAUCGCGAGAGUGAGAGAAAGCGAGCGAGCGAGAGAUAGAGGGAGAGGGAGGAGAGAGGAAGAGAGAGACGCCUUAGGAUUAACCAUAUUCAACACACGUUUUUUGUUGUUUUGUGUGAACACCGAGGCCAUCACCGGCGAGGGUGAGAAGGAGGAUAAGCAGCAACACAAAUAUGAUGCCUCGCAAAAAUAAAGAAGAUGGUCCUAUUGUGGUCUUGAGUGAUGGUCGUUGAGUUAAGAGUGUGUGUUAUGUUUUCUCUUUCGUUGCAACGCACAUGCUCUUUUGCUAGUUAAAAUUAAAAGAAGGAAUAAACAGGGGUGUGGUAAUUAACCUACAUGUACAGGUGUCCGAAUUGUGAUUUGAGGGCACGACGUGUGGCGUGCAUGGACAGAUCGGCGUUGGAUUGGUGGGCAACGUAACAUGCACGGUGGAGGAGGUUGGCAACUGACCAAACUCGUCACCUUGAGACUGACCUCCGUUUCUUUUGAAUAUUUUUGUUAUAAAGUUUGCUUAGCCAAGUUUAUAUAUCCUCCCUCCGUCUCUUAUUAAUAGAUGCUCAAAUAGAUGUAUUUAGCAAUACAUCUGCUUGCUAGAUAAAUUCAUUUGAACAUCGAUUAAUAUGGGAUGAAGGAACUAAUAAUUAGUGGAUGCUAGAAUGUGAUGACCAAAUUCACUACUUUGAGACUUACCAUGUUUGUAGACAAGUGACCACCAUCGACGAUAGUACUACGAGAGAAAAUGGCAAACUCAUUAAGGUGUGCGACAGAUUGUUUCUCUCUUUUGCAGCACACUAGCAUGUUUCUUAGUAUACACAAAAAAUGUACUCGAUGGGCACAAGCCAGCAGGCACUAGAUCAAACCCAGUCCUGGUGCAACACUCUUGCGUUUCUCUUCAUGACCUUACUUUCUCGAAAAGGAAUUCAUAUAACCGGCUAGAAAUGCGACAUGUAUAAAUUAUGUGCAUGCAAGCACAUCUACAAUGUCAGAAUGUUCUUCGCAAGCUGCCUCUUAGUCAUUAUAUACGCUAUUGCACAUUGAUUUUUUUUUUUUGAAAGAUCCAGCUCCCUGGCUUUUCAUUGAUUUAGCAGAAGAGAGAAUUACAAAAAUUAUUGCUAAUCAAAAGAGAUUAGCACAUUGAAUUAACUGAUUUGUUGGGUUUUCACGCGCCCGGAUAUCUUGUCGAUCAAGUGGAAUCCUGCUUCAAACUUGCAUCUAGCCGGAUAGCUAGCGUAGGAACAGAGCAGUUAGCUCACGCCGGGUCUAGUAAAGUAGUGACCGCGGCCGGGGCCGCUUUGGAGUUUAGUUGGACUAGCGUGCGUGACCGUCCGUCCGUCACUCGUGAACGGCCGGCCUCACGUACGGCCGGCCCAAGAGACUUGCAGUCCUCUGGCCGGUAAAAGUUGUGCAUGCGUAAUUGCAUGGCUAUUUUAUAUUGGUCGCCUGAGCUUCUCUCGAAUCUGCUUUGGUCGCGAGCCAGCCUGACGCCAUUUUCCACCCAGCAGAGGAAGCGAUCGAGCAAGAUGUACGUGCAGAUCUAAUUCCUGGCAUUAUAUGAAUCGGAUCGGAUCGGAUCAGCAUGCGCAGGAGUCAAAGAUUCAGAUCACGGGCUCCUGGCUGAUAGCAUGCAAAAUGGCGGCAUCUGUAGUAGUACUACGUACGACUGGCGAGGGGUGCAAUGGACGGACGGUCUUGAUCAUCCGCAUCUUGGCCGCUAGUAGUUAGCUCAAGUCCGCAUUAUCGUUAUUAUUUUUUGAUAACCAAGUGGGCAUUAUCAUAUAAUCCACGGCGAAAAACAAAGAGGAAGAUCUAACGACGACGACUCCGGAAAGAUCUUUCCUUGGAAUCCACUGCAAGUGAGCCAGGGAGAUCGCAACCGAAAGAAAACGAGAUCGAUGAGAUGUGACAUCACUAGUAGAAAAGGGGGCAUCAGUCCCGGUUGGUAAGGCCCUUUAGUAGACAACUAGACCACNNNNNNNNNNNNNNNNNNNNNNNNNNNNNNNNNNNNNNNNNNNNNNNNNNNNNNNNNNNNNNNNNNNNNNNNNNNNNNNNNNNNNNNNNNNNNNNNNNNNNNNNNNNNNNNNNNNNNNNNNNNNNNNNNNNNNNNNNNNNNNNNNNNNNNNNNNNNNNNNNNNNNNNNNNNNNNNNNNNNNNNNNNNNNNNNNNNNNNNNNNNNNNNNNNNNNNNNNNNNNNNNNNNNNNNNNNNNNNNNNNNNNNNNNNNNNNNNNNNNNNNNNNNNNNNNNNNNNNNNNNNNNNNNNNNNNNNNNNNNNNNNNNNNNNNNNNNNNNNNNNNNNNNNNNNNNNNNNNNNNNNNNNNNNNNNNNNNNNNNNNNNNNNNNNNNNNNNNNCAAACCCCAUUAGUACCGUUGGUGGCUUGAACCGGGAGUAAAGGUCUAACCUUUAGUCCCGGUUGGUGCCACGAACCGAUACUAAUGGGCAUCGCACCCUUUAGUCCCGGUUUGUGGCACCAACCGGGACUAAAAGGUCCAAACGAACCGGGACAAAUUGCCCACGUGGCCCCUGGGUGCACGAACCGGGACUAAUGACACCAUUAGUCCCGGUUCUGGGCUAACCCAGGGUGGACCAAAGCCCUCUUUUCUACUAGUGCAUGCACGUUUGCAUGUCACCGUGUGCCUUGCGGCUGAAAUUCAAAUUUAAAUAUUGCGAAAAAAUCUAAAAAAAUGCAUGCAUGUUCACAGCACAUAUUAAGAUAACUCCUAAAAAAUUGAAAAAUCAAAAUUCGAAACAUACAUCAAGAAACAAAAAAGAGAAAUCUGUCAUGAAUAGUUCGCGAAUGGUUCUCUGUAAAUAAAAAGGAGAUGCCACCCGGCACCAUCUGUUCAAGCGAUUAUAGCAUCGUGUGCAUCGAUGGAUGGAUCCUGAUUUCGUCUUGUGGAUUUGCAUAUCAUCGCCGGCAUUGUUCGCUAGCGAUGUACAUUGUUCUACAAGUCAUCAAAGUGGGCAGUGGAGGAUGAUAGUGCAUAUAUAGAUGUAUAGGCGACAAUUUUAUGCAUGCAAGCUUUAACUAAGCUCUAGAUCGAUCGACACAAGUUAUCUUAGCUAGAGCCACGCAAUUUCGUCGUAGCCGUACGUCGUGUCAGCCUGCUAGUCGCCACAUUAGCAUCCAGGCGUUAGUUGUGUGUGUUCGCCUUCAGUGCGCCCAAUAUAUUCUUAACCAACCCAAUCGAUACUUGUACAGCCAGAUGGUCCAAAAACAUAUUCGAUCCCUACGUACCCACGCCUUUCAGUUGCGUGCAGGCCAAGUACAAGCACGUGAGUUUUCUGGGAUUGUAUAAUCUUAUAUAUGUUUCUAGGUGCAUAUGCUUCCCAGGAAAAACUUUUGCAAACGGCCGGGAAUCCAAAUCUAAUCCGUCCUGCUGGGCUCUGCCGGCCUCCUUCCCAGAUCGCGCACACACACAAAUCCUAAUCGGCCAACGUAACUAGAACGAAUUUCUUCUCCUGCUUCUAUAACAGACCGCUUUAAAAAAGCAGAAUGCUAGCUGCGAUUCCGUUUGGAUAAGAUUGUUCCUCCUGUGAACAAGCCAAGCAGUUUCGUCUAGUAUUACUUUCUGUGUGGCAAAUGCAUACCAGCACUUGCAUGUUAUGGUAGUUGUCGAAUAGUAACUCUGCCUUCUUGCAGACACAUGCACAUAUUAUUUGCAUAUGUGCUCCUGUUAACUUCUUGGCGGGAAUUCCAGAUGGGAAUCGAGAAAGUAAUUAAGUAUCUGAUGACGACAGUAGAAUUUGGCUUUCUGCACCAAUAGAUAUAUGAGUUCUUUUAUAAACACAGUCACAACAAAUGAUUGGUUGGACUUCUCCUAGGGAGAUAGCUAGCAUUGUCGAAUCUGAAUGUAAUCUCUACUCCUAAUGGACGAAUUGGUNNNNNNNNNNNNNNNNNNNNNNNNNNNNNNNNNNNNNNNNNNNNNNNNNNNNNNNNNNNNNNNNNNNNNNNNNNNNNNNNNNNNNNNNNNNNNNNNNNNNNNNNNNNNNNNNNNNNNNNNNNNNNNNNNNNNNNNNNNNNNNNNNNNNNNNNNNNNNNNNNNNNNNNNNNNNNNNNNNNNNNNNNNNNNNNNNNNNNNNNNNNNNNNNNNNNNNNNNNNNNNNNNNNNNNNNNNNNNNNNNNNNNNNNNNNNNNNNNNNNNNNNNNNNNNNNNNNNNNNNNNNNNNNNNNNNNNNNNNNNNNNNNNNNNNNNNNNNNNNNNNNNNNNNNNNNNNNNNNNNNNNNNNNNNNNNNNNNNNNNNNNNNNNNNNNNNNNNNNNNNNNNNNNNNNNNNNNNNNNNNNNNNNNNNNNNNNNNNNNNNNNNNNNNNNNNNNNNNNNNNNNNNNNNNNNNNNNNNNNNNNNNNNNNNNNNNNNNNNNNNNNNNNNNNNNNNNNNNNNNNNNNNNNNNNNNNNNNNNNNNNNNNNNNNNNNNNNNNNNNNNNNNNNNNNNNNNNNNNNNNNNNNNNNNNNNNNNNNNNNNNNNNNNNNNNNNNNNNNNNNNNNNNNNNNNNNNNNNNNNNNNNNNNNNNNNNNNNNNNNNNNNNNNNNNNNNNNNNNNNNNNNNNNNNNNNNNNNNNNNNNNNNNNNNNNNNNNNNNNNNNNNNNNNNNNNNNNNNNNNNNNNNNNNNNNNNNNNNNNNNNNNNNNNNNNNNNNNNNNNNNNNNNNNNNNNNNNNNNNNNNNNNNNNNNNNNNNNNNNNNNNNNNNNNNNNNNNNNNNNNNNNNNNNNNNNNNNNNNNNNNNNNNNNNNNNNNNNNNNNNNNNNNNNNNNNNNNNNNNNNNNNNNNNNNNNNNNNNNNNNNNNNNNNNNNNNNNNNNNNNNNNNNNNNNNNNNNNNNNNNNNNNNNNNUAAUUAGUACUCCCUCCGUAUAUGGAAGGAACCGCCGGAGUAUUCCAUAGAUUAGCCACAGGAUUUUGGCAAUCUCGCUGUGGCAUCUCGGAUUUCGGAAAUCACGCGCCCGCAGACGCCGCCGUGCCCCCCCUGCAACCACCGCCGGAGUCGGAGGCGAACGCGAUCGCAAUCGCGACAUGUAUAUAUAUACAAGGACGUACUACGUGCACAAGGGCCUGCAAGCAAACCCCAGUGCUCCUGAUCACCAUGCAUUUCUUCCAGGUCGUCAUGGCGUGGAUGUUCCCGUGCGCCGUGUGGGCGGCGAUGGCGCCGGCCGUGGCGACGGCAGCGACCACGGACGGCGCUUCGAGCGUUGAGCAGGGCAGCUCCUCGUCGCCGGCGUUUGGCCCUGGCGACGCUAAGGUGGCCUCUGACCCGGGCUCCUCCCCGGCGUCGAGGUCGUCCACCUCCUCCUCCUUGCUCGGCGCCCGAAGCAGCUCGUCGAACAGCGCGCGCUCACCGGUGAGGGAGGGCGGUGACACGGCCGCACGGAAGGGCCACGCGCUAAGGCGGUGCCUGCACAGGUUCGCCAGAAAUCUACAGCGCGCCAGUGCUGCGAACGAGCGGUCAGACGGGCGCGGGAGACGGAAGGGUCGGGCGACGAAGCCGGACGGGAGGGUCGCCGCCGGCGAGGACGGCACCGCCCGGGCGAGGGAGGAGGCCGUCGCGAGCGCGAUCGCCUACUGCAAGGAGUCGAGCCGGCAGCGCUGCAGGCCGCCGUUGGCUCCCUCGCCCAGCUUGGACGGCUGGCUCCUCGUUCGUCCGGAGGAGGAGAUCGGCACCAGCGCCACGAGCGCCGUCUCGCCCUACGAAUGCGAGGCGCAGGGCACCUCGAGCGCUGCCGCACCCCACCACGGCCACGCGGCCUGCGACGGUACGUGUUGUCAACCGAUCCGUCGGUCGAUCUGCUCUGCUGCACCCGUGCACGUCUAAACCGUCGUUGAUCUCCUUCGUGCAGUAGAAUGCGGCGGCGGCAGGCCGUCGACGGUGAAAACUCGGCGAGGUCCAGCCGGGGAGAUGGAAAAGGGUGACGCUGUCGACGGGCUUGACGGGGACGUCCUUAGGAUAACAAGUUACUUCGCCGCCAAAUAUGUGCGCGCGGUGCGCCAUUGAAGAAUAGCUCGGGGUCCGUCUCACAUGAGGCGAAGCAAACAGUUUUUCGUAAUCUAGAGGACCUUGUCUUACGUACCUUCGAUCUUGUAUGAUCUGUCCAUAUCAGUGUGCGAGUAGUAGUAAUAUGAUUGUAGUAAGAUCUGUCCAUAUCAAUUGUCGAUCUUAUUCUUAUAUGAUAUGAUGGCUUGCAGCGUUCCUAAGAUCUAACGAGAAUCUCCUGGAGUUAACGACACAAUCGUUCGAUUGUUUCUGAAUCAGACUGCAAUUUUGAAGCUUAAUUGGCAAAGGAGUUAAGAUAUAGACAAUCCUAUUUAUUCGAACUAGCUUUGCUGAAUCGAAAGAAAAGAGACAACUUGGAUUCAAUCAAAAGAAAUUAGAAGAUUUUAGUACUGGUAUGUAUUCACCUCAAUCACUAUAUGCUCUGUUUGUACUCUACACAUGAGGAAUAUAUUCACCUUUAACUUCUUUUUUUGCGGAAAUAAGACUUUCAUUCAUCAACCACGGUCAUUACACUCCAGAUUUUACAUAGAGCGUGAAUUCCAUCCGGUGCAUGCCCAUGCACGUUGAAUUAUCAAAUGAGUAUAAAGUUGGUCUUUUUUUUAACUACUACACUCCAGAUUCUCGAGCAUGGAGAUAGGCGAGUUGUAGACCAAGAGCUGGUACAGAUAUAGGCGAGUUGUAGACAAGAGCUGGUGGGCAGCAAGAAACGCAUGCACACCAAAGAACAAAUUUGAGUCAUAUGCCUACUUCUAUUGGUUUCUACAAAGAGCGGCUAGCUUAUAUCUUAGACCAGUCGGUCACUGUCGAGGUCGCCAAGGUGAUCUUACAGCACCGCCGUGGGGAUUUCUCAUAUGAUUUUAUGUAGGCAAGCCGCAAGCGGUGGUGGUGAUUGGCUGGGUGGUGUCGCUGCCUUGGGAAGAGACGAAGUGAUGGUAAAAGUAAGCAGGAUCCGAUGAUUCUUCCGUGGGGAUAGCCAAAGUCAAGAUGUCGACUACAGACUCGUCGCAGACUUGCAGUGAACCUGGAUGCGGCGAGCCUGAUUUGUGGAUCGAUGGCGGGUCUUGACUUUGUUAGGCUGAGAUUGGAUGGUUGCGGAGGGUGGUGUGCUUGGUUGGGUUCCCAUGGAAGAAUGUGGCCUCCUCGUGGAUCGGGUCAUGCCCAUCCUAGAGAACAUUGUGUCCCUAGCUCCCUCGAGGAGCAAGGACAGUGCAAGCGGAAGCAGGGGUAGGGGUAGAUGUGGGGAGGGAUGUCGGCGGCUGCUCGAGGUCAUCAUGAUGAAACCCUUGACGUCCCAUCUUUAUCAAUGGAAGUGGAAGAGCAUGAAGUCGAGAUUGGAUAGGAGUUUGAGUUCUUUUUGGCACCGAUCGGUUCCCCACUUUAGAGAUGUAUUUUUUUUGCGUGCGAGCAAACAGUGGGUUGAUUCUAAAAGGGAUAGGCACUUUUCAACAAAAGUGCAUGACGGACCAAAAAUAUGACCUCAUUUUAUUCGUUUGAUAGAUAUCGUAUUAUUCGUUGUUGUUUGUUCGGUGAAAUUUCCUAAUAUUUGAUUGUUGUGUUUCUAAUUAGUGCAUCCUAUAAUCACCCAAUAUGAGGGGAUGAUAAAUGAAAAAUACUGAUUAUAAAUUUUGAAGAGCACGUGGCAACGCACGGGCGUUAUACUAGUCAUCAUAGUUGAUCAAUGAAAAGUUCCUUUCCCGCAAAAAAAAUGAUUGGUUGGACAUGGCUGGUCAGAGGCUACAUGCAUUAGUAGCUCAUAUGCCCGCUUUGGCAGCGCAAAUCUCUUCAACAAAGUGUAGCACCUGUCGACUACACAUGACUUGGCAUUUCCAUCAAAGUUUCGUGCAAGACAAAGUCGCUCCACCUCAUGCUUAUGCCGUACAGCGCUGCUCCACAAACAAUGCUCCCUAGAGAGAAACGACACCGCAGUGCCGUCAUCGUCCGAUCUGGAAGACCAGAUCCUAGUGUUUUCCCGGAGCAGUAUGAGUGGGUCGACAGUAGUCACAUGAAGAUGCCUUCAUCAAGGUAACGACGUGGAACACCGCCAUCGCCCACCGUCGGCUUGGUUUUCACUAGCAACUACAUCUCCCCGACUCGCAGUUGGUACUAGAUGACGGAUCCCGAGAUCCGAACACCCAGCCUCAGGCCGGCCACCUCCGACGGAAGAUAUUACCACCAUCGUCGGUUGCACCGGUCGGAACAGAUCUGACCUGAGGUGCCGCUGACGAGACCACCAGGCCCUUCACGCCGCCGCCGCCGAUCUGAAGGCAGAUUGCAUGCCACCGCAGCCAGCCGGCCGCCGACCGCAGCCCCCACCGCCGUUCGUGACUAGGCCGCCCACCACGCCAAGCUGUCGCCGUCCAAGGACGGGCCGCCCUCCCGCCGCCUGCCGCGGCCAUCCGCCGCACCACAGAAACCAGAUCAGCCGCGCCGCCACACGCCUAGGUCCCGGCACCACCCCAUAGGCGCGGGAGAGAGGAAAUCCUCUACGACCGUCNNNNNNNNNNNNNNNNNNNNNNNNNNNNNNNNNNNNNNNNNNNNNNNNNNNNNNNNNNNNNNNNNNNNNNNNNNNNNNNNNNNNNNNNNNNNNNNNNNNNNNNNNNNNNNNNNNNNNNNNNNNNNNNNNNNNNNNNNNNNNNNNNNNNNNNNNNNNNNNNNNNNNNNNNNNNNNNNNNNNNNNNNNNNNNNNNNNNNNNNNNNNNNNNNNNNNNNNNNNNNNNNNNNNNNNNNNNNNNNNNNNNNNNNNNNNNNNNNNNNNNNNNNNNNNNNNNNNNNNNNNNNNNNNNNNNNNNNNNNNNNNNNNNNNNNNNNNNNNNNNNNNNNNNNNNNNNNNNNNNNNNNNNCGACCUCUGCACCAACUAGGGUUGCAUACGGGCAUUUUAGUAUGAGUACCAAAGUAAACAUGGUCCUCAGAAUUUUUUAAAUUGAGUAUCAAGAUAUUUUUUAAUGAGUGGUUACACCACACACCAAACUUGGUCCUCGAUAAAAUGGAGGAAAAUCCCUGUGCAUCACCUGUCAAUUCUAGGAAUUGAAUUCAGUUUGUUAGGCUGCACAACCGUAUGCCCAACCACUGAGCCAAGGCUUGCAUCACCCGCUAACUUCUUGCCGGGAAUUCCAGAUAAGAAUCGAGAAAGUAAUUAAGUAUCUUAUGACAACAGUAGAAUUUGGCUUUCUGCACCAAUAGAUAUAUGAAUUCUUUUUAUAAACACAGUUGACAUGACUGUGUCAGGGGCUACAUGCAUUAGUAGCACAUAUACCCGCUUUGGCCGCGCAAAUCUCUUCAACAUUUCUUAGGAGAGUUGCUAUACACACGACACAAAUUCAUACGGUUUUUGUACAACCAGACUCAUCUGGUGGUGUGGGCCUAAACCUCGAAAAACGUGCCCGUGACUUGUCAUACGAAAUCGUACAGAAAAUCAUCGUACGCAUGGCACUUUCGUUUCCCAUACACAUCUGCAACUUUUCAGCCGAGCCAUGAAUUGUCAAUUUUUAACUUUUGCAGCAGCUGGCAAUUUUAACUUCAAAAGAAGAAAACAAAAAUAGAAUCUGAACCAAAUGAUAUAGAGUAUAUAUUUGAGCAAUCUCAUCAUCUUAUCCCUGCACCAACCAGCCUAACUUUCUCGGCAUCUCCUUUUUUGGGAAAUCAAUCAUCGCUUCCAUACCACUAUCAUCCAUCCAUCCUCCGGGAAAGCUGGAAGAGAGACGGCCGAGGAGAGAAGAACCAUGCGCCGUUUUGAUGGCGGAUCUGCGGCCCAUGCGCCGUUGGCGUGCAGCAGUAGGGCCGUUCCCCACGAGGACGGCUCUCGAGAAGAUACGAGAGUAGGGACACUACUGACCCAUGGGCCAUGGCUCUACUACGUACAUACUGUAGUCUGUGGCCCUCACACGAACACACCCAGUGGCCAUGUGAGAUGCAGGGGCGCGAUCCAAGUACAUGGACACACCCAUGACCCAUGCAUGAUGGAGUGACUGAGAUUACGGUGGUACGAAUAUGAUCGAUACAGUGUCCUUUCGUCACGGGGUACUGCGGUGUUCAUGUGCACAACGGGCGGCCAUGCCUGCAUACAAUAUCAUGCAUGCCUUGCGCACGUUUAACUGGUUCCCGUCUUCCAGUCGAAACGUGAAUUUAGAUGUAGUACCACAAAAACACAUUGAUUCUUCUUUUUUUUUCUUGAAACGGAUGCAUUCUUCUUUUUUCAGGACACAAGAAUUUACCUGCGCGCCAUUUCUAUUUUCAGAUUAGGGUGAAAAUCCAAAGUCUGGCCUUAAUUGGUUGUGCCUGGCAGUGACCUUGUUGAAGGCAUUAUGUUGAGAGUGAGGAUCUUCUACAGGGUGAAAAUCUAAGAUUUAGGAUCGAGCGAUGACGGUACUUGCGUACUAUUUCUAUCUUGGAGGCGUCAGUUUUGGAGAAUUUGGACUCUGGGUGUUGUCUAGGUGGUGGUUUGUGCUGUAGCUACAAGGAAUUGACAACUGUAGUAUUUUUUUUCUUCUUCUUUUUGUCUUUUGAAUGUGUGCAUCUGUAAUAUCUUUACGACGUUACAUUGUUGCAGAGGCCGGGUGUAAUUCAUAUCUCCGCGAUAUUAAUAUAUUCCCAUUGUUGUUUACCAUGUGCAUAACAAGCAAGAUAUAAAACCGGAAAAAGAAGAAUAUGACAAUGUCACUACUAGGGAAAAGCCUAGCAGUAGCACGGGUUUUAGGUAUAUCAGUAGCGCGGGUGCCCGCGCUACUGAUACGGCGCUACAACUAACAUGUAGUAGUAGCGUGGAUACCACCCGCACUACUACUAACUAGUAGUAGCAUGAUUCUGGAUCCUCGCUACUGCUAACUAAUUAGGAAAUAAAAAAUUAAAUUCCAGCCAUGGCUGCUGCUGCUAGGCGUCAUCGUCCUCUUCAUCCAUGGCCGAUGCAGAUCCUGGAGGGGAUGAAGCCGUCCAUGGAGAUGGUGCUUCCCCAUCCAACUCUUCUCCACACCUCUCCUUUGCUGCUGCUACAAAAAAAAGAGACAAGGAUUAGAAAAGGAAGAGAGAGAUAGAGAGGAGUAGGUGCAGCAACUCACCAGUGGCCGCCGGAGUUGGAGCCGAAACCCUAGUUGACGCCAUGGGUGGCGUCCAUUAAAGAUUUGGCCAUCGUCAUGGGCGGCGCUCUGCUGGAUCUUCCUCUCCGUCCAGCAGCGGAGGAGGAGGGGGAGGAGGAGGAGGAGGAAGGAUGGGCAGCGGCGGAGGAGGAGGAGGAAGGAGGGGCUACGGUGGAAGAGAGGUCGCCGGAUUUGAGGGAGACGUCGCCGCGCGAGGCCGGCAGUUGCCGUCGAGGAGGAUACGCGCAUGUGCAGAAGCGCCAUGGAGAGAGAGAGGAAGAGAGGGACGGGGGAGAGGAGUGAUUUUGACGAGGAGAUGGGGAUUUCAAAGCUGUUAAAAAACCCAUUACUUCAUAGUAGCGCGGGUUUUUACCCCUCCCUACUACUAUGGCAUUGUCCCGGGGGGCACGGUAGAGACCGGUUAGUAGUAGUGAGGGGUAAAAACCCGCGCUACUACUAUCAACUUAGUAGUAGCGCGGGUUUUUACCCCUCGCUACUACUAUGGCAAUGUCCCGGGGGGCACGGUAGAGACCGCUUAGUAGUAGCAAGGGUUAAAAAACCAAGCUACUACUAUCAACUUAGUAGUAGCGAGGGGUAAAAACUCGCGCUACUAGUAAGUAGCAGUAGCGAGGGGUAUAAACCCGUGCUACUAGUAAGCGUCUGUGUAUAAGCUUUUUCCUAGUAGUGUGUGCUUCGUACCAAACAAUGCUAGACCUACGUAAACCUAUGGUUCCUUCCUGGGCCUCAUUCAGUUUGGAGGAAACCAAAAUUUAAGAUUUAGGAAUAGUAGAGGAAGUUGAUAGGAUGACAAUUGUCAUCCUAAGGAAUUGUCUUGCCUUGUUCAUACGCAUAAAAAAAGCUUUGAAGGGUGUGUAGAUUUCUCCAAAAACACAGAAAAUGAAUAACAUUCCUAUGAUCCUCUUACGUGUUUCCUGCAAACCGAAUGCAUUUAUAGAUAUUUCCUCUGAGAUCUUUGUUUCUAUGCUUUUCCUGUGAAAAUCCUUCAAACCAAAUGAGGCCCCUAAACUAACCAGCACCCCCCCCCCCUUCUGAAUUUCACGGUGUGGGCUUUGGCCUUUUCUUUCUUCCAACCAAACCAGGCCAACUCAGCUCCAUUGUAAGUUACAUAAGAUUUUUUACAUAGGUGUAGCAAAGCUCGCUUUGUAGUAACCGCAUGCCUCGCGAAGUAUGCACAUAUUGAUCAUGACACACCACUCAUUCUACUCGAUCGUAUAUGAUCAUGAUGCAUCAACUAGUUUCCAACAGUUGCAUAGUACUUAGCACUCCUGCGUGUCGGCGUGAUUCGACCUGCGAUGUCCACCUGAUCGACAUAGUUUUGUCACUUUGGGCAAAAGUAGGUGUGUCGGAUCCCGUCAGUACCUGCUCCAUCAAGGAUGGUGCAAUAAAUUGUUGGCAUUGCAUUGGCGGAGCCAUGAUUUUGCGCCUUGGUAUUUAUUGUGAAAAAAGUGCAACAAUUGAUCAGUUGUUGGCAUGCAUAGUUAAUAACUCAUAUUAUAUACCUAUGUUCUUCAUUUACUCGUAAACGAUGUAAUGAUUUUGGACCGCAAUAGCCAACAAACAUUCUGGGUAGCAUGGCAUUUGUGAAUGUCUUUUACGACAAGUUCUUCAAAUAGACAUGACAAUUUCUUCAAAAUCACAUGACAAAUUCUGGCAGACAAUGGAUUUGUUGUGAAAAUUAUUGUGUUUGCUUGAAGUAGUUGUCAUACUGCCGACAUAUCAAUUACUGUGAAAAACAUUCGUUUUGCCAUGGACAGCCAGCGAAUUUCGUUGAAUAACAUUACCAUGUUUUUUUUUGAAAACAUAAAAUUUCAGUAACCAGAACGCUCAGUAAAUCAACUCGCUAGCAACCAUGCCAGAAACAAAAAGUUGUGCGAACCAACGUGUGGUUGGAUGGUUGAAGGGACUGUGGUAUCCCCAGCCCACCAGGAUUCAAAUCCUGGUGCUCGCAUUUAUUUCUGGAUUUAUUUCAAGAUUUUCGGCGAUGCGCAUUUAGUGGGAGGAGACGUUCCCGUCGACGACGAGGCGCCUACGAUGACUUCGUAAAUCUCAAGAUGAUAUGUCGGCUCAGUUUUUUGGAGGUGCUCAUAGGGGUAGGGUGUGCGGGUGUGCGUUUAUAGAAGUGAGUGUAUGCGCGCGCAUAUGAGCACUUGUGUUUGUACUGAUGUUCAAAAGAAAAAGAAACAAAAAGUUGUUUUGAACCUAGCCAAAACAUAGUGGCUUCAACCAUACGGUACCCGUAUUGCGCAAGCGCAUGAGUAAUAGAAUUACAUGACCGACUAUAGAAAUUAAACUCAAAUGUGUCAAACGUCACCAUGCAAACACUCCUAAGUUCACGUACCAGCAUGCCAUAAUCCACAAAAUAUAAAUGCCCGGAAUUUAGGGGCUGUUCGGCAGUCAACUGCUCCCUGAAAUUCAAGGAUCUGCAGAGCACCUGUCCCCCCGCUCCGUACUUUUUACCUUCAGCUCCGCCAACUCCAGGAGGGAGAGCGUGGAGUCGGACGCCGAACAGGCCUUUAGUGCCCAGACAAGAAUCUGUGAGUCGGACUUGAAAAUACAUUACCCAUGAUUUUUGAUAAGCAAUAAAGCUAACCGGAUACAUGACACGCCCAAAAGAAAAUAAAACACGUCUCACAAUACUCUCGUCCGGGUCCGGGCGCGUAUCAGUUAUCACG
rnacentral:lncRNA from 1 species